AUUUUUCUCCUGCUAUCAUCAACCAAACCCUUGGAAGAAGUGUGGUUGAAUUUGUUGAAGAAGAACUUUCUCUGGAUACGGUUGCUGAGGAAUUGACUGCUGGAAGAGUCAAGAAGUGGCCUGCUAAGAAGCUUCUAUCAACUGGGGUUCUGAGUGUGAAGUAUGCUAUUUUGAAUAGGAUUGGAGUGGUGAAUUGGGUUCCCUCUAACCAUACUUCUGCUGUUUCUGCUAUGCUUGCCAAGCUUCUCUAUCGCAUUGGGACUGAAAUUGCUUAUGACUUUGGCAACUUUGUGUUUUACCAAACUUUGAAGCAUGCAGAGACAUGUGCUGUGAAACUCCCCAUCUCCUUUCCUUCUUUACUGACUGCUAUCAUUCUGAAACAACAUCCUAAUAUCCUCACUGUUGAUGAUGUUCCUGUGCCUAAAGGCCCUCCCAUCACCUUGGACCAACGGUUGUUCCUGGACCCUCAUGUCCUGGACAUUGAUCUGCCAUCCAGUAGGACAUCUGUUCCUGCCUCUAUGUCUGCCUCAGGCACUCACAGUGUCAUUGCUGAACUUGAGGCCAUUUCCAAGGAACUUCAAGAGACGAUCAGGAUUGCUGCUGCUAGGAAGAUUAAGGUGGAUGCUCUCAUUCAAACUCUCCAGGGGGAAGCUGGUCAAGAGGGUGAGCAUGCCGCUGAUGCUGAGAGGGAAGGAUCUGCAGAAAAUGAUGAGGAACACUCCUCUUCUUCUGGUGUUUAGUGCAUCUCCUAGUUGAUUUUUAGUUGGCCUUGGUUAAAUUCUUUCCAUCUUUGCCAAAUUUGUGCUAAAAAGGGGGAGUAGUAGUAGAGUAGUAGUGUGUUGUGGUUUGUUUUUUUUUUGAAGACUUGGUAUUCUGGUUAUGUUAUGUAAUAAGUAUGCAGCUUUGUCAAGACAAGACCAGUUCAGGAGAUAUUUUAUGUUCAAGUGUUCAAGUGCUACAAGCUAGCUUCUGUUCAAGUAUUACCAAGUGUGCUUGUUGGAGAUAUUUUAUGUUCAAGUGUUCAAGUGCUACAAGCUAGCUUCUGUUCAAGUAUUACCAAGUGUGCUUGUUUAGUUUGUACUAUGUUGCAUAUGGGUUCUAUAUACUUUAUGCAGUGUUUAUUUGGAUGCAUCUUUUGAGGGGGAGUUCCUCCAUGUUUUGGCUGUUGUUGAUGCAUUGGUUUGAGGGGGAGUAUUUCUGCUGCUGACUCUGAUGAUUUUGAUAUUUUUUCCCUCUCUGGUAGUGAAGUUGUUUUUAGUCAAAAUUUGACAAAGGGGGAGAUUGUUGUUCCUUUGUUGUCAUCAAUUUUGUUAAAAACAACCUGAUGUCCUAGCCGAUGUUGUGACAUUUGCCUUGAUGAAGGCCAGGACAUCCGCCCCUGCUGGCAUGCAAGUGGGUCCCUUGUGGUUAUGCUUUAUGGUAUGAUCUGUGCUUACUUGAAGGUCAAGUAACUGUGUGUUGGGAGCCAGUUGCGGGUUGUUUUUGUUGAAGCAAAUCUGUGAUUAAAAAGAUUUGUUUCUAUUUUUACUUGUUGAUCACUCAUAUCAGAUCUUGAAAGAUUCUCUACUGAUAUGAGUUGGAUCAAAGUGUUCUUCAGCCCAAAUAAACCCUAGCCGCCUCUGCUGAAGUAUAUAUUGACAAAGACCUGAAGCUUGAAGUUGAUGGAGAGAAUCACCUUGAAGUUCAAGUGUUCUUAAGAGUGUAAGUUGUUCUUUGUCUUUGUUAGUUGUGAACUCGUCUUGCUCACUGAUUCUAUAAAGUGAGACUGAGUUCUGUGUUGUGUUUGAGUGUCAAACAAACUCUGUGUUAUUGUUGUUCACUAAUCAAUGUGGCAGUGAUUGAGGAAAAGUGAGAGGGGCUCUCAUACUUAGGCUGUGGUUCUAAGUAGAAUACCACUGGGUAGAUUAGGUUAAGAACAAUGAACUUGAUGUGUUCAUGUGUGUCUGUAAUACCUAGUUCUUGAGAUAGUGGAAUUCCUUUUCAUUGGGCGAAAGCUAACCAGACGUAGGUGUAGUUUCACCGAACUGGGUUAACAACUUCCUGUGUCUUGUUUCCUUUUAGUUGUUUGUUGUUUUGUGUUUAGGUCUUUCAGUAGUAUGAUGUUCUAAUCGAUUGUCCCAGCAUCGUGCAGGACAUUUGUUCUAAGGGAUCUAGAAUUUCAAACCCAUUACAAACUGAUAAAGGAACGAGAUUUUUUUACAUGACUAGUGCAACUUUCAAAUAAAUUUACCAAACUAGUGCAACUUUUGAUUUAAUUACAAAAAUAGUGUUAAUCGCCACUUGAAGUGGCGAUAUCUCUUUUUUUUUUUCUUUUUUUUUAUGAAAUCGUCACUAGCAGUGGCGACACAAUUUUUUUUUUUGACUUUGUUUAAUAGUGACGGAAAAUUGUCCGUCACAAGCUCUGUCGCUAAAAUUUUUGUGACGGAAGUAUCUAUACUUCAAUUUCCGUCGCUAAGUUCUUUUUCAUUGUUCACUAGGAUUUUGAGAUGAAAUAUACUUCAUCGCAAACAGAAUUCCGUCGCUAGAAACUUUGUGACGGACGCUAUCUUUCUUCACAUUCCGUCACUAAUAUCUUUUAUAUUAAAUAUUAGGAUUUUGUGACGGAUACGAUUCCGUCACUAACUUAGAAAGUAAAAAAAAAAAUAUAAAUAUAGUGUCGCCACUGUUAGUGAUGAUUUCAUAAAAAAAAAAAAAAGAGAUAUCGCCACUUCAAGUGGCGAUUUACACUAUUUUUGUAAUUAAAUGAAAAGUCGCACUCGUUUGGUAAAAUUUUGUUAAUACUACACUAGCCUUGUAAAAAAGUGAAGGAACGAAGUACAAAACGAAAAACAGAAAGAGGAGUAAUCUAAGAGGCUAUAGAUCAUAAGUAGAGCCAAUGUAUAUGGCAAGAAUUAAUAUGUAGCAAGCCCUUCAUUAUGAGAACAUAUCCACGGGGAUAGUCUAGAGAUUGAUUCAAUUGGAUCAAUUGUUCUAAUAUAGGUCCAAAUUCCUUCCUCUUUGAGCCAGGUGCCACCUCCACUAGCUAAAUAAGUUUCUACUGAAAUAAGUUCUUAUAUGAGAACCUAAGAAUAAAUAAAUAGUGAUUGUUAGGUCUAAUCAUGAAUGGUCAAGAUUAAAAUAAUUUAGUGGUCACACGAUCAUUUAAAAAUAUCAUGUGACUUUUUCAAAAGUCAAAUGUCUUCAUGUUUUAAUCUUAAUCAUUCGUGAUAAGAUUCGAUCAUGAUUUAUUCUUAUAUUCUCACAUAAUAACAUUUCUCUCAUAAGAUACAUCCUCCUAAUGUCAGUACCUAUGCUUUAAGAUGACAAUGCCAGUUGAUACAGCAGCAUCUUACUACGGUUUAAACUCUUGGUGGCAAUUGCAUUUCAGCAUAACAGCCUGCUUCCCCUCGAUCUUAUGCACAAUCCUUACUUCCAAAUUUCAUUUCCUGCUGCUCUGCUUCCCUUACUGUUCAAGCCCCCACCAAUGCCCUAUUACCAUUCUUUGUUUACAAAGGCACAAUUCCAGCCUUCAUGACCUGCAACCACCACAAACACACGCAGCACAUAUCAUAAAACGGCCUUCACUGCAAACAGAACGAGAAACACAAUCAUGCAGUAAAAGACAGAUUCAAAAGAGAGCCUGAGUCUCUGGCUAUGCUCUCUUUUGAAGAUAAGAACAUAUUCCAAAACAUGAAAUUUGGUUUUAAAAUAGAAAGCACAUUGAUAUUCAAGUUUGGAUAUGUUUCAAGAGAAAAAUAUAAAUUGGUCUAACAAGUAGAUCUUUUGCCCCGUGUCAUAAAAAAAAUAAUAAAAAAUCUUGUGCCCUGUUGUUUUGGCCAGUCAAGUACAGAUGAUAUGUUUUCUGUUUUCAAGAAGAUUGGCAAAGUAAAUAUUUUAAUAGAACAUAGCCAGGAAAUUUGGAAAGGUUAUUAUUUGCUAUUAAGGGAAUAUCAAAUUUAUUUCCCUCUGGUCUUCACUGGCAUAUGCCUAUGCCUGAAUGACCUUGCAAAACAAAUCAGCAAACAUCACCUUCAGAGUUUAGACUCAGCUCACCCAAAAAUAACAACCUUCCAAAUAAAGUUAUAAUCUGUACUUGCCUGAAUUUAAAAACAAAAACAAUCCAGAAUAACAAGAGAAAACAAAAAUUAGACUAGAAAUGAAUUCUUAAUCUAAGCAAAUUAUUUUAUAAAACAUCUCAUUAACUUUUUUUUUUGAAUUCACAUCUUAUUAAGACAUUAACUUAAAAAAAAUAAAAAAAAAUUUCCUUGUUGUUACCAAAAAAAAAAAAUAAAGAAACGACAAAUCUGCAAUCUGUUAAACCGUAACCAUGGUUCUGUUUCCCUUUCAAUUUCGUCAUUCCCAGAAAUUUUCUGCCUAUCACUAUCAUUCAUAUAAAGAUCAUCACUGAUAUCAGAUUCAUCACUUGUUUCUCUGAAAUUUGCAUCAUCGUCAUCACGAUAGUUUCUUGCUGUUCAAUCAAGUCUCUUUUUCUGAGGAUCACUUGCUGAAUUUAACUGACCAAAUAGAUCAUAUACAUAUAGAUACAGAUUACAGCAUGUUCUGAUUCAAUAAUGAGAAAAAGAAUUGUGCACCUGAAAGGAUUGAAGAAUACAUGAGUCUGUUGUUUGACCAGAGAAUGAUAGUGGAAAAACACCAGAGGAUGGAACUGCUCUCUGCACCUGGUAAUACAUUCUCUAGAUAAAUUGUCUAAUGGGGAAACAAUUUAUAUAUUACCAGUUGGGACCAGGGUCCCCUCAUUAGACAAAGUUAACUGAUCUAACCCAUCAUAGGACAGUUAAUAACAAAAGUCUAAUCUACCAUCCAUCAUAAUACAUGUAAUUAAAUUAAAUUAAUAAUUCACAUAAUUGAUAUUAAUAACCAAAACAAAAUAUAUCUUAGUUAAUUGAUAAUGUUAACCCACAUAACAAAAGAGAUAGUUAAUUAUAAAUAAAUCUAACAUUCUCCCACUUGGAUUAACAUUUGUCAAUUAAUAUAAAAUAUAUGUAUCAUUAAACGAAAUAUCAAUUAUGACAAAAUACAUGUAAUCCAAAGAAAUAUAAGUUGUGCACCAAAAGUUACUCAACAAAAGAUUAUAUCCGAUAGGGAUAAUAACCAUAUGUAACAAAGUCUUAUAUUUCAUACAAAACAAAGAUGGAUAUAGAAAGCACAGUGAUAACCAGAAGUGCUAUUCCAUAAAAUGACCCAAGCAUCUAAAAUGCUAUAUGAGAUAUGAUAACAAAAGCAACAACAUAUCUCAUAAACUACAAUUCAGACUCCCACUGAUCCUAAACAUCAAAAGACUUUAACCACAUGAGUUAUGUGACUCCAACAAUAAAGUCUUAGAUCAGUGAAUAUACCAUUAUCAAUAAUGUAUUUCAUUAGAGUCUGAAAUUUUAUCACAAGGGGUCUACAAGUUCAUUAGGCACCAUCAAAGCCACAAACAAAAUUCCACAAGGUCUAAGUGCAUUUUGGCCCAACAAGAAUAAUAAUUACAUAUUGGCUAAACAACAAAAUGCUCUGCAGAAAUUGACAUAUAAUUAAUUCAAGAUUUCCUAAACAAGUGACUAUAAAUCCAUGUGAAGCUCGAGUUUAACAAUAGCAUGGAUGAUACUUGUUUAAACAAAAUGAUAUCUUGAACUAAUAAAUCACAAAAUAUCAAUAAUGAGCAAGCACUUAUGAUUAUUGGUCUAAAACAAGAGUAUAAGUACCUUAAGAAUGUAAGAAAUCAUACUCGAUAGGAGUAGUGAUCCUAUGCAUCUAAGUAACUUUUACAUUUGACCAUACAGAACGUGGAAUGUUGGCUAGGAUCACAAGCACAGUAAAAAUACAUGCCAAUGUGUUGUACCAACAAAAUAAUGUUGGCCUAAAUCGAAAGCACCUCAAAAUUGCAUGUCAAAUGUGCUGUACCAAAACAUAAUGUUGGCCAAAACAAAAGCACCAUAAAAUUGCAUACCAAAUGUGUUGUACCAACCGAAUAAUGUUGGCCAAAAUCAAAAGCACCGUAAAAUUGCAUGUCAAAUGUGCUGUACCAACAAAAUAGCCCCAACCACUUAUUAAAAGUGCUUACUAAGAUUCAACAUAAUUAAUAUAUAUAUAUAUAUAUAUAUAUAUAUACACACACAUAUAUCUCUCGGUACACUAGAAUGAGAAUGAGUACCAAAGUCUCCAAAAGAGUAUGUCAUAUAAUUAUCAAAGUACGCAUAAGAGCAUAUGACAAUAAAAUAGCUCCAAAAAUAUACCAUGAUAACACAAAAGUGCACACAAAAUAUAUGGUAUAUAUAUAUUACUAAGUAGUCUUAAGACAAAGCAAUUGUAUGCACACUCCCACUAAUCUAAUAUACCAUGAUAAUAUUAGAAAUUCAUUAGUGGCAACUAGUACCAAAAUACUCUUAAUGAUACAACUUUUAAUAGUGGUUUAGUGGCUUCAUGGCAAAGUCAAUGUGAGUCUGGAACUCACAAUCUUUUUCUCUUCAAGGAUAAUUAAUUAGAGAGAAGUACAAUAAUGCAGAGUUAUCACGAGAAGUGAUUACUAAAGAAUCACAAGAUGGAGCUCAACAUAUAUACCACAAAUUCUUAUGAAAUUUGUGAUGAAACUAACCACAAACUCAGCAUAUGAGAUUAAAGAGAUUAUAAACGUCCAUUUAACAUUUAUCAACAUAAAAUCUCCUUAUAUUAUCACAUACAUAAAAUCAUUAAAGAUUUUAUCUAAGAGGAAACCCACAAUUUAUAAACAAAUGAGUGAGAUUAACAUCCCUAAUAUUUUAAAUAAAAUAUGAGAUCACUUGUAUGUUUUCAACAAACUCACUCAAAGUUCAAGUGCUACAAUAUAGACAAUCACUAAACACACUUGAUCACAAAGUUGGGUUACCACUAACAACAGCGGAAGCAUAUAGGACCUAUGGUUAAUCAUUGUAGAGGAUAUUGUAACAAGUAGUCUCUAACUCUCACUGUCACUAUAUAUUGUGGGUAAGAAGCAAUAGGUCAAUGCCAAUAUGCUAAUUUGAUAGUUUGACAAAUUAUCUUAACAAUCAUAGGGAGUUAAUUGUAUUCCAAUAUUCCUUUUGAAAGAUUGUAUUCCAAUAUUCUCAAAAGAGACUUAAUAAUAUCCUCAAUAUAGGUCCCACUAUAAAGUGAUAUCUAGUAGUAUAUCACACAUAAGUGUGUCAAUUUUCAAAUUUAACUAAUUGAGCAAUUAAUGGAGUGAGAGACAUUGCAUAACUUCAGUUGGAAAAGAUAAGAGCAAACAAGCCUCUCCCACUUGAUAGAGAAAAAUAGUUGAGUUAAUCAUACUAGAAUAAAACAACAGGAUACUUUAAGUAUUUUUAAAUUAAAAGAAUAGCCAAAACUAUUUUCUCUAUCACACAAUGAUCAUGUCAAGCAAUGUCAUACCGAUAAGGUAUAUCCAUUACUUACACAAUGCAAUAAUAAGGAAAAUUAUAUCAAUAGAUAUUUUAUUCAAUAUAAAUUUGCUUUGCGAUAGGCAAAUGCAAAUCUUUAAGAUAAUGUAUUGUAACAAAUUGCUCAAUUAAUAUAAUGUAUCUAAUCAUAUGUCCCAUAAAAAUUCUAAUAUCGAUAGGAUAGUAGAAUGAAUUGACAUAAGUUAACAACGCAUAAUACAUUACAAACAAAACAACAAAUUACACUAAUAAUAAUAUACCGAUAGAGUACAUUAUCAGUAAUGUAAAUAUACACAAAUUACAAGUAGAUUCUUUAAAGAAUUUAGGUAAUAUAAUUUGUUCAAAUUCUGAAUAACUACGCCCACGAUAGGUGAGAUCGCAGUUACACAAAAUAUAAUAAAGCGCAUGUAAUCACACCAAAGUAUUCUGAAUAACUGCGCUCACGAUAGGUGAGAUCACAGCCACACAAGAUAUAAUAAAACGUGUGUAAUCACACCAAAGUUUGUAUAAACCAUAAGAUGUAUUUUAUAUACAAAGAUUAUAGGCUUUAAUUAUAUAACGACCUAAAAUAUUAGUUCCAUAUACAAAGAAAAUAGCAAACAUAUUAUACUAAAAAUAUUGCUAGCAAACUAAAGAACUGUCUCCAUAAUUUUAAGGUCCAUGAGCCUAUAGCAUAGUAAUAAAAAAUUACUAUUCAAUAUUUGGUUUAUAUAAAUAGGAGCGCACAAAAGAAUUUUAAAUUUUCAACAUGAAACUCAUAUAGCAAAAUUUAGCCAUAAAAUAUGGUAGUCUGAUCACAAUUUAUAUUUAACUGCCACUUUAACAAACUAAGUAAUAACCAAGUAUUACAAUGGUUAAAUAAUAAAUUUAUUAUAGACUUCCAAAAAAAAAAUAUAUGACAUCAUGUCUUAAUUGCCGCACUAAUAUAAUUGCAUAGCUAAAAGAAACAUAAACAACAAUCGGAGAAUUAAUUUUAUUAACGAAAUUCUCCAAACAUGAAAUUAUAUAAUCAAUCAGUAUAUAAAGAUUUUAUAAUCAAAUUUAGAGAGUGUUCCGUUUAUCUUUGUGAGUAGAGCCAAUAAAAUUCAUAAUUUAAUAAGCUCAUGAAACUCAAUAUAUUCUUCUCUUUAAUGGGUGAUACAUUAAACUAUAAAAAUAUAAAAUACUUUUCCAUAUAUAAAAUAUAUAUUAGUGAUAAUUUUGAUUUCAUAAUUGCACUGGUAGAGAAGAAAAGAAAAAACGUGCUUGGAAUGCCAAUUCAUAUUGGUUUUGAUAUUUAAGAGCAACUCCAACCCCAAAAUUCUUAUCUAGUUUCUUAACACACUAUUCAGCACUAUUCCUGUGGGCCCGUACUGCCACAUCAGACUUAAGAAACUCCUAGGAAACUGAAGCAGAUUUUGCUCCAACCCAUGGUUUCUUAAAUUACUAUUUGAAGGGUCCCACCCGUGUCCCACCAUACAACAUAAAUUAAUAAUAUUUAUUUUCACUCAAUUUAGAUUUAACAUUUAAUACUAAAUCAAUACUUCAACUUAAAAAUAAUUUAAUUAAAAUUAAUACGAAUUUAAUUUAAAUUUUAUUUUACUUAAUAUUUAAAACAAUUAAAUUUAAAUAUCGGCAUGUUAACUUGAAACAAAAAUAAAAAAGUACAUUGUGUUUUUUAUAACAAAAACAAUUUUAUUGAAUGAUAGAAAUAAAGACGAAAGAAAAUACAUGACAAUGAAAAAUAAGCAACAAUACAUUUGAAAUGAAAUACAUAAUAACACUUGAAGGUUAAUUUUCAUUAUUCUCGUUUUCGGGAAGCUGCCAAAUAUGCUCCACAAAGUCUACUUGAAGUUGGUGAUGAUUUGACCUAUCAAUUUGAUGUGCUCUUCUUUCCAAGAUAUUUCUAAAAGCCGGAAUAGGACCACUUACUACUUCAGCAUUCAAUAUGUCAUUAUUGACCUGAUCAUAAACAAAAUUACCUCGGUACGUGUUGCGCUCAUCUUCAACAAUCAUGUUGUGCAAUAUGAAGCAAGCAUACAUUAUUGACAUCAUCUCAUUCGGAUGCCAAAAGCGUGAUGGACCACGAACUAUUGCAAACCGAGAUUGGAGAACGCCGAAUGCACGUUCAACGUCCUUUCUUGCUCCUUCUUGUCUUUUCGCAAAUUUUUGCCUUUUUUCUCCUUGCGGCAUUGGGAUGGUCUUCACAAAUGUAGCCCACGGGGGAUAGAUACCGUCUGCUAGAUAGUAUCCCAUGUUAUACAUUGUUCCAUUCACGCUAAAGUUCACCAUGGAAGCAUUUCCACUCAAAACCUCAUUAAAAACCGGAGAUUUAUUUAGCACAUUAAUGUCAUUGUUAGAACCUGUGUAACACCCCGAUUUCGGUGGCGUCACUUUAGUAACCAAAAUAAACUUAAUGCGGAAAAACGUAAAUAUUUUUUUUCGAUAAUAAUAUAAACAAGACUGAAAUAAAUAUAACGCAAAUGCGAAAGACAACAGAACCAAUAUACAAAGUAAAAUACAGCCCCCGCUGUAAGUAACAACCUCGUCACGAGUAACCUCCAGUGAAGGAAAGAAGAAAAGUGUAGCGCCCGUAGGCAAUAUAUACAAACCAACAGGAAAGGUUAAGUGUCCGCAACACCACCUCCAAAAAUGAGAAUAAGUUGGCCCAAUGGCCUGAAAGAAGACCUCCUAAGUCCAACCAACUCCCUGUGAUUCCCGUAAAGAAACCACACAAAAAGCUAUAGGUGGGAAACUAUAAAGUCAAAGCUCAAACAGUAUAAGUAAGAUAGGUGUGCUUGCACACGCUACGCGAGUAAUGGAACAUAUUAUACUGAAAUGAGAAAGAAUGGUUAGAAGGUUACCAUCGUUCUUGCGCUCUCCUGUGACAAACCCCUCAGCUCUCUCACCGUCCAUGGUGUAGACUCUUGCUAUAGCCGCAGAACGCUUUCCACGAGCAGUGUUCACGGUUGGCUCCGUCUUGGGUGCUCUGCACUGAUCGGCAGUGUGCCCCAUUUUGUUACAAUUAAAGCACUUGGGCCUCGUGUCGGAACAAGCGUUAGCAUAGUGCCCCGGCUUCCCACAUCUGAAACAAGUCAUCUCCCUGUUCAAAGUCCGAUCUCCAGAACCACCAGCAGUACCCGUCAUGGGUCGGUAAGAUCCUGAAGUAAACCCUUUUUCAGCAGGGCGCUGAUAUGGCCUCCCGUUCUGAAAUUUCCCUUUGCCUUGAAAAUUUUGAGAACCUGAUCUCAUCGGUCCUCCAGUUCCAGCACGGUUCAACCUUCUAUUCUUCAUUAGCUCCACUUCUGUGGCUUUCUCCACCAACGACUGAAAGCGCAUAAUUCCCAAUGGCCUCACUGAGUCCUCAAUAUCAGGCCUCAGUCCAUUAACAAAGCGCUUGCACAUAUAGCGCUCAUUCACAUGAUCAUGGAAGAAUUGAAAAUGCUUCGCCAAAGAUUUCAGCUUCGAAGCAAAUUCCAGUACAGACAUACCUCCCUGACGGAGUGUUAGAAACUGUGCCUCCCUCUCAUCCCGAGCACUUGUUGGAAAAUACUUUUCCAAGAAUGCGGUCCGGAAAGAGUUCCAGUUGAUCUCUUCAUGGUUGUCUUCCAUAAUCUCCCUGGUGCCCCUCCACCAGUACUCAGCAUCACCCAGCAGCAAGUAAGUUGCCAUGCCAACCUUGGCACCCUCAACAGUUUGCAAAACACCGAAAAUCUUCUCGAUUUCCUGGAUCCAGAGAUCCGCUUUGUCUGGGUCAGUACCACCAGAGAACCUUGGUGGGUUUUGCCUCCUGAAAUCAUUCAGGCCUUUGUUCUGGUCCAGAGUUACUUCCUUCUGGCGCUGAUGCUGUUCACGUGCCUCCUCAGCAGCACGCCUCAUCGCAUUAUCAUUAGCUUAUGAAGUUACAGCUUGGGCCAUAGUGGCCAUCAUCUCAGCUAACUGGUUAGUAUUCACCAUGUUCUGUUAAGUUAAACAAACAGUUAGUACUCAUCAUAAGAUAGCAUCUAGUAUAACUAUACAAUAUGAUUAAGCAAUAACUUCAAUCAAUUCUAUGCGAGAAAUCGCUUGCAGACAAUCAAUUUUCACUCUUUGUAGAGUCACACAACCUAGCACCGAAGACCUAUUCCCCAACAACUCCCGAAAGACUCGACCGUGCUAUGAUACCACAAUGUAUAUAAACGACAGUAAAUCACAGUUAUCAUGCCUCAAGUAGAACUAACAAGUAUCAAACACACUCAACAACUAAGUCAGUAUGCAUGUUGCAUGAGAUGAUAUGCAGGUUAACCCAGUCAACCAAAUGCAUUCCGGAAACGGAUGGACAUCAAACGGAUCAAUCCUAGCACCAGCAACGGUGGGACCAUUUCUGCCCGCGUGCCUCUUACACCACACAAAGGUAGUCAGAUCAGCCGUAACCCGUAGGUCUGCCAUUUCGGUCUGCUACAAGAGUCGUCUACAAACGCUCUUACACGGCAUUCCGGGUCUUAUGACCAUUUUGGAAACCGACGAGGUCCAGAGUACGUCCUGUGUUAAUACCUCAUUAAUGUUGCAUGAAUGCAGGAUGAUUAGUCAAACAACGUCUCCGAAUCUUACUCGACACGUCGCCAUGUGUUCUAGCUAAAUUAAAGUCUCUAAAAGCUUACCCUAAGGUAACAGUCGAUUCUGCGACAAAAGACCCUUCUCAAUAACACAUAGCUCAUGAUGAUCUCCAAAUCAUCCGACUCAUCUCAAUCCGAUGGUCGUAACUGCUCAACGAGCAAAGAGUACCACGUACUCGGAAACUAUCAAUUUCCCGGACUUAUCCCCAGGAUAGCCCAACAACACAGCUGCUCCAAUAGCACAAGAGUAUCCCGCAUUCACAAGGUCUCACGCCUCAGUGAAGCUUCUCGGCUCAUCCCUUGGAUGGCUAAACAAACUGCUCAACGAGCGAAGGAGUAUCAACAUACUCAGAACUUACCAAUCUCCUCAACACUUGGAUCCGACGACACUUCUCGUUUUCCAAAACUAAGAUUCGACUCCUAAGCUUCCUUCGAGAUUAUUAUCAUUACUUAAAGAUUUAGAGGUUGUUUAAGGUCUUAUGAGUUUUCUUCACAAAAUAAUAUCCUUUUAGCCUUAUCGCAAUUCUUAUAAGUUCUCGGGAUCUCCAAAUCCCCAAAUGACACCAGAGAAUGUCUCGAUCCAUGAAACACCAUAACAAGGUCCGAAUCUCAUUCGUCCUAUCAAACUUUCUCAAAACUCUCAAAAUAAAAUCGGCAUGACCUGCCCGCUAUUCUCACUACUCAGAAUCUCAGAUUUCAUAGCAGCAGCAUAAUUAACUCAUCACAGUCAACAACAUAUCAUGUAUCAAUACAUCUCAGAAUAAACACAUAGCACUUAGCAUAUAAAGCAUGCACCACACAUCCUAAAUUACCUAAUUAGCACUUAGCAUGUAAUUCACUCUCAAAAACAUUCAGUAGAUGAAUCAUCUACAUUGUCAGCCGAAGCCUCAGAAAACAUUUUUCCAAUCAAACACAAACAAGUGCAUAAACAGUAAACAAUGUCGAAAGCAUCGACCCUAAGCAUUAUCUAGAGAUUCAGUGAGAAGCCCUCACCUGUAGAUUCUCCAGGGUGAACUUCAAACUCUUCCUCACAAGCAAAGCGUUGCUCCUCAGGAAAUUCCUCAAAAGCUCCUUUAAAGCAAAAACACAGAAAUACUAUCAGAAUCUAUCGAAAACUAAGCUAUCGAUACUUACUAAGGUUACUCGAAGUAGUUCAUACUCCGAGGUACGAUAGUCUAGCGCGAAAGGACAAGUUUUCGGAAAAGGAAAUUUUCCUCCUCCUCCCCCUAUAAGCUCGGCCACUUUAGGUAAUUAGGGGACUCGAUUUUUCUUCGAUCAAACUUGGUUCCUAUGCUAUCAUUAGCCGUAACUAAGGGUAUUCUGAACUCGGAAAAAUUAUCGGAUCAAAACUGUCGCAGGGGUAUUUUGGUCAUGAUUUUUAACUUAUAAUUUCAAAACUGAAAUCCCAAAAACCAAAUUUGACAGGGACGUUACUAACGACGUUUAUGACAACUAAUCCUACUAGCACUAAGCUAAGGCGAUAGUUUUUAGCCUAAAGGUUGAAGCUUUACUCUAAAAACUCCAAAAAUGGGUAUUUAAGGCUAAAAUUGAUUCCGGCGGAAAUCCGGCGACAUUACGGAAAAUCUAAUCCGGCAGAAGUGAUCUUGGGCACAUAAGGAAGAGGUUUAGAAUCAGAAAUGAAAUAUUCAGGAUAGUUUUGCAAAAACCUCAAAACUAUCAGCUCAGAAAAGUCUACAGAAAAGCUAUGGAAAAAGCGAUCAGAGGUAAGGAUUAGCGACUAUACCUCGAAACCUUGGAGCAGCAACUGAUUAAUCAACGAUCAAGCAAGUAAUGAAGAAAAACUCUUCCUCCUUCUCCUUCUCUUGGCCGCGGGUUUGGGUGGGGAAAAUGGGUAGUUUUUUUUGUGUUUUUCUUCCUUUCUUGGCUAUAUAUAGAGGUUGGCAAAACGCGGUAAAAUGAAAGUUUCGCGAAUCUGAUUUUUCCGGCUUCAUUCUCCAUGAAUUCUAAGAUAGGUUUUGGUAACAUAAAUCCAGAACUCAAAAGAGGUUCCCUUGUAUUUUUGGUAACUAAUGCAAAGUCGGUGUAAAACUAUUUUACCCGAUAAGUUGCUUUUUGCAUCGGAUGUCGGAAUAGAAAACAUCCUUCUGAAGAAAGAUUGAAAUCAUCAAGAGAAAUGGGUGUACGCGUGUGGAAUCUUCAUUUGAAGCUCUGAAUAGAAAAAGUCUUCAUUGUCGGUUGAUUCUAGGGUUUUGAAAUACCAGGGAUUCGGUUUCGGCAAACUUCCGAUGAUUGGAAUUGGACGUUCGUAGAUCCUAGAGUUUCGCCUCGAAACGAUUGUGAUAUAUGGAAAAAGAGAAGUUCUAAUAUUACUCUGAAGAUUUUUGGACUAAAUUCCUACAGUGUUCCAAGGGUGGAACAUAGUUUGAUUUCCUAAGGUUCUUGUCCUAGGUUUUAAAACGAAUAUUAGUCGUGCUAUAACUUAAAUCGACUUCGAUACAAUCCUUUGACUUUUCCUGAACUUUCUCCUUCAUACAUUUAUUUCAUUUAAUAAACUCUUGUUCAGGUUUCCCUUCACAACCCAUCAACCCUAAUCGUGAAUAAGAUUUUAUUCACUUGGCAUAAGUUUAAAAACUUGGGCCUUACAUUACUAUCCUCCAAAAAGAAAGUUUCGACCUCGAAACUUAAGGGUCAGUAAAAAGUUCCGGAUAUUAUUCCUUGAUCUUUUCCUCUAAAUCCCAUAUAGCACCGUCCAUGUCUUUGUUCCAAAUAACUUUCACCGAAGCACUCUGCUUUCUGCUAGAUCGUUUCACUAUUCCAGCCCCAAUGCAGACCGACGGCGUCUCAAAAGACAUAUCAUCUUCCAACUCUAUGUUGUCCGGUUCGACCACUUGCAUCGGGUCUCUGUUGGAAAUAAUAUUUGUUGUCAUUCGUGCAAUCGCACGGCCUUUACCACUUAUUCCUUUGCUUUUGUUCGUCCAAAAUGUUGAUUAGAAACUUGGUACAUCUCUAUGCUCCGGAGUGAAUGCUCAACUUCAGUCUUAAUACCUUGUGCAUCACAAGACUCAUUCCCUUUAACAUUAACUUAUCAACAACUUAUAAGCUAAUCUUCAUCUUAAUAUCUAACAAUUCAUUAUUGUAGUCUUCGUCCUCAAAACCUUCCUCACUCAAACCAAUUCAGACUUACUGAAAUCCCUAACACUUCGCAUAAAUCGAGAUUUAUCCUCUAGAAGAUCAAAUCAUAGCUAUACCUCAAGGGACUUAACUAGUCAUUUUAUCAUCCCAUCCUCCAAUCAAUCCAAUACUUCUUAAAUGAAUAUUCCUUUCUUAAUACGAACACUCCUUCCCAAAGGAAAUCAAUUACUCAACACGAACUUUCCUCCCAAAUCCGACUAAUCCUCGACCAAUUCAAAUUCAUCUUACACAUCCUUCUAUCAAAGUCCAUAGCUAGCUGUGAUUCCGAAUAUCACCCCCUCAAUAUUAAGUUGAUCAGGCCUAAUACAUCGAAGGUGGAAAUAUAGAAAAAACCUACUGGAACAGUCAAUGAGUUCCUAUCAUCCAAUAGUCACAAAUAUCUUGAUAUUAAAUCCUCAAUGAUGUCGCUACGAAACUACAUACUCUCGACAUCAUAUGUAUACUAUCCAUACGAAAUCUCUCUAAGAUUCAUUCUUUAACUUCUAGCUUCUGGUUAAACGCAUCGGUACAAGACUACUUUCUAGGCUUAACGUGUUAUGUUAAACCUCGGGUACUUCUAUAGCUAAAAUACGAGCUACGGUCAAAUAAGGUAUUAAUAAGGUAUUAACCUGGCUCUAAUACCACAAUGUAACACCCCGAUUUCGGUGGCGUCACUUUAGUAACCAAAAUAAACUUAAUGCGGAAAAACGUAAAUAUUUUUUUUCGAUAAUAAUAUAAACAAGACUGAAAUAAAUAUAACGCAAAUGCGAAAGACAACAGAACCAAUAUACAAAGUAAAAUACAGCCCCCGCUGUAAGUAACAACCUCGUCACGAGUAACCUCCAGUGAAGGAAAGAAGAAACGUGUAGCGCCCGUAGGCAAUAUAUACAAGCCAACAGGAAAGGUUAAGUGUCCGCAACACCACCUCCAAAAAUGAGAAUAAAUUGGCCCAAUGGCCUGAAAGAAGACCUCCUAAGUCCAACCAACUCCCUGUGAUUCCCGUAAAGAAACCACACAAAAAGCUAUAGGUGGGAAACUAUAAGGUCAAAGCUCAAACAGUAUAAGUAAGAUAGGUGUGCUUGCACACGCUACGCGAGUAAUGGAACAUAUUAUACUGAAAUGAGAAAGAAUGGUUAGAAGGUUACCAUCGUUCUUGCGCUCUCCUGUGACAAACCCCUCAGCUCUCUCACCGUCCAUGGUGUAGACUCUUGCUUUAGCCGCAGAACGCUUUCCACGAGCAGUGUUCACGGUUGGCUCCGUCUUGGGUGCUCUGCACUGAUCGGCAGUGUGCCCCAUUUUGUUACAAAUAAAGCACUUGGGCCUCGUGUCGGAACAAGCGUUAGCAUAGUGCCCCGGCUUCCCACAUCUGAAACAGGUCAUCUCCCUGUUCAAAGUCCGGUCUCCAGAACCACCAGCAGUACCCGUCAUGGGUCGGUAAGAUCCUGAAGUAAACCCUUUUUCAGCAGGGCGCUGAUAUGGCCUCCCGUUCUGAAAUUUCCCUUUGCCUUGAAAAUUUUGAGAACCUGAUCUCAUCGGUCCUCCAGUUCCAGCACGGUUCAACCUUCUAUUCUUCAUUAGCUCCACUUCUGUGGCUUUCUCCACAACGAAUGAAAGCGCAUAAUUCCCAAUGGCCUCACUGAGUCCUCAAUAUCAGGCCUCAGUCCAUUAACAAAGCGCUUGCACAUAUAGCGCUCAUUCACAUGAUCAUGGAAGAAUUGAAAAUGCUUCGCCAAAGAUUCCAGCUUCGAAGCAAAUUCCGGUACAGACAUACCUCCCUGACGGAGUGUUAGAAACUGUGCCUCCCUCUCAUCCCGAGCACUUGUUGGAAAAUACUUUUCCAAGAAUGCGGUCCGGAAAGAGUUCCAGUUGAUCUCUUCAUGGUUGUCUUCCAUAAUCCCCCUGGUGCCCCUCCACCAGUACUCAGCAUCACCCAGCAGCAAGUAAGUUGCCAUGCCAACCUUGGCACCCUCAACAGUUUGCAAAACACCGAAAAUCUUCUCGAUUUCCUGGAUCCAGAGAUCCGCUUUGUCUGGGUCAGUACCACCAGAGAACCUUGGUGGGUUUUGCCUCCUGAAAUCAUUCAGGCCUUUGUUCUGGUCCAGAGUUACUUCCCUCUGGCGCUGAUGCUGUUCACGUGCCUCCUCAGCAGCACGCCUCAUCGCAUUAUCAUUAGCUUGUGAAGUUACAGCUUGGGCCAUAGUGGCCAUCAUCUCAGCUAACUGGUUAGUAUUCACCAUGUUCAGUUAAGUUAAACAAACAGUUAGUACUCAUCAUAAGAUAGCAUCUAGUAUAACUAUACAAUAUGAUUAAGCAAUAACUUCAAUCAAUUCUAAGCGAGAAAUCGCUUGCAGACAAUCAAUUUUCACUCUUUGUAGAGUCACACAACCUAGCACCGAAGACCUAUUCCCCAACAACUCCCGAAAGACUCGACCGUGCUAUGAUACCACAAUGUAUAUAAACGACAGUAAAUCACAGUUAUCAUGCCUCAAGUAGAACUAACAAGUAUCAAACACACUCAACAACUAAGUCAGUAUGCAUGUUGCAUGAGAUGAUAUGCAGGUUAACCCAGUCAACCAAAUGCAUUCCGGAAACGGAUGGACAUCAAACGGAUCAAUCCUAGCACCAGCAACGGUGGGACCAUUUCUGCCCGCGUGUCUCUUACACCACACAAAGGAAGUCAGAUCAGCCGUAACCCGUAGGUCUGCCAUUUCGGUCUGCUACAAGAGUCGUCUACAAACGCUCUUACACGGCAUUCCGGGUCUUAUGACCAUUUUGGAAACCGACGAGGUCCAGAGUACGUCCUGUGUUAAUACCUCAUUAAUGUUGCAUGAAUGCAAGAUGAUUAGUCAAACAACGUCUCCGAAUCUUACUCGACACGUCGCCACAUGUUCUAGCUAAAUUAAAGUCUCUAAAAGCUUACCCUAAGGUAACAGUCGAUUCUGCGACAAAAGACCCUUCUCAAUAACACAUAGCUCAUGAUGAUCUCCAAAUCAUCCGACUCAUCUCAAUCCGAUGGUCGUAACUGCUCAACGAGCAAAGAGUACCACGUUCUCGGAAACUAUCAAUUUCCCGGACUUAUCCCCAGGAUAGCCCAACAACACAGCUGCUCCAACAGCACAAGAGUAUCCCGCAUUCACAAGGUCUCACGCCUCAGUGAAGCUUCUCGGCUCAUCCCCUGGAUGGCUAAACAAACUGCUCAACGAGCGAAGGAGUAUCAACAUACUCAGAACUUACCAAUCUCCUCAACACUUGGAUCCGACGACACUUCUCGUUUUCCAAAACUAAGAUUCGACUCCUAAGCUUCCUUCGAGAUUAUUAUCAUUACUUAAAGAUUUAGAGGUUGUUUAAGGUCUUAUGAGUUUUCUUCACAAAAUAAUAUCCUUUUAGCCUUAUCGCAAUUCUUAUAAGUUCUCGGGAUCUCCAAAUCCCCAAAUGACACCAGAGAAUGUCUCGAUCCAUGAAACACCAUAACAAGGUCCGAAUCUCAUUCGUCCUAUCAAACUUUCUCAAAAAUCUCAAAAUAAAAUCGGCAUGACCUGCCCGCUAUUCUCACUACUCAGAAUCUCAGAUUUCAUAGCAGCAGCAUAAUUAACUCAUCACAGUCAACAACAUAUCAUGUAUCAAUACAUCUCAGAAUAAACACAUAGCACUUAGCAUAUAAAGCAUGCUCCACACAUCCUAAAUUACCCAAUUAGCACUUAGCAUGUAAUUCACUCUCAAAAACAUUCAGUAGAUGAAUCAUCUACAUUGUCAGCCGAAGCCUCAGAAAACAUUUUUCCAAUCAAACACAAACAAGUGCAUAAACAGUAAACAAUGUCGAAAGCAUCGACCCUAAGCAUUAUCUAGAGAUUCAGUGAGAAGCCCUCACCUGUAGAUUCUCCAGGGUGAACUUCAAACUCUUCCUCACAAGCAAAGCGUUGCUCCUCAGGAAAUUCCUCAAAAGCUCCUUUAAAGCAAAAACACAUAAAUACUAUCAGAAUCUAUCGAAAACUAAGCUAUCGAUACUUACUAAGGUUACUCGAAGUAGUUCAUACUCCGAGGUACGAUAAUCUAGCGCGAAAGGACAAGUUUUCGGAAAAGGAAAUUUUCCUCCUCCUCCCCCUAUAGGCUCGGCCACUUUAGGUAAUUAGGGGACUCGAUUUUUCUUCGAUCAAACUUGGUUCCUAUGCUAUCAUUAGCCGUAACUAAGGGUAUUCUGAACUCGGAAAAAUUAUCGGAUCAAAACUGUCGCAGGGGUAUUUUGGUCAUGAUUUUUAACUUAGAAUUUCAAAACUGAAAUCCCAAAAACCAAAUUUGACAGGGACGUUACUAACGACGUUUAUGACAACUAAUCCUUCUAGCACUAAGCUAAGGCGAUAGUUUUUAGCCUAAAGGUUGAAGCUUUACUCUAAAAACUCCAAAAAUGGGUAUUUAAGGCUAAAAUUGAUUCCGGCGGAAAUCCGGCGACAUUACGGAAAAUCUAAUCCGGUAGAAGUGAUCUUGGGCACAUAAGGAAGAGGUUUAGAAUCAGAAAUGAAAUAUUCAGGAUAGUUUUGCAAAAACCUCAAAACUAUCAGCUCAGAAAAGUCUACAGAAAAGCUAUGGAAAAAGCGAUCAGAGGUAAGGAUUAACGACUAUACCUCGAAACCUUGGAGCAGCAACUGAUUAAUCAACGAUCAAGCAAGUAAUGAAGAAAAACUCUUCCUCCUUCUCCUUCUCUUGGCCGCGGGUUUGGGUGGGGAAAAUGGGUAGUUUUUUUGUGUUUUUCUUCCUUUCUUGGCUAUAUAUAGAGGUUGGCAAAACGCGGUAAAAUGAAAGUUUCGCGAAUCUGAUUUUUCCGGCUUCAUUCUCCAUGAAUUCUAAGAUAGGUUUUGGUAACAUAAAUCCAGAACUCAAAAGAGGUUCCCUUGUAUUUUUGGUAACUAAUGCAAAGUCGGUGUAAAACUAUUUUACCCGAUAAGUUGAUUUUUGCAUCGGAUGUCGGAAUAGAAAACUUCCUUCUGAAGAAAGAUUGAAAUCAUCAAGAGAAAUGGGUGUACGCGUGUGGAAUCUUCAUUUGAAGCUCUGAAUAGAAAAAGUCUUCAUUGUCGGUUGAUUCUAGGGUUUUGAAAUACCAGGGAUUCGGUUUCGGCAAACUUCCGAUGAUUGGAAUCGGACGUUCGUAGAUCCUAGAGUUUCGCCUCGAAACGAUUGUGAUAUAUGGAAAAAGAGAAGUUCUAAUAUUACUCUGAAGAUUUUUGGACUAAAUUCCUACAGUGUUCCAAGGGUGGAACAUAGUUUGAUUUCCUAAGGUUCUUGUCCUAGGUUUUAAAACGAAUAUUAGUCGUGCUAUAACUUAAAUCGACUUCGAUACAAUCCUUUGACUUUUCCUGAACUUUCUCCUUCAUACAUUUAUUUCAUUUAAUAAACUCUUGUUCAGGUUUCCCUUCACAACCCAUCAACCCUAAUCGUGAAUAAGAUUUUAUUCACUUGGCAUAAGUUUAAAAACUUGGGCCUUACAACCUGCAAUGCCAAAAAAUGCAUGCCAAAUCCAGAAGUCUUGUGAUGCCACUACUUCAAGCAUGAUUGUGGGCUUUCCAUGAUCACCUCGGGUGAAUUGACCUUUCCACGCAACUGGACAAUUCUUCCAUUCCCAAUGCAAUUGAAUUCAAAUUUUAAUCUCAACUCAAAUUAAAUGUGGAUUGCUAUUUUGUUCGAAAAACUAAUACAAUCCAAUUUGGAGUUGCCCAACAUACCUGGAAAUCCACGAGACUCGCCUCAUUGAAGUAAGCGGGUAAUGUCUUCCUGGUUCGGGCGCCUCAAGUAUGUUUCACCAAAUACUGCACACACACCUUCCACAAAAUUCUUUAAGCACUCAAUUGCAGUACUUUCACCAAUUCGAACGUACUCGUCAACACUGUCAGCAGGUGAUCUGUACGCCAACAUACGAAUAGCGGCGGUGCACUUUUGUAAUGGUGACAGGCCUUGUCUUCCAACUGCAUCGACAGACAUUAAAAAGUACGGGUCAUGAGACCCAAGGGCCCCUACAAUUAUGAGGAACACAUGCUUUCGCAUUCGAAACCUUCGUCGGAAAAGCUCUUCCGUGUACACAGGAUUUUCGGAGAAGUAGUCAUUCCACAACCGCUCGUUCCCAGCUUCACGAUCUCUCUCUAUCACCUUUCUUGUUCGCUUGGGCCUAACGGUGUUGGCACGUCGUUGAUAAAACUCCAUAUCCUCCUGCAUCAUAUCUUCUAUAGUCGUGUCAUUCAUAAUAUCGUCAAUAAUUACGUCGUAAAUGUCCAAGUCGGACAUAUUGUUUGGAUCCAUUCUAUGACACAAUGAGAAACUAUCAGUGUAAUUGGAUAGGAGGAAGACAAUAUGAGAGGACAAAACAACUCUUGAAUGUUGAGAUGAAUGAAAUAUGACAUGUAUAAAUAAGAGAAACAACAACAGCUAUAUUCUCCAACGGCUAUAUUCUCCAACGGCUAUAUUCCACAACGGCUAUAUUCUCCAACGGCUAUAUUCCACAACGGCUAUAUUCCCCAACGGCUAUAUUCUCCAACGGCUAUAUUUCCCAACGACUAUAUAGAACACAUAAGUAGAAACGCAGUACACAUUAAGAAAAAUUCGAAUACUGAAAUUACAACAUUAAUGCAGAAUACAUAAGUAGAAAUGCUAAAAUUACAACACUGAUGCAAUACACAUAAGUAGAAAUGCUAAAAUUACAACACUAAUGCAGAAUCAAUAAGUAGAAAUGCUAAAAUCACAACAUUGGCACACAUUAAGAAAGACAACAACAAGAAUUAAGACAUUCCUAGUUCAUUCAUGGCGAAUUCAACUAGGCGCUGAUGCGUUGCUAACUGCACCUCGUUCAUUUCAGAUGUGUCCUCCAUAAGGAUAUCUUUGUAUUCCUUCAAUAACCGCGCCUUAUGAAGUUUGUUUUUUUCCUUUCUCACCUCCAGUUCUUCGGUCUUGAGCUUCUCAAAACUCGCCAGGAAUCUCAGUUUAGCUUUCCCGAUGGCUAUCAUCUCGGAGUUAGGAACAUAAUCGAGAUCACUUGAAGCUGUGUCUCCUACUUUGGCUUUCCUUUUCUGGUUCUUUUUUCCCAACGGGCGGGUUGCUGGUUGUGUGGCCUCAUAUUCGUCGCCCUCGAUUGAUGCACUCCGGUAAGACGAUGUUGCAUACACCCCAUCUCCUGACUUCUUCUGCCUCGUUGAACUGGUUGUCAUAAAUGUUCCCUUCCACUUUGGUUCAUCCUUCACCAACCGCCAUUCAUUCUCAUGUUUGAAAUCUUUACCCGUAUCUACAUGAUAUAAUUGAUGCGUCGUAGCCAUGAUGUCCUUAUCUGAGUGUCCACUUUUCCAAUGAUUGACGACUUUAGUGUGGCAACCGACAAAUUUUUGAAGAUCAGCAUUCAAUUUAUUAAAACGAGAUUUCAUGGAUAACCAUGUCCUCGAAGGAGAGGCAUCGUCGCGGUACUCCUCAUAUUGGGCUCGGAUCUUAUUCCAAAACAAAUCUGACUUUUGCUCAUUUCCCACGACCCGAUCGGUAGAAACGUUGAGCCAUGAUUGAAGAAGAAGUAUAUUAUCUUUACCACUCCCUUUGGUGCGUUUCUUUCCGGAUUCUUCAAGAUCAAUAUCAUCUAGACCCCGUUGAGUAGAAAAUUCAGGCUCAUCGGGCAUAACCUCACAUUGUGUACUUGAGACUUUUGAACUACUGCUGCUACCAGUAGGAGGUGCUUGGUAUUGUGGUGGAUACAUACAAUAUUGUGGAUUGUUUGGAUAAGGCAUUUGUGGUGGAUAUGGUCCCAUUUGACCCUGAGGUUGGUUUUGAUGGUAGAACGAUUGUGGAAACAUUUGAUACGAAGGAUUUUGAACAUUACCACCGGUGUGAGGAGGUUGGUUUUGAGGGUGACACAUCUGCGGAUGUUGGCUUUGUGGUUGAUACAUUUGCGGAUGUGGGUUUUGUUGUUGGAACAUCGGCAUAGGUUGGCUUUGCGGACGAAUCAUCUGCGAAUGUUGGUUUUGUUGUUGGAACACCAUCAUAGGUUGGCUUUGCGGGUGAAUCAUCUGCGGAGAUUGGUUUUGUGGCGGAAACAUAGGCGAAGGUUGCAAACCUUCACUUGUAGGAGGUGUUUCAUUGUCGAGCAGUGGAUAAUAUUGCUCAUAAGGAUUAGACAUUUUGAGAAAUUUGAGAAUUUGUGGACAAGAGAGAAAUUGUAGGAGUAAAUGUUGGUGUUUCAAAUGGUCUACUGCACUAUAUAUUAAGGUAAAGAAGCUGAGAAUUGAAAAAACGGUCAGAAAACCGGUCAAUUUAAAAAUAUUCAAAAAAAAAUGCCCAAACGGGCAGAAAACCGGCUCCAGCCGGUCUGGACCGGCCCGUAACGGUGGGAUGACCGGCUCAGCCGGUCACCCACUAUAUAAUCUAUUUUUCCUCACUCACUCUCCAUUCCAACUCUCAACCCUAGUCGCUCCUCUCUUCUUCCUCUCUUCUCUCACGCUCAGCUUCUUCUUCAACCUCAAGCUCUUAAUCACCUUCUUCUUUUCCCCUUCCUCUUUCCCUCUUCCUCUUUCUCUGACCUGCAGCGCCUCCUUUUCCCCUUCCUCUCACCCUGACCUGCAGAUCCUUCCUCUCUACCUCACUUCUCCUUUUCUUCUUCCUCUCGACGCCUCCUCUUCUCCUUCCUCUCUCCCUCACUUCUUCUCCCUCGAUCUCUCUGGUCCACGCCUCCAAAGCCCCAGCCGAUCACCAAACAUCAACCGCCGCCACCAAACAACCACAUGCAGUCACCAUCGGCCACCAAACAACCACCACCGCCAACAUACAGCCUCAAUCCAACCCCCACAACCCCUGUUUGCCAGCUUCAAAGCCUUGAAGCUUGCAAAAAUCCUUCCUUUUCACACAUGCAAGGGCCAAUACUCUCAGAUCAGAGCUUCCAGAACUUCACCGGAGAAGUUUUUUUUUUUUAGGGUUUAGGGAAAUAUCAAUUUUUGUGUUUUAAGUUUCAAUUUCUUCAUGUAAAGUUUCAAUUCAUUCAAUAAAAUUGCAAUUUUCGUCCUCUGAUUAUGUCUCUGUUGAACUUGAAUUGUUCAAUUUCAUCCUUUCUGUUAUGUUUGCCUCUGAAAGCUGUUGGGGAAGUGAGAGAAAAUAUAUUAUUUUAAUUAAGAAACUGAAAAAGCAAAGUUGCUUGCAGAAGCAACCAUGCACUAUAGUUAAGAAACUGAAACUGCCAACUGAGCAAGCUCCAAUGGGUUGAAAAGCUAAGAAACGUUUCUUAGCAACUCCAUUUGGGUUAAGAAACCAGCGUUGAAGUUGCUCUAAUAUACCAUCACCACCACAAGGAAUCAGUCAAGGCACGUGCGGUAAAGAAGUGCAUCAUGUGUAACCAACAUAUGUGCCACGUCCAGGAGAGAGAAAAUAAAGGAAAAUAACCAUUUUUGUUUUGUUUUGUUUAAUUUCUACAGCAAAAUAAUAAGAAAUGCUUCUUCUCUGACUCUCUAUUGAAGAACAGAACCCGUAUUGCAAAACAUAGCUAUUCAUGGCAGCCAAUUCAAUUUCAAUGUCUCAUGAAAUAAUUUAGAGCAUGUUAAUCGAAUUUUUAAGCAGAUUAAUAGCCCUCAAACAAAUUUUGAAAACAUGCAUCACAAAGGGAUAAAUUGCAAAUCGAAAAUUUAAGGGUUCAAGAUACUAAAGCAUCAAUUUCUCACAAAGUACUCAACCAAGUCACCCCAAAUUUUAGUAUGUAGGUCGAAUAACAUCAUCAAAACCACCCAAACAAUUUCUAGAAUCAUGCACAAAAUUUGGGAUGAAGAAAUAUAAUUACGCCAGUAACGCCGUUACAGACAAAAUACGCGAACUGAAACGCAUUGGAGUUUUGAUGCUAACAGGCACACAUACGGAAAUUACUUGAUUAAUAAAUCAUUCCAUAAAGCAGCCAUAACCCAUUUCUAUCAAGCUCUGAUACCAAUUGCUGAAUUUAACUGACCAAAUAGAUAAUAUACAUAUAGAUACAUAUUACAAUAUUACAGCAUGUUCUGAUUCAAUAAUGAGAAAAAGAAUUGUGCACCUGAAAGGAUUGAAGAAUACAUGAGUCUGUUGUUUGACCAGAGAAUGAUAGUGGAAAGACACCAGAGGAUGGAACUGCUCUCUGCACCUGGUAAUACAUUCUCUAGAUAAAUUGUCUAAUGGGGAAACAAUUUAUAUAUUACCAGUUGAGACCAGGGUCCCCUCAUUAGACAAAGUUAACUGAUCUAACCCAUCAUAGGACAGUUAAUAACAAAAGUCUAAUCUACCAUCUAUCAUAAUACAUUUAAUUGAAUUAAAUUAAUAAUUCACAUAAUUGAUAUUAAUAACCAAAACAAAAUAUAUCUUAGUUAAUUGAUAAUGUUAACCCACAUAACAAACAAUAGAGAUAGUUAAUUAUAAAUAAAUCUAACAUCACUCCCACCAUCUGAAUCACGGCCUCGCCUGCAACAUCAUCGUCCGGUGGCAAAAGACAUCAAUGGACAGGAACCACAAGUCUGAUGACAGUUACGUUUCUGGGUGAAAUCAUUUUAAUAUUUUUAAAUAAUAUUCAAAACUCUGAUAAUCAUGUGUCAAUUUAUUUGAUUUUGAUUGGUGUGAAUGUGAGCAUACCUAUUAAACUUUUUUAAUUUAGCAAUCAAUUUUAUCUUUUAAGAAAAAUUGAAAAAAUUAUAGUACAUAAACCCACACAAAAUUCUGUAGGUAUAUAUUACUAUUUUUUCUGUAGUUAUUACUUGAUAGGUAGAAAGUGAUAGGAAAAUCGAUAGCAAAUAUAUUGUGUUGGACCAUAGGAAAAUCUAUUGAAAAAUCUGGAUGAAAAUUCACAAAAGAAGUUGUAGAAAAAUUUGGAAAAACAGUAGGAGGAAUCUAUAGAAAAAUUGAUGAAUAAAUUUUCUUAUAAAUUUUUGCUACAAAUUUUUUCUGGGUAAAACUUCAUGAGAAUAUUUGAUAUUUCUCGUGAUUUUUUAAGGAAAUUUGAUUUGUAGAAAAAUUUAUAAGAAAUUUAGACAAGCAAAAAAGAUUAUUUUAAUAGCAAGGGGGGUAGGUUCUUGUAAGUUGGUCGAGCAAAUUAAUAAUAAUAUUUUAAUAGCAAGGGGUAGGUUCUUCGUUCUUGCAAGUUGGUCAGGAAAAUUGAUAAUAUUUUAUUCUUGUUUUCAAAAAAAAAGAUAAUAUUUUAUUCUUGCAAGUUGCUGGAGCAAGUAGCGGCAACCCACCCAGACGGAGGAAUUUAUUAUACACCUCUAAAAACUUGUGCAUAGUUGCACAUUUGCUUUUUAACCUGCAAUAGCAAGUUUAGUAGGUUUUUUUGUUAAAAAAUAAAAAAACAUAUAUAUUAGUAAACUAAUUAAUGAAGGAUUAAGUUAAUUAUUAACUCAGUAAUUAAAACCAAAAAAAAAAAUCUUCUUGCAAAACUCCCCCGAUCAUCCUCACCUUACUCAUCCCAUCUCCAGUCCCUAUCUCCCAGCCCUAACCCUUUCCUCCUCUUCUUUCUCCCAGCCACCGCAACUCCCCAGAUCUGCAACACCACCUUCAUAUCCCAACCUCCUUCUUCCUUUCAGCCAAGAAAAACCCACGCUCACUCUCUUUCAACAUCUUCAACAGUUUUAAGUUUCUUCCCAAAUUUCUUCAUCUUUGACAGAGAGAAGUUAAAUGCACCACCACGCCUUCCACCGCACUGCGCAACGCCUCCACCACCACCACUCGCAGCUUUCCCGCCCUCAGUUCAAGUAACCUCCAUCACACCGUCAUACACAUCCAUACGACCCCAAAGUCCCAAUUUUUCAGCUUCCAAACACCACUUUACGACCCCAUAAACAACCCAGAACCUGGGUGUGUCUCUUCUGGGCUAAAAACAGAAGAAAAAAAACAAGAUCUUGAUGAAGAGUAGAAGGCUUACUCUAUCGCUCCAUCUGAUGGGAACCAGAUCUGUGCGACGAAUCUUCUGCAGUCACUCCAUCGCUCUCCUUCUCGCACCUCUGAUUUUUGCUCCUUCAUCUUCUCUUUGGUUAUGGGUUGGGUUUUUGGGCUUAGUUUCUUGGCGGGGUUGGGGGUGAGGGUGGGAUGGGGUGCGAUGGGCUUCUUCUCUCUGCCACCGCCGUCACGCCUCAUCUCUCCAAAAUCCAUAUCACCCUCAGAUCUUCUUUCUCGACCCACGGCUGUUGAACGAGAUCCAGAUCAAGAGGGAGAUGCAGCUUAACGGCGAAGGCCACCCACAGAGAUGCAGCCCCAACGGCGAAGGCCGGUGCGGUUGGGUGGUUUUUUUUUUUUUUUAGAUCUAGAUUUUUUUGGGUUGUUGGUGAGAAUAACAGAGGAGAUGAAGGAGAAAGGUCUGUGGGGAAGACAAAGAGAGAAGAGGUGAUGAAGGGGGAGAGAGAAGAGGAACAGAUUUUUUUUUUUGAUAAAGAGGAAGAGGAACAGAUUAAGAUUAAGGAUAAAUGUUUUCUUUUUUAAUUAAUUAAAAAUAAAUGCUUAAUUAAGAAAAUAUGUUUUUUGAUUUUUUUUUUAAAAACUUGCUAUAGUGGGUCAAAAGGUCAAUGUGCAACCUUACACAAGUUUGUAGAUGCCCAUAAUAAAUUUUUCCAACCCAGACAAGCAAACUAAUCAAUAUAAUAAUGUAUUCUCCACUAUAAAUACCUAUAUGCAUCAAGCAAUGCAAUCACACCCAAAACCUUGUCUUCAGUUAUUCCCCAUUGAAGCAAGCAAAUUAAUCAUGUUACCUCUAGCAUUGGCUAUACCUGCGUUGCAGCUCCUUCUGAUAAUACUUUUCAUUCUAUCAGUUGCCCAGCUUCUUAAUCCAAAAGAGCAUAAAAAUGGUAGGAAAUAUCCACCAGGUCCCAAACCUCUGCCAAUUAUAGGCAACCUCCACCUGCUGGGUAAACUCCCACACCUCUCCAUUCACGAGCUUGCCAAAAAAUAUGGACCCAUCAUGUCCUUAAAGCUAGGACAGGUCCCAACCAUUGUGGUUUCGUCCCCUGAAACAGCAGAGCUAAUCCUCAAGACCCAUGACUCUGUUUUUGCUAGCAGACCUUUAACUCAAGCAUCCAAAUACAUUUGCUAUGACAGUAAGGGCUUGAUUUUCUCUGAGUACGGUUCCUACUGGCGCAAUGUGACGAAGCUGUGCACCUUUGAGCUCUUAAGCGUGAAUAAAGUUCAAAGUUUUGCUCCUUUAAGGAGUGAGGAAGUACGAGUGUUUGUGAAAUCACUUGAGAAAUCAGCAGCCUCACGCGAGGUUGUGAAUGUCAGUAAGAGAGUUGGGGAACUUGUAGAGAAUGUUGUCCAGAAAAUGAUUUGGGGUCCCAGUAACAUUGAAAAUUUUGAUGUCAAAAGGCUUGUUCAUGACGUUCUGCACCUCAUGGGAGUUUUUGAUGUGGGAGAUUAUAUACCUUGGGUUGGGGCAUUUGAUCUUCAGGUACUUCCAAUACAACCACUACUAGCAUGUUUGAAUCUACUUAUUUCGCUUCAUAAUCAUUUCUUAUAUGCAACAAUUAAACUUUUUUCCUAGAAUCAAUUUUGCCUUUAAAAGGACUAUAGAUCGAUUUUCGUACAUGUACUAUUGCAUCUUGUUCAAGGUUGUCAUCGAUUCUAAGUUUCUAGGUCCCAAAAAGAAUCAACUAGCAAGUAAACUCUAAAAUUUCAAGAAUCGAGCAAACUCUUGUUAACUUGGUAAACUCGCAUAGGCUUGCGAUUCUACACCAAGUUAGUCACGGAAAAAACAAAAACAAAUUUUUCCCUAAAUCCUGAAAUUAAAUGGAGUAAUUUUGGAUUUUCACAAAAAGCUUUCAAUUAAGACCGAGAGAAAAAUAGGAUUUUCUCAUUUUAAUCCAACAUUCUCAUUCACCUUCAAACUCUUGGAGAAGAUGAGACAUCAGCGCUGCAAGUCGUCGUCGCCGCUUUAAAUUUUUAGCUAUCUCCAAGACUUUAUUUUGAAUUAUGCAUUCUUGGUACUUUGAAUCUUUGAUCGUUUAUGUAUUUUAUUGAACUUUACUUUAUUAUAAAGUUGGUUGUUGAAUUUAUUUGAUUAUUGUCUCCUUAGUGGUUGUAUUAUGUAUUCUUUUUACACCAUGACAGGUUUUAUCAAGGUUUUUAUUUUGGUAGACUCUUACGAGUCUACGAGUUAACUUGAGGAAACGAGUUUACCUCCCAAAACGAGUUUGCGUAGACUCUCGAGUCUGACAACAUUGAUCUUGUUACUUUUGAUUCUUAAAAGUCUUAUGUGACAAACCUAGGACACAUCAUCAGUUAGUCCGUAGUGGCAUUCUACAAGGCUUUAUGAGACUGUAUGACACACCAUGCUACAUGCUGAUGUGAUAAUAUUGACAAUAAUAAAAAUCUCAAAUCUUUACACAGUGAUAAUUCGAACAUGAGACCUCAAUAUUUAUAGGACUUUGAACAUAUUUAAUCCUUAUUCUUAUCCUAAAAGAUUUUACAUUGUCCACUAAAUCUGACUUAAUAUUUAAUCCAUAUCUCAGGGACUAGUAAGAAAGUUCAAGAAAGCGCACGAGGAAUUUGAUCAAAUGUUAGAGCAAAUCAUCAAAGAUCAUGAGGCUCCUUCUCGUCUUAGCGACCAGAAAAACGGGCAAUCUAUUGACUUCACUGACACAUUGCUAUCACAUAUGAAGCAAUCAAAGGACAAACAUAUUAUUAACAAAACAAAUCUCAAGGCUAUUUUGUUGGAUAUUAUUAUCGGAUCACUUGACACAACUAUCAUGACGACUGAUUGGGCUAUGUCAGAACUACUGAGGCACCCGAAGGCUAUGACGAAACUUCAAGAUGAGUUAAAGAAUGUAGUGGGUAUGGGGAGGGUGGUAGAAGAAGAUGACAUACCAAAGUUGCCAUACCUCAAUAUGGUGGUGAAAGAGACCUUUAGGAUACACCCACCUGCACCCCUCCUCGUACCUCGCGAGUGUUUGGAAGAUAUAACAAUCAAUGGUUAUUUCAUUGCGAAAAAGUCACGGGUUUUAGUCAAUUCUUGGACAAUAGGACGAGAUCCUAAAAUUUGGUCAGAUAAUGCUGAGGAUUUUUAUCCAGACAGAUUUCAAAACACCGACACAGAUUCUCAUGGACUCCAUUUUCAAUUUCUACCAUUUGGUUCCGGUCGUAGACGCUGUCCCGGGAUGCAAUUGGGUUUAACUACCGUUCCGUUGGUUCUAGCUCAGUUAGUGCAUUGCUUCAAUUGGGAGCUUCCAUUGGGCAUGUCUGCCAAUGACUUAGACAUGACGGAGGAAUUUGGCCUUACAACGCCAAGAGUUCAAAAUUUGCUAGCGAUUCCAACUUAUCGCUUAGUAAAUGAAGGUAAUUGAAUGCAUCAAACCUCGUGACAAAGCAAGAAACUAUUUUAAUGUGUUUUUCAAUUUAUGUCUUUCUUUGUUUGUCUCUUAAUAAGAUCUUCAUGUGCGCACAGAGCUUCUUUGCAGCCCUUGGAUCGAUCAUACCUAAGAGAUUAUGCUGAUUUUUUUUAUUUUGGCACUGUAAUAAUUUGAUAAUCCUAUUACUCAUGAUGGGUUUCAAUACGUUAAGUCGGCGCAUAUCAUCAUGUAUUUGAACAUUGCAUGUUAUUUUCCUUUAGACAAAUCUCUCUAGCCCAACAACCAACAUAAAAAUUGGUUUCAAAACAAACAACCCAACACAAUUGGUAGCUAGAUAGCUGAGUUCGUUAAGCAUUUAUUUGAGAGUUUGAUUCUUGAGCAGUGUAUAUAGAGAAAGAUUUGUUGAAAAAGACUUACCCGCUCAAUCUAGAGCUGGGUACAAGGGUGGCCCACUCCGCACAAGCCUGCUUCGUGUUGCUUCGCCCCGCGUAGGCCCGCAUUUUAGCAGUCCUCUAUUUUCCGGGCUAUAACCCGCAGUAGUCCGCGGUUUUGCGGGCCGAUCCAUGGACUUUGGCAUCUCUUACCCCUUUUUUGCCUUUGUAGGCCUGCCCCGCAUUGACCCCCCCCCCCCCCCGCACUGGCCCGCUUCGCGUAGGCCCAUAUUUUAGCGGUCCUCUAUUUUCCGGGCUACAGCCCGCACUAGUCCACGGUCUCGCCGGCCGGCCCGCGUACUUCGACCCGCUUACCCAGCUCUAGCUUAAUCUAAUCUCAGAUCAUUGAAUAGAUUAGUCUUGGUGCUGCCAACUAUCAAAUACUUAAUAAAAAAUGGCUUAAAAGCACUUUUGGUCCCACAAAUUUCUAUUGUGUAAAUAGAGUCUUUAAUCUUUAAAAAUAUCACUCUUAAUCCCCAAUGUUACCCUCCAUCAACCUUCUUUGCAAUGGCUGAAGCUUGAAUUUUAUUUUUUUGAGGACCAUAGUAAAAUUUUAAUACGCAUAUAUACUUUCUUGGUUAUUUGGUGAGUUUCAGAUCAAAUUUCAGUAAAUAAACCAAAAUAUCUUUAUUAGAAAAACACAUAUGUAUACAACAAAAAUGAAAAAGAUUAACCUAACUUAUGUACAGGAACAAUAGAAAAUUACUAUAAGUUGUACUAAUAAUCUUUGAAAUUUUCUAUUUAGUUUUUUUUUCUUCAAGUUUUGGAUUAUUGGUAUAUAUAUUUUUUCCUUUAGAUAGCAUUUUUAUAUUUAUAAUCAAAAUUCUUUCUCUUAAUAAAAGAAUUUAUUCUUUAAUUUUUGGUUAUUAAUUUUUUGGGACAAGCUUCCAUAUGCCAUUUUUCUGAAGAGGCAGGGGUGCCCCCCUUUCCUAGCCAUUGAUUUAUAAUAUUUUAAUUGAACGAUCCGGAUCAGUUGAGGAAGAUAAUUAUGGCUUGGUCCUAUGCACUAGUCAAAAUAUAUCUCUGGUCCUAUUACAUUUUAUAUUCACGUAAAUGACUGUAAAGUUUAUGCAAUCCAUUAUAGACCCUAUGAGUUUUCAUAUCUAAAAAUUAGUCCUAACUAUAUAUACACAAAACCAUGAAUUAAAUUCAUUUUAUGCAUCCAAAAUCUGAAGGAUCCAUUGCUCUUCUCUCUUCUCCAAACUUACUUUCUCCUUCUCCUACAAGUGACAAUGGAUUAAAACAAAUGAGGAUGGAGAGUGGUGGAUCCAAAAGUGGGGAUUGUGCAUUGAUGAGUUGUGGAUCUAAAACUGGGGUUGUCCAUGUCAAAAAAUAUGUUUAUGGUUUUGUGAUAACAAUCUCAUAGAUAAGUAUAGUGAAAGAAUAGAAAAAUAAUUGCAUAAAACUAUUCUCACUUUCUGGGUUCCAUAAGUGGUAACUAGUUAGGAAAAAUAAUUUUAUGUUGUUGUUUGUUCAAUGUUUGGUGAGAAUUUGUGCAAAAUCUGUGUCUCCUUGAUGUUCCUCGUCAAGUCACAGUCCCAACAAGUCAUACUAGAGCUUUGAUGGUGACUCGAGGUGGUCGGAAUCAUCAUUUUCGAAAAUGACCCAUUUUUAAAAGUUCCUGAAAUGAAAAUCUGAGGUCAUAGAUGGAUUCAGAAGGUUGAGACGAGUCCGGAACAAGUUCCGGAAUCUCAAACGGAGCCUGGACGAAGCUACACUCUCCCGCACUUGCCGGCGAGGUGGCCGGAGAGUGAGCCCACUCUCGGCCACGCGCUCCACUCGCGCUAGAGGAAGAAGGAGAGUGGCGGCCACUCUCGGCUAUGAGACACACGCGCCUGAUGACGUCAGAGACGCUGAUACGGCUUGUUCUCAUGCUGACAUGUGACAGAAUGUGUUUUUUGGAAAUUUUGGGUCAUUUUUAUCCGUUUUGGGUUCAAGAGGAGUCGAUUCUAAGGUUUUCGACCGUUCCGGACGCAAUGGUGUGGUUCUUUUCUUGAAAAUCUUUCCAGAUUUGCAAAUAGGACCAGAUAUUGGCCUUUGAAUAAACUUAAGUAAUGUGUUUUUUUAAUAAAUUUGGUCAUUUUUAUCCGUUUUGGGUACAAGGGGAGCCGAUUCUAAGGUUUUCGACCAUUCCAGAAGCAACGGUGGUAUUCGUUUCAUGAAAAUCUUUCCAAAUUUGCGGAUAUGAUUAGAUCAAUUCUAAUAUUUAAAUGAAUACUAGUGAAUUGAUGGAUAAUGACACUUUUAACCUAAUUUAGUUAUUCUAAAGUCUACGUUAAACUAGGAUUAUCCAUUUUAAUGACCUCUUAACUUAACGUUAGUUAUUCCAUUGACCCUUUUAAACGAAUGUUAGUUAUACUAUUAUCUCGAUUAGACUAGGGUUAGUUAUUCUAAUGACCCUCCUAACUGAAGCUUAGUUAUACUAUAGUCUUAGUUAGACUAGAGUCUGUUAUUCUAUAGUCUCAGUUAAACUAGAGCUUGAAAUUCUAUAGUCUCAGUUAAACUAUAGCUUAAAUCAGGUUUAUCUAUUAUAGUGGUUUUCUUAACUUAAGAUUAGUCAACUUGUGUUAGCGCAAAAAAAAAAAAUCAAAGUAUGAAAAAAAGGGCCAUCAGCCAAACAAAAUUCCAACAGAAUUGGCUAAUGCAAAAAAGCCCAGAUAUGCGUUUUUUGCACCAAAAAAGGAGGGGUCAGCAGCAAAAAAAACUAGCCCAAGAAAAAAAACAAUCAAAUCCUUAUAGAAAAGUGAAGGGCCAUCAGCCAAACAAAAAAAACCAACAAAAUGGGCUAAUGCAAAAAGGCCUAGAUAUGUGUUUUUUACACAAAAAAGGAGGGGCCAGCAGAUGAAAAAAAAAAACCUAGCCCAUUUUUGUUUUUUUUCCGAGUUCUUUUUUCUUCUGAUUUCAUUUAUUCUGAUUUCAUUUAUGAGCUUUUUCUAAGGAUUUUUCAAUAUCAAAAACAUACUUUUGAGACUUUAAUUCACAGUUUUUGAAAUUAAUAAAAUCUCAUUUUGAUUGAUUAAUCUGAGUUAAAAUAAAUGAUUAACUAACUGUUGGUUGUUAUUAUAAAUACUCUUAAUUAUGUUGAUAAUCAUAAUAAGGAGGAGGGAUGAAAAAAUGAACUAAAGAAGAUGGAGAGGAAUCUUAUCCUUCUCGACCACUUUAAGCAUUAACUUCAUGAUGAUUAAACUCUUUGAUUUGGACCCUCGAGAGUUACGACACACCUCAGAGAACCCAAUGAUGAAGAGGAAACUAUAGAACAUUUACACUUGGACCUUGAACUAGGGUUAGUUAUUUCAUAGUCCUGAUUAAACUAUGAUUAUAUGUUCUACUAACUUUAAUAACCUAAGGUUAGUUAUUCAAUAGUCCCUAGCUAGGGUUAGUUAUUCUAGUUACACUCUUAACUUAAGGUUAGUUGUUUUAAUAGUUCCGAUUAAACUAGAGUAUCUAUUCUAAUGACCAUCUUGUUAGGACAGGCCACAAUUAUAGCAUCUAUAAAGAAUAUUCGAUCAAGAUGAACCAUAUGGAUGAUCAAGAUGAAACAUGUGGAUGAUCAGGAUGAACAUGAUGGAUGAUUGUGAUCUUGAUGAUGGAUGUCAUGAUGGGUGGUCAAUAUGAUCAUGAUAGAUGAUUAAGAUGAACCCGAUGGAUAGCCAGGAUGAAACUCAUGGAGGAUCAAAAUUGUCACGAUGGAUGGUCAAAAUGAAAUUGAUGUUAGAUUAUAUUUAUAUAAAAAGGUCAAGAGUGACUUGUCAGAAAGUCGACCAUGUUGAACAACACAUCGUUAGCUAAUCUCGAUCUUAAGUUCCUAAUAUUAGCUAGUUCAAGCAAGAUUAUUGACAUGUCAAAACAACAUAACCAGGCAUAUAAAGCUUUUAAGUUUUUAAGAUUAGAUAUUUCGGUUAAGAUCAACUUGUCGAAACAACCUGAUAAAGCUUUCAAGGUUGAUAAGUUACAAAGAUUAGCCAACUUGACGUGUUCAUACAAUCAAAAGAUUAAUUGGAUGUAUGUGUAAAGUGUAAACAAAGUUUACACUGUCGGUGCAUACACAUUUAAUCAUUCAAGUAAAUAACUGAUUUUAUUCUACUAAUAAUUAAAUAGAGAUUAAUUUUCAUGCACUGACAGUGUAAAUGAGUUUACACAGGUUCAAUCAUAUCUCAAUUUUUUGGCUCAUAUUUAAUUUUAAAUUUAAUAAUAUUUAAAAUAAGAAAUAGAAUGUUGUGAUUGAAUGAUUGGGUAAAACCUUUUAUACUGUGAGUACAUAAAAAUUAACAUGAACGAAAUAACCUGAUUUUAAUUUUUGGCGCUCAAAAUUUAAAUUUUCCCGCUCAUAUUUUGAUUUUUUUGAAAUUAAAACACUGAUUUUAGUCAAUUGAUUUUACGUGUGAGCUCCUCCUUUUUUGGCUUAUUUUAAUCUUUAUGCUCCUUUCAGAGUUCCCGCUCUUCCUUCUUUUAGUUUCCCUCUCUUUUUCAUCUGUCAAAGUAUUCAGGACUCAAUUGGAGAAGAAAAAUUAAAAAAUUCUAGAAAUCUUAUCUCUAUCCUACUUGAGAUUUCCUAUCUCACUAAUCUGUCCUUUUCAUCUUACUCUCUCACAUUUUCACUAUCUCUUUAUCUCCACCUCUUCUGCAUCUCCUUAUCACUUUACAGUCGGAUCCAGUUCCUCUCCUGCCAAUCUCUCUCCGGCGUCUCACCGCACACGGCCGUUGAAGCUCAUGACCGCCGUCUCCGCCAAGGACCCAAACAUCGUCGCGUCUCAUCGUUCUAUCACCGCUCUCGGCGCUGGCCUGAUCACGACCGCCUUAUCCCACCCAUUGUGCCUCUCGCUGACGAAGCAAACCCAACCGCGUCUCGCCGUCUCCGAUUCUCUCAUUCAAUUUGUCGCCGUCAAGCUCAAGCCCCAUAUCCUUCAGAACGACUACCCCUGGUUUCCAAUUUCAAAUUUAGGAACACGAAACCUGUAACAUUGUACAAGAGGAAUGCAUAUUGUCUUGGCAUUUUAGAUUUUUUGUGGUUGUACCAGAGGACAUGACUAGGUGAAGAGUAGUACCUCGGACGGUGAGUUCAAUUUCCUACCUUCCGCUCUUAUGUUCAAUUUUUAAUUUUACUUCCUCUGUUAUUCAUCUCUUUCUCAUUUGGCUUACCAUUUGUCAGGAAAACAAAAUUCUGUGCAUAUGCUAAACUAGCCAUUAAAAAAAUUGACUUUGAUAUGAGGGUGUUUUUUUGGAUGAUUGGUCUAUCUUGGCUUAGAAACUGAUUUUUGGUGAUUUGUUUUCUGCAGCAAAAAGGGUUUUCUGUGAUACUUUCAGACAUGCGUCCAUCGGUUUCUGGAAUCACAAUCGGUUGUUGGCAGUGCUGCUUCUUCUGUUCAAGCUUCAGCUGAUGAUGAUGAUGAUUAUAUUCGGGAGGAGCAAAGUGUUGAUGAUCCAUCCGGUUCAAAUGAUAAGGGAGUCUUGCAAGUUGGAGGGAACCUUAUUAUAAAGAUUUUGGAGAGUGAAGAUUCCAAAGGUGGUUCAUUUUUCUCAAGACUAGUUUUAUUCCAGCUGAUUUGGUUGCGUAAUGUGUUUAUUUAAUCUCUUUUGAAAUCUUCUGCUGCAGAAAUCAGUCAGAUUUGUAAACCAUUAUUUAGAAAGUCAUCGUAGCUGAGGCCUAAAGCCACAAGACCUUCCUCAAGAGAGAUCUAUUUGAUAUGUCAUGGUUUAAAGCCAGACGCAAAGACAUAGGUUGUUUUAUACGAUAUUCUUUGUCUGGGUGAACAUUAGGGAUGAACAACAUACAAAACUCACCUUCUCCUUUAUUUUUUUAUGUUCAUUUUCAUUACUAUAUUUGUGCUUGAUUUUGUUAAAAGGGUGUUCUACUUUUGGGCUCUACUAUGGUCAUGGGAUAUUUUCUAUUCUUAAUUUAAUUAUAAUAAACUACUUUUAAGAUCAGUCGGGGACCAUAUAAGAGACUAUCAAAUUUUUUACCUUGUGCUCAAACUGGAUUUUCUAAUAUUUUUGUUAUGAUCUUAUGUUCCUGAUUUAAUUUAUACCAUUUUAAACUUAAAUUAACAGGAUCUGUUGCAACAAUGGGUAAGAACCAUUUGUGAGUUUAGUGACAUAAUUUGAUUGUCACCUUGGUUUCAAUUGUGCAUGACACUCAUUUGUUUCUUGCCUUGUUUACUUUGUGUUUUCCUGAAUGAUUUUCUUGUUUGCUGUCUGACAAGUUUUUAGUUUCAGGCACACUAGUUGUUCAAUGAAAUAGGAUAAAUGUGCGAAAGCAAGAAUCAUGAAGGUGAAAGAGCAACCCGUUUUAGGCUGAGUAGCACCUUAUUGAAUCGCACCUCCAAUAUUUUGUUCAUUGUGAGAGGUCCAUUUGAAAAAUCUGGGAAUUUUUACAUUAUUCCUUCGAUUUGGGUGCCUCUCUCUAUCUCUCUCUGUCGAGUUCACCAAUUUCUUUGUCUAUCAUCACUAAUUCCUUUGUUUAUGUUCUGCAUAGUGAGAUUAAUUGAUUGCUUUAAAGAAGUCAAUUUAUGAGACUGGGCAUUCAAGGGAGUUCCAGUGAUUUGGUUACCGAGGUAUAUGGACUAUGUAGUGGAUUAUCUUUCACAAAUCGUACCGACUGUCUAGCGCAAGUUGAUCCAGGUUUCUCCUUCCUCGACCUUUCACAUUUUUUUAUGUGAAUUUAAUUUACAUUAUGAAUUCUUUAUUGAUUUGGGUUUGUGGAAAGUUCAGGACUUUCAUGUUUUAACCAUGUGAUGUGUCCAAUUGCAAUGAGUAAUGUUCAAAAUCACUCUUUGUCAUCAAAUGUUGGCACAUCAAAUUUGCGAUUGAAAUUUAAGAAACGUGAACUUUACUACGUAAUGCAUCCAAAUGGUAAAGCUCUUAAUUCAUUGUUGAUUUUUCUUUGGCCAUUCUCAUGAUUUGGUACUGUUAAAUUGUGCUAUUAACUUUUGAUUUUCUAUAGUGAUUGUGCAUGUUUUGUCUUUAUCUACUUUCUUCUUUCAUCUGUUUGUUGGCUACUUAGAUAUAUGACAUACUCCUAUUUUCUCAGAAUCAAUUAAUUUCCACACAUGCGCAUAGUGUGCUACUUGUUUCUAAUUUUGUUUCAUUGACUCCAUGUUCUGUGGUGCUAAAAUUAACUUGUGGCAGUUUGUAGGAGGAAAAAGGGUGGAUGGUUUCGUGUCUGAGAUCAUUUGGUCAUGCUAAUAUUGACUGUUUAAUAGGGAGGAUAAAGGAUAAAUUGUAAUGCUGUUUGGAAUGAAGGAGGAUAAAUUGUAAUGAAGGAGAUUGACAUCUGGUAUUGAUUGUAUUUGUUUAUAUAUGGUAAAGUGGCCAGAAAUUUCCUUUAGAUCAGAAAAGUAGAAAUGAAAGGUAGAGUGGAUCGUCUACAUUCACUGAGUGCAUGUUUGUAAAUUUAAUAGAUUUUCUCAUUUGGGGGUUAAAUGAUUCUGGAAGAAGCUAUCAGAAGUAAUUCUUACAUAGGGAAAAAUGAUCAUGAGAGAGUUAAAGUAGAUCCAAAAAUGGUGAAAAUUAGCUAUAUGUAUUACAGAGGAAAACAUUUUGAGGAUUGAUCGAUAAAAUUAAAUUAUCGCAUGAUAAUCCCAAUACAAGCAACCAGGAAACUCUAUAAAUGUCUAUACCAGCUUUUCCAUUUCUAAGUAUCUAGGAGAAUUAAAUUUAGUAGGUAUACGCAUAAUGUACAAUAUUGUUUUAAUUGCAUUAACAGUACAAAAAAGAAGAAAUUGUUUGUUAUGGAAUACUGGCUUAACUUUUCCUUCAAUGAAUUUCAUAAUAAAGUACAAAAAAAUGUGGAUUCCAUACAUUAAUUCAUUUGUGGGGCACUAUGAUCUAUUUGACUAUAGUAUAAGGAUCCAUCUCACACAUAACAUUACAUGUGCACAUUUCAUAUUAGAUGAUUUAGUUUCUAGCUUACUUUUUAAUAUUAUCAGUGUUACUUUUUAAUGGCUUACUUCAUUUUUGAGUCACUUGGUAUUCCAGUUCUACUGAGCUAGGUGUAUAUAACUUUGCUGUUUUUCACUGUUUCUUGGUGCAGAAAUUAGACCUAACACAACUAAGCCUUUGGAUUCUGAGUGUUUUUCCUCAAAAACUUGUGCUUCCUAGGCAAUUCUAUUUGCUUCAUUUUUUUUAUUCUCAACUAAUUGGAUCAAUUGCAUGAUUUAGUGAAGUUCCAACCCUGAUUAUUUGUUCCAGCCUUGGAACCACCUUGAAAAAUGAAUUUUGUCACUGACAUUCCUCCAGUCAGUGUUGAGAAAAAUAUUUUUUUUCUUCUCUUUUGAUGCCAAUCCUAUAAGAUAGCAAGAACAUGAACAUUUUUGGCAGAGAAUCAAAUAGCUUAUGGAGGAAUGUUGUGGUUGAAAGAUAUUCGCAAGACCCUUUGUCACUGCUCUGGCACUUAGAAUUAUCAAACCCUUCGGUUGGAUCCAUUGUAAUCCGGGACACUUAGAAUUAUCAAACCCUUCGGUUGGAUCCAUUGUAAUCCGGGACAUAUGGAAGGUGCUUAUAAAUGAUGAUUUGAUUUCUGCCGGUUUCAUGGAAAACCUUCUGGUUGUUGUGGGAGAUGGCAAGAAAACGAAGUUCUGGAAGGACCCAUGGGUAACUGAUUCUGCCCUUUGCAAUGUAUUCCCUAGACUGUAUGCUUUGAGUGAAAACAAAGAAGCCAGAAUUGCAGAUGUGGGCUCUUUCUCCAGAGGGUCAUGGGAUUGGUCAUUAAUAUUUCGCAGAUCGUUUUUUACAUGGGAGGAGGAACUUUACUCUUAGCUCCUGGUCUCGAUCAACUCCAUUAUUCCAGCUUCCUUGGGGGGGAGAUUACCUGAUAUGGUGUCUUAAUCAAAAGGGCUUCUUCUCGGUUAAGGAGCUUUGCAAUUAGGCUGAAGAUCAAACCUUCAUUAACCGUACUUGGCAAGUUCCUAAAAAUGUAGCAAAACUUAUUCCUCCCAAAGUUGCUCUCUUUUUCUGGCAGGCACAGAAGAACAAAAUUGCAACUAGAGCCAAUUUAAUUUCUAGAGGUAUUGAUCUAGCUGACUCAUCUUCUUGCCCUCUUUGCAUGACCAUUACAGAAACUUGCUCUCAUCUAUUUCUACACUGUAAUUACACUUGGUCUCUGUGGUGCUCGAUUGUAAAUCGUGAAGGUUUUUAUUGGGUUGUUCCUUCGUCUCUAGAAGGACUCAUCUCUGAAUGGGACCAUUUACCCAAACUUUCUGACAAGCUGCUUUGGAGUUUAAUACCAUAUGCGCUAUCAUGGUCAAUUUGGAUUGAAAGGAAUAAUGUGUGCUUUAAUCAGAAGACUUUCAAUUGUACAGAAGUAUGGGAUCUUCAUCUCUCACGAAUUGGGUGGUGGACGCAUGAUUUGCUCCUUCAAAAUGCUUACAGUAUUGAACAAUUGGCCAGGAAUUUUGAGCUAAUCAGAUUUGGGUCCAAAUUGCCUACUGCAAGACAUGCUGGCUGGACUCCUCCUGAAGUGGGUUUAAUUAAAAUUAACGUAGAUGGUGUUGCCAGAGGAUCACCGGGAAGAUGUGGUAUCGGUGGUAUAUUUCGAAAUAGUGAUAAUGAGAUUCUGGGUUUUUUCUCUAAACAUGUUGGGGAAGGCUUUGCUUUUGAAGCUGAGGUGUGGGCGAUCUUUGAGGCACUUACAAUCUGUGUUAACCGACAAUUGAGAAAUCUAACAAUUGAAAGUGAUUCUUCUCUAGCUGUCGGUUGGGUCAAUAAUCGAAGCAACAGACCAUGGAAAUUGUUGAACAAGCUUAACCAGAUUGACCUGUGGGUUGCGGAGGUAAAUUGUUUAUCGGUGAAACACAUUUUUAGAGAGGCAAACGGCGAAGUUGAUAAAUUGGCUAAGCGAGGAGCUGAUCAUCCGAGGGACUUAUAUUACUUCAAGACUUCCAGCCAUCAUCAAUAGUACUGGAUUUUUUUCUCCGAGGGUCGAGUAGUAGUGUAAACCGUGUGGGAAUUGUAUUCUAUAUUGGCUAGCUUUCCUUAUCUUUCUAGUAGGUUGUUUUAAGCUUGCGGUUUCAUGUACUUCACUUUGCCUAAGUUAUAUCUCCUCUGCUUGUUAUCUCUGUUUUGUGGUUGGUUGCCUUGGUUAGAGUACUCUUUUUCCUCUCCUUGGGUUUUUCCCACUGGGUUUUCCCUUGGAGAGGUUUUGAUGAGGCUUUCUCCUUGGCCGGGUUUCCUAACCACAUCUCUUUAGCAGUUUUGUGAGACUUUUUGUCCACAUGAGAGGAUUGUUCUCAUGGCUUUAUUCUUCAUUUUCUAUAUAUAUAUAUAUAUAUAUAUAUAUAUAUAUAUAUAUAUAUAUAUAUAUAUAUAUAUAUAUAUCAGUUGUUUCUCAAAAAAAAAAAAAACAAUAAAAUUAUUUUGUCCAAUUCCUUGUGACAGGAUUUAUUCUUAACUAGGUAAUAUGGGAUAAUUAUAUCUUCACACCUCAAAAAUGAGGUGUGGAGAAGUGGAGGAAGAGAGAGAUAGGAAGAAAGGAGAGAGAAAGUAAAGAUGUGAUAAAUGAUUUGAUUGAUAGAAAAAAGAGAAAUAAAUAGAAAUAAAGGUGGAAAAUAAGUGGAAAUGUGUGUAUAUAUCAUAAUUCGGUAAUAUGUGAUAUGUAGGGGGCGAUAAGUAACAAGAUCAAAUUUAUAAUAAAUUCUUAAACUAGUUUUCUUUGCACAAGACAUUGUUAGGAAUUGGAUGAUACUUGACCGAACUGCAAAUAGCAUAUUCAGGCUCUCAAUAUAGUAUAGCUUAAAAUCUAGUGUUUCACAAAGUCACCAACAAAUUUUGAAAAAAAAAGAAGAGGUGAUGAUUCAAGUGCUACACAAAGUCAAGAAACUACUAUGUUAACUCAAGAUGCGCUUACAGAAGUAAUGACACUUUAAGCCAAUUUGGCAUCAAUAAUUCCACUAGUUUAUUUGUUGUACAAAUUUUAUGAUCAUAGGGUUCUUUAAUCACAUACAGCUAGUGAAAAACCAAAUCUCAGCAAUCAGAGAUGGCGUAUGAAUAUAGAAGAGUUGAGAUAAGGUCCAACGAAAUAUGUGAGAGGAUGUGUUUAAGUGCAUUGUUAAGUGUGUGGAUAUGAAGUGAUGGAGCACAAUGACAUAAAGUUAAAGUGCAUCAGGAAGCGUGUCGACAUAAAGCUGACAUAAAGAUGAUGACAUCGUGUAACGUGUUGACAUAAAUGGUAAAUGGUGUAACCUAAUUAAUUGAGUUAGGAUUUAUUUACACCUUAAUUUCACUUUUACUUCACUUUUUUAUUUAUUUGUCUCUUAUCUUUCAAUCAUAUUAUCACAUAUCACAUCUCUUUUUUUUUUCUCUCUCUCUCUUUCUUCCUAUAACUCUAUUCUUUCCACCUCUUUCACACUUUUGAUGUUUCUGCAAGGUGGCUUAGACCACAGGCAUAUCAAUGUGACGUAUUGGUAGCCAAGGAAAUCCUAUAAUGCACCCUAAACACACACGUGGUUUCACUUGCACCAUUCAUGAAUGUACUUCAAUGCAAGAAAUUCUAUUUUAUUUAGUCUGUCCAGUUUUUAGACUUGGAGUGUCUAUUGCACAAGGACUGUCAGAUUGAUUUGAGGUGCAUUUCAUUAAAGCGCCACUUUACUUUGUAACUUAUGUCCCUUUAUGCAAUUUGGUAAAAGAAAUAUUUAUUUACUAUUAUGAGUAUUCUCCUCUUUCUCUUUUAUAGCAACGAAUAAUAGCAUUAGGUACAGAUUGUAAUGUACAAUCUUAAUGCGCAUAUGGAGCUCACUUUUACAAAAUUUGGUGCAAUAUUGGGCAUAUUCACAAAACUAUGGUAUACAGGAAAAUUGAAAAAAGAGAUGGCUUCUGAUUUACGUUGUUAGCAUAAUAAUUAAAUCUAGUCUAAGAUCAGGAAGCAUAUGAAUUUCGAGGUAGCCUUGCAAUUAAGAAUGGUGGUCUCUUAAAUUUGCACCCAGGAAUAAUUACAUAGACAGUUCUUGUUGGUCUUUAAUGGUCCUAUUGGCCUAGCUUACUACCUCUGAUAAAGUAGUUUCAACAGAUCUGUAAUACAAACUUCAGCCCCUUUGACUUUAAAUUUAAAUUUACAUCUUCCUAAACCUUUGUUUUUCCCCGUUUCAAAUUUAUCCCUUUUUUUUGGGAAAAAAAAACCUGGCUUUGUUGUUAAAAAUAAAAGGGUUAAUGGUCAAAUUGGUCCCUGUGUUUGUAGUGAAUUUUGAUUUUAGUCCCUCCCCGGAAAAAACUAGCCGAUAUCUCCCUGUAGUUGCAAGCAUUUUGGUUCUAGUCCUCACAGGAGGUCGGAGCUCCGGUGAGAGUACUGAGUGGCAGGCCAGAGAUGACAUGGCAUUAUCCACGUCAUUUUCAAUUUAUUUAUAUUUCCACGUAAAUAAUUAAUAACUAAAUUAAAUAAAAUUAUUAAUUCAUUCAAAAAUAAAAUCUAGAAAAUAUUGGGAAAAAUUAAAAUCAAAAUUUUAUAAACCCUAAUCCCCCUGCAUCUUCUCAAUCAAGCCUCUCUUUCUCUUCCCCACCCGGUUCCCAAUCUGAGCAGCAAAAAUCACCACCAUUCCAUUCCAGGAAUCAAAACCAACUCAAACCUCAAAACGGUGGUUUGACCUUCUCGCCUCACAACUCUCUUUCUCACCUUUGACCUUCCAUAAUCUUUUACGCGCUGGUGGUUUCAAUGGAGGUGCCACCUAGAACGGUGGUCGUGGCUUGGUGCGGUGGGUCGUUCAUCGUUGGAAUGAGAGCUUAGGUCGACGGAAAUAAAGGUUGUGGCAGACUAGCGGUGAAGGAGCAGAACCAGAUCGAGACCCCACUCACCCAGAUCGCGAAUCCGGUUUCUUGCGAACUCAAAAAGCGAAUCGCCCCUGGAUCCGCCUUCACCACCCCAUGUCGCCGCCGUUGUCGUCCUAAACAACCGAAGAGCCUUGAUGGGGAUACGUUCCAGUUGCUCAGUCAUGUCGGUUUUCUGGGUUUUGAUAUGUGUGGGUUAUGAAUCUGGAUUUUGUGGAUUACAUGGAUCUGGGUUAUGUGGGUUUUGAAUUUGGGUUUUGAAAACGAUUCAAUUGAUCUGGGUUAUGUGGAUUCUACGGAUUUGGCCAUUGAGUUUCUAACUAGAAUUUGUGUUGUUUUCUGGGUUUUCAAUGUUUGGCCAUUUUGGACUUUUUUCGUUUUCUGGGUUUGAUGAUGAGUUUGAAGAUGGAGAUGAUUAAAGAAGGAUGAAGGGGAAGAAGAUGAAGAUGAUUAAGACAUUUGAGCUUUUGUAUUUUUCACUUUAGUCAGGUCUGAAGUGUGGGCGUGGAUGGUAUUAUGUCAUGAAAUAUAUGAUGAGGAAAUAACUGAUAUGUUGGGUGCUGCAGAAAUUUUGUUAGGCGCACAUAAGGUGGUCAUGGUUGCUGAAAUCGUGGAUAUGGUUCUAAAUCUACCUUGUUAGGCGUGGAUAUGGUUCUUAGUACUUUGAACAAUUUUUGAAUUAAUUAAUAAUUUUAUUUCAUUUAGUUAUUAAUUAUUUACGUGGAAAUAUAAAUAAAUUAAAAAUGACGUGGAUAAUGCCAUGUCAUCUCUGGCCUGCCACUCAGCACUCUCACUGGAGCUCCGACCUCCGGUGAGGACUAGAACCAAAAUGCUUGCAACUACAGGGAGAUAUCGGCUAGUUUUUUUCGGGGAGGGACUAAAAUCAAAAUUCACUACAAACACAGGGACCAAUUUGACCAUUAUCCCAAAAUAAAAUUAUACAAAAAGAAAGUAGUACUUAGGGAACUAAUUCUUUGGAAAUUAAAUGGACGCAAGACUUGUUUAACUAAGGUGAGAAAAGAAAGUUGAACAGCCACAAUAACCGUUAAAAACUGGCCACUAUAAUGCUAGUCAUUCCACUAAAAAAAAAGACAAUCUAGAGAGCUGAAUCUAAAAGUUAAAGUUACAUUAAAAAUGUAGGAGCUUAAUACAGUGACACACAAUAAUUACCAUUCUGACAAAGUAAUGCUACUAAAUUAAGGGUAAAUAGCUCCCAACUUGCACAAAUUUUCUUCAAUUUGAGGCGAAGAAGAGGAAGAACUAUAGAACUCUCCUACUAAAAAUAAUAGACAAAUUAUAUGAGUCACUUACAAAGAACACAUUUGAAAAGUAAAAGCAACGUAAACAAAAUUUAGAUAAGAGGCUAACUUUGCCGGUUAAUAGUGGAGGCAUAAAAUCAAAGUGUAUGGAGCAUAAAAUUUCAACAGCAAUAAAAAGAUAAACAUAACAUUAUGAUGAAAUGUAACUCAUGGAAACUCAAAAACUUACUCAAUGACUCUUACUCCAUGCCACCAAGAACCAUUUUUUUCAACGAAUAAAAAUAUUCACAUCCCAAAGAUGAAUUUCCGAGGAUGAAUCUCACUUCAAACACAAACACAAAUUCAAUUCAUAAGACAAAGCAAUCACUGAGCCCAUACUUUGUUAGCUUCCAGCACUGGUCUUGCAUCAAGCUUAUCAAGGGUGAAAUCACAACCACCACUUUCCCAAUUAACAAUGAGGAAUCUGAAAGCACAGGGACUUACCUGCAUAGAAAAAACCUUCCUGUAAAUAAAUACACAAUUACUAAGAAGCACACAAGAUUAAUCAGAGAGAAAUAACAAAACCAGAUCCUGUUGCAGCAAGAACAAGACAAUCUUCAUUUGCAACCCAAGCAGCUAGGGCUUCCUUCUGAAAACUUUUCAAUGCUGAAAACCAAAAAUGCUUUUGCAACAACUUGCUAACUCUGUGCUCCCAAUCAGAUGCUACAUCCAAAUCUCCAUUCACAUCAGAGUCGCUGACGACAAAGGGAAACUCCGGGACGGUCUCGAUGCGGUGGCCGCGGGCGGGCGAGGAUGAAUGACGGAACAACGGAGGUUGCGAUGGCGGAGACCAGGGCGUGGCGCUUCUGGUUCACGUUGAUCUUGCGGUGCCAGCGACGCCAGAUCUUUGUGGGAGCGAACAUGUGACCACCACGACACAUGUUUCCGAAAGCUCCCUGGCCAGCAUGGUGGGUACAACCACCGGGGACACGGGGGAUACGGGAGAAAGCACGACCAGUUCCUCAAGACUCGGCGAAGCACUGGUGGCCGGCGCGACGGGAGACGGCGAAAGGCUGGCGGCUAUUUUUGGAGAUGUUGAAAUGGGCGAAAUUUUCGAUGUCAGGACGGAUUGAAGCUCUCAUGACAUUAGGGAUGGAAUGGUGGUGGCAGCAUCGGAGGACGCAUCGUCUCUUUUUCUGGUGGUGUGGCCGUGGCUGUUGUGGCUCGCCUGGAAUAGAGGAGGAUGUUGUGGCUCGCUUGGAACAGAGGAGGAGACGAUGGUGCACAACUCUGUCGAGGAAGGAGGAGCCAUAGAAGAAGAGUGGAACAUGGUGAUGUUUCAGCAGAAAGAAAACGAGAGAGAAGGAGAGUGAUGAGAGAGUGAGAGCAUGAAUCAGUUAGAUGAGGGAGAGAGUAAGCGGAUCUGAUUUGAUGAGAGAGGAGAGAUAUGUGCUUGAGAUGAGAGUAUUGAGAUAAGGAGGAGAGAGAGUACAUAGGUGCCUACAUCUCAUUGGUUGAAGGGGAAAGUUGAGAGGGAAAGUUAAGAGAGAAAAUUGGGAGGGAAAGUUGAAAGGGAAAGUUAAGAGGGAAAGUUGGGGGGAAAGUCAAGAGGGAAAGUUGAGAGGGAAAGUUGAAAAUUUGAGCACCUAAAAUCAGGUUGUUUCAGCUAUUUCGUUUGUUAAAUGAUUAAAGAUAUAUGCAAUGAUGGUGUAAACUUUGUUUACACAAACAUCUAAUUAAAUUUGGUUUGGUCAAAAAAUGUGUUUUUAUUUUAAUUGAACUUAAAAAUGAAUGUAAUUCUCUUUUCUAUGUUGUAUACAUUGAUUAGAUUGUUUCAACAAGUCGAGUUGGCUAAUCUUAGUAACUUAUCAACCUUAAAAGCUUAAUUAGGUUGUUUCGACAGGUCAAUCUUAACCAAAAUAUCUAAUCUUAAGAACUUAAAAGCCUCAUAUGCUUAUGUAAUUUUGGCAUAUCGAUCUUGCAUGAACUAGUUAAUAUUAUGAACUUAAGAUCAAGGUUAGCUAACUAUGUGUUGGUUCAAUAUCGGGUUCGUCCUUAUUAUCUAUCGGGUUCAUUCUAAUCAUCCAUCAGGAUCAUAUUGAGAUGGUGAACGAUCUCCUCAUCAUUAAUCACAUGCCACGGCAAUGUCUAUAGCUUAUGAGAUGGUGAAGAUUAAACUAAUACUAAUUGAUAUAUGAAAAGGAAAAUUCAAAUGCAUUGCACCAACAAUAUCUAUAGCAUAACUAAUUAGAUAGAUAUAGCUUAUCUUCUUAAGUAUCUAAUUUAAAGUUUGAUCUUUGAACGGAAUGUAUGAAUAAUUAUUUGUUGAGAGAUAUAUACUUAAUGCGAUCUCAGAAUCUCGAGAGAUUAAUAAUAUCAUUACCAGUUGUGGAUAUACCUUGUGAAAAAAAUACAUUACGUCAAAUAAUUAAAUGAGUAUCUUCAAGUAAUUAAUUAAUUAAUAUUGGAUUAAACUUAAGUAGUUUGAAAAGACAAUUAGUCUGCACCACUUGGCUAAAAUUAAAUAUGGUAAACAUCACACGUUAGGUGCCCAAUCAAAUAGUUAACAACCACUAAUAUAUGAUGUGAUCUGUGUUAUGGGGUGGUAGAUCAUAGGUCUUAUUCAAGCUCAAAACUGACAUGGGCUUCAACUUCACCUUUUUAAUGUACAUGCUAGAAUCCAAAAUUAAGAGUUAAAACUAGGAUAAGUUCAUUGUGAUCAAUGGUCGAUCCCUUCAUUACAGUACAACUAUAUAGAGCUUACAUUGAUAUAUUUACAUAUCUAUGAAAACAUAUGUAUAUAUGAACAUCAAUUUAAUCAGGGAAAUGCGUGUUGGUUAUAAUUUUUUCUUUGUUUUAAAUCAAUAUAUACUCAUCGGAGUGAAUUUUGAUCAUUUAGAUUUUCGCCAAACAACUUGUUCUAUGUUCCUUUUCUCAUGCCUUGAAUAAUGCUUAUUAGAGCAUUGUUCUUUCAUAUUAUCAAUGAAUAACUUGUGUUUACAUUGUUAGAAGUUCGUUUGACAAAAUACCAUUUUGCACUACUUUGAUCCAAUUGGAACACUAAACGAUGAAAUAUGAUGUUUAUAGGUUUUAAAAAGUAAAAACACAUAUAACUAGAAUUUACAAACCACUUGCCUUGAAGAGUUUAAAAGUAUCUAUCUUUACCUAAAUCUUUAAGUAUAUUUUUAUUUAUUUCACAUGUAAGAAAUAUGCAUUUUAAAAUACAUAUGUAUCUGUUAAUCUAAAUAGCAAAAAGUUGAAUUACAUUUUUGUGGUCAUUUGGCCACCAGUCUCCACCGGGAAAAGGAGAAAGUUCAAUUUCAUUAAACAUAUAGUCUUCAAUUUAAGUUAUAUGAAUAAGAAACACUAAAAAUGGUAGGGAAGAAUUAACUCCAUCUAAACGUUACUUAGAUUAAUUAGGAUUAGGAAGUCGCUUUGGCGCUUUGCCAACGCAAUUCAAAUUAGCAAAAAAAACACAUAUCUGGGCCUUUUUGCAUUAGCCCAUUCUGUUGGUUUUUUUUGUUUGGCUGAUGGACCUUCACUUUUCUAUAAGGAUUUGAUUGUUUUUUUUCUUGGGCUAGUUUUUUUUGCUGCUGACCCCUCCUUUUUUGGUGCCAAAAACGCAUAUCUGGGCUUUUUUGCAUUAGCCAAUUCUGUUGGUAUUUUGUUUGGCUGAUGACCUUUUUUUUUAUACUUUGACUCUUUUUUUUGCGCUAACACAAGUUGAUUAAUCUUAAGUUAAGAAAAUCACUAUAAUAGAUAAACCUGAUUUAAGCUCUAGUUUAACUAAGACUAUAGAAUAACAAGCUCUAGUUUAACUGAGACUAUAGAAUAACAAACUCUAGUCUAACUAAGACUAUAGUAUAACUAAGCUUCAGUUAGGAGGGUCAUUAGAAUAACUAACCAUAGUCUAAUCGAGAUAAUAGUAUAACUAACAUUCGUUUAAAAGGGUCAAUGGAAUAACUAACGUUAAGUUAAGAGGUCAAUAAAAUGGAUAAUCCUAGUUUAACGUAGACUUUAGAAUAACUAAAUUAGGUUAAAAGUGUCAUUAUCCAUCAAUUCACUAGUAUUCAUUUAAAUAUUAGAAUUGAUCUAAUUAUAUCCGCAAAUUUGGAAAGAUUUUCAUGAAACGAAUAUCACCGUUGCUUCUGGAAUGGUCGAAACCCUUAGAAUCGGCUCCUCUUGGACCCAAAACGGAUAAAAAUGACCAAAAUUAUUAAAAAAACACAUUACUUAAGUUUAUUCAAAGGCCAAUAUCUGGUCCUAUUUGCAAAUCUGGAAAGAUUUUUAAGAAAUGAACCACACCAUUGCGUCCGGAACGAUCGAAAACCUUAGAAUCGACUCCUCUUGGACCCAAAACGGAUAAAAAUGACCCAAAAUUUCCAAAAAACACAUUCUGCCACAUGCCAGCACGAGAACAAGCUACGUCAGCGUCUCUGACGUCAUCAGGCGCGUGUGUCUCAUAGCUGAGAGUGGCCGCCACUCUCCUUCUUCCUCUAGCGCGAGUGGGGCGCGUGGCCGAGAGUGGGCUCACUCUCCGGCCACCUCGCCGACAAGUGCGGGAGAGUGUGGCUUCGUCCGGGCUCCGUUUGAGAUUCCGGAACUUGUUGCGGACUCGUCUCAGCCUUCUGAAUCCAUCUAUGACCUCAGAUUUUCAUUUUGGGAACUUUUAAAAAUGGGUCAUUUUCGAAAAUGAUGAUUCCGGCCACCUCGAGUCACCAUCAAAGCUCUAGUAUGACUUGUUGGGACCGUGACUUGACGAGGAACAUCGAGGAGACAGAUUUUGCACAAAUUCUCACCAAACAUUGAACAAACAACAACAUAAAAUUAUUUUUCCUAGCUAGUUACCACUUAUGGAACCCAGAAAGUGAGAAUAAUUUUAUGCAGUUAUUUUUCUAUUCUUUCACUAUGAGGGACUGAAUAUGAAUCAAACAGAAAUAAGGGACUGAAUAUAAAUCAAACAAAAAUAAGGGGCUAAAAGUGGGAAGCAGAAUUUAAUUUUUAAAUAGGCCCCUGACGCAUUUACAUUAAUGGCGCCGAAAAAAUAAUAAUUUGACUUUCAGUCCUUUUUUUUUGGGGCACCUGUGCCUCUCCAGAAAAAUGGCAUAUGUAAGCUUUCCCCUAAUUUUUUAAGAAAAAUUUAUCACUAAUAGUCUAAAAUUGUUAUGUUCCAAACUCUCAUUUAUCUAUAGGAAAAAGAAAUGUCAUUAAAUUAAAGUGCAUUUAAUUUAAGCUUGUGUAGUAUACUUCUUUUUGUGUGGUAGACAAACUAAAAAUUUAUAAUUAUAGUACAAAGGUCACCAUUAAGAUGAAGGAUAAGUUAAAUUAAAAAAAGAAGUCAAUGAUAAAUCCUAUAAAAAUUAUGGAUGAUAAGUCUUAUUAUAAGUGCCAAAUUGCUAAUUAAUGAAAAAUGGAAAAAAGUGGGAGUUACGGUAAAAACCCAAGAUGGAAAUCUCGAACCUAUCCUUGGUGAUAUGCAAACUACUAUCCACCAGUACAACAUAGAAACAUACAAAACGAGCAAUUAAUUUUGUUGAUUUUUGAAAAAGUUGAGAAAAUAUGUGGGGUUGGAGUUCCCCGGCAGUGAGGAAGAGGUCAUUCAUGAAUUGACGGAAUUCCUUAGAGAAAAUGAUCUUGUUUGCUCGUAGUGGUCUUUUGUUGAUCUGUGGCUUUUGAGGCGCUUGGGGCUCUUGUUGUUGGGUUUGGGUUGUCUUGGCUUUGAGCCUUUUAGGGCUUUUGGAGUUCUCAUUGUGGUUUAGUUGUUGGUUGCUUUUCCAUGGCUGGGUUCUGUAAUUCUUUCGCGUCUCCUCUUUGAGAGAUUGUACUUUUCUUUUAAUUUUUAAUAAGCUCGCUCUUUUGCUCUCUGAAAAAAGAAAAAGAAAAAGCUCUUUGAGAGAUUGCACUUUUCUUUAAGUAUUAUUUUCUCUCAUCAUUUAAACUCUCACAUUAUUUAUGUUUUCCUUUAUUUCUCAAAAUUUAUUGCAAGAGGGUAUUAUUGGAAAAAAUAUAUUUAAUACAAUCUUAAAUGUGUAAGUCGUCAGUUAAAUAAAAACAAUUUUUUUCAUCAAUUGACAGCUAAAUAGUAACGGAGACAUGGUAGAUUCUAACAUGUUGCUGCAAUGCAAGCAAGCAAGCAAAUUAAUCAUGUAUUCUCCACUAUAAAUACCUAUAUGCAUCAAGCAAUGCAAUCACACCCAAAACCUUGUCUCCAGUUAUUCCCCAUUCAAGCAAGCAAAUUAAUCAUGUUACCUCCAGCAUUAGCUAUACCUGCGUUGCUCCUUCUGAUAUUACUUUUCAUUCUAUCAGUUGCCCUGCUUCUUAAUCCAAAAGAACAUAAAAAUGGUAGGAAAUAUCCACCAGGUCCCAAACCUCUGCCAAUUAUUGGCAACCUCCACCAGCUGGGUAAACUCCCUCACCGAUCCAUGCACGAACUUUCAAAAAAAUAUGGACCCGUCAUGUCCUUAAAGCUAGGAAAGGUCCCAACCAUUGUGAUUUCAUCCCUUGAAACAGCAGAGCUAGUCCUCAAGACCCAUGACAUUGUUUUUGCUAGCAGGCCUAUAACUCAAGCAUCCAAAUACAUUUGUUAUGACAGUAAAGGCAUAAUUUUCACUGAGUAUAAUUCCACUCACUACACCAGAAAAGGGCUUUUACAGCGCCCCUUUUACAGCGGUUUAGGUGGCAGCCGCUGUAACAACACAAACACGGAGCGGUUGAUGGGCUAUUACAGCGUUUUAUUAAACUAACCGCUGUAAAAGCAUUACCUUUUAACAGCGGUUCUCUUAGAAGGCGCUGUAAACACAAAAACACGGAGCGGUAAUAGGCUUUUAUAGCGGUUUAUAUACUGACCGCUGUAAAAAAUAGGUUCCAAUAUUUACAGCGUUUAUUAAACUAACCGCUGUAAAAGUAACGUAAAUAAUAAAAAUCAAGAAUUCAGGUUCCGUGGAUCGAACCCAGGUUCCCUUAAUAAAACGCAGGCUUAAUUGCAGUUUUGCUCCUUUAUCUUUCACCUAUGUGUGAUUUGACUCCUUCAUGUUUAAAACGAGCACAUUUACUCCCUUGUCUUUCAAUUUGUGAAAAUUAACUCCUUCCAUUAGUGAGUUUUUUUAAAAUUGACGGAAUUGACUGACGUGAUGUUCAUUAAAGGACAUGAUUCUGUUAAAAUUGAGCAUUUGGAUGUCAUUUCACUAAAUAAAUAAAAAAAUAAUUAAAUAAGUAAAAAAAUAAUUAAAUAAAACUGAAAUAUUAAUCCCUAAUUAAAUAUGAGUGAAUUUAGUUUUUUUAAUUUAUUUGUGUCAUUUUUAUUUUGUUUAUUUACUUAUGUGUCAUUUUGGGAGGUAAGUUACGUCAUCCUUGAUCGUGGAACAAGCAAAUUCCGCCUGAAAUUAGACGGCAAAUUGACAAAGGGAGCCAAUUUUCACAAAUUAGAAUUUUAGGGACCAAAAUCGCUCAUUUUAAAUAUGAGGGAGCAAAAUCACACAUAGGUGAAAGAUAAGGGAGCAAAACUGCAAUUAAGCCUAAAACGCAAUAGUCUUUCCACUAGGCUAGAUUCACUUUAUGGUAGAUAUGUACAAUUUAUAGUAUUAAUAUAAGAUUUAGUUGAUUUCUUUAAUAAUUGGUUCAAAAAAUGUUCUGUGUGGGAUUCGAACCCGAGGCACCACAGAAAAUAUAAUGAGUCCUUUCCACUGGGCUGUUACACGUUUUUUAUUAGUUUGUUCGUUUUGUAUAUAUAAGUAUUAUUUUCUUUAUUGAUUUUGUAAAAUUACAUCUGUAACUGCAAACCCUUAUUUUUUACCAGUUACAUCUUUCACCAAUCUGCUACCUCACGACGUAAUCUCGACCUGCUACUUCUCUCAAAGCCCUCGCCACCUCCUGCCUCCGCCGUCCUUGCCGUCGCCGCCUCCAUCCCUUCCGCCGCCGCCGCCGCCUCUGCCUCCGUCCCUGCUGCGCCGCUGCCUCUCUUGUUUUGGGUCGCUUCCUGCACGGUUGUUGCCCUGUUCUCAUUAUCAUCCUUUCGAGACUGUAGCUUUGAAGAGCGUUGCUUCCACCGUGUAAAUCAUGAUGUGGAGACUCCAGGUAGCUUCCAUUGCUCAAUGUUCAUUAUUGUUCUAACUCUUGAUCUUGCUCUUUGUUCAUCAUCGCUCCUAUUCUCGAUCGUGCUCUCUUUGCUGUUUGAUCUUGGAUUUAAUGCUCUAACUCAAUGGAUCUCAUAGGCUCUAACUCAAUGGCUCUAUUCGCUAUCAAAAAUCCCUCUUAUGCAGUAUUUCUCGCUCAAUUUCAUCAAUCUAGGUCUUCUCAAGAUCUGAUGCCUUAGUUCAAUAGAUAGUUUAGUCGAAGCUUGUUGUGUUUUAGAUUAAUGUUAGGGUUGUUUUUUUUUUUUUUUGCUAGAUUGACAUUUCAAUUAACAUUGCUUUGUUACUUUCAUCGAGGUGAACAAUGUAUGGUUAGAGGGAACACCCAUCAGUUCCCCUUUCAGCGCUCUGGAAGAGCGAAUUGGCGAAUGAGAAAACUAAGAACCGGAGAUGGUAGAGGCUAGCGAGAACAAGAAAGGAGAGGAUCUCAUGCUACUAAAAAUCGAAUGCCAAAGGGUGGUGGGAGAUGGAGUGUGUACAUACUCUGUUUUUUUAGUAUGUUUCUUUCUUGCGCCAUCACCUCCUGCUUUUCUUUUACUCAGAUUUGAUAGAUUGUGAUUUUGAUGCAUCAAAAAGUCAAUUUUUGUGUGAUGUCUUAUUUUCUAAUACUAGCAUGGCAAGAUGAUAAAGAAAAGUAAAUGAUUGAGUGAAAAUGUUAUGCUAUGCUGCUUGAUGCUGAGUUGCUUUAUAUUUGUCUCACCUUUGUUAUUCAGUUUGAAUUUUUAAAUAUUCUGAACUGUUGAUGCUACACAUGUAUGCAGAGGAUCAGGAGGUAUUCGCCGACUGAAAUUGAAGGCAUACACAAGUAUUUUUAUAACUUCGUAUAUUAAGAGAACAUAUUGAGUACCCUCUCUGGAAGCUAAAUAUUUGCAUGUGCUUGACAAUUUUUUCAGGAAUAUAUACGAGAUGGCAUUGACUGGGCUAAAGUUGAAUUAUACCUGUACCCUUCCUUGGAUGCUGUCAUUUCGGUUCAAACUGAUUUACGGAAGGCACACUUCCAUUAGCAAUGGAUUCACUCUUCUCCUUAUCUCUCUAUGUGGAUAAUGAUGUCUUAUGCUUGAUUGUGUUGUGUUUAUUAGGGUUUCAUUUCGAUUACAUUUCAAAUUUGUUGUUUUGUAUUUGAUUUAGGUUUGAAAUUGAUAUCGUUAACUUAUAAUUUUUAUUUCAGAUCUUUCUCUCUUUGAAUGCUGCAAUUUAAGAUUUGGAUUUGUGGGAGAUGGUGAUUCCGGUGUUGUGUUGCAGGUUUUGGAUGCAUGUGUCGAUCAUAAGAUGCGUUCAGUCUCUCAUACAAUACUUUCUUGAUUCUUCACUCUACUCCACCCUCACAACAUCGAUUCUCAGAAUUGAAGGGAAUAUGAAGAACACCUCUGUCCAAGCAUAGUUGACUAUGCUACAGUCCCCGGAAAAGAAGCAGGUACCACCAGUAUAAAUAAUAAUGCUAGGAAAUCAUCUUGCUCCUGUUCAGGUUUCUAUUUGUCUAUUUGUGUAUUAUUCCUAAUCUAAAGAAAUUAAAGCUAGGAAAUUCCAGAUAAAUUUUGUUAUAGAUGCAUGUGUCUCUUAGUUGGAUAGUGAGUCUAAAUUUUAGAUGUUAAUGUCCUAUAAUGAUAAUUCCUAUGAUUUCCAUCUCAGCUUACAUCGUCUUGUGACUUAAAUCAUAAACAGGUAUUGAUUUUGCAGCAAUAUAUUUUGCAGCAAUCAUAAAUCUGCAGUUGAUGUCUCAUGUUUAAGGUUUGCAUUGUUAUAAUCCAAACUCCACUGAGAAAAACUUUGAGAAAGUUGUUGUAUAACUGAUUUUGUUCUGAGGGAAAUUCCCUCAUCCGGUGGCAAACUGAGGAGAUGUUUUAGAAUAUCUUUCAUCUUUCCAGAACGUCCCGGGUGCAAUAAAAGAGAGAAUUUUUUCGAGACAAAGUCUCGGAGAGUCUGCAAUGCUUUCUGGGUUUCUUCAAUUUUGUAAAUGCAACCUAUGGGUAGCAACUAAAAAUAGAGAUUCAAAUGUGAGAGCACAGGAGCAUAUAAGCCUAUUAAGUGGUUGUAUUGUUGUUAAAACUCUGGAAUGAAACUUGAAUAAGAGUUAUUGUAUGUUUAAUGAAGCUGUGAAUGGAUUUGCAGAUGAUGGCUGGUCCAUGUUAGAGAGUGAUGGCAUUGAUGAUGUCACCCUUCUUGUGAAUUCAUCACCGAGCAAGAUGAUGGGUGCAAAUCUUGGAUAUAACAAUGGAUUCCCAUCCAUGACCAGUUCUGUGCUAUGUGCCAAAGCAUCCAUGUUGUUACAGGUAUAAUUCUUUAAUACUCCAUAAUGUGGACUAAUGCUAUUGCUUAUUGCUCAGCUCUUAGGAAUUGCUUUUACUUUCUAUUGUUUUCAAGCAAUUGAUUUCCAUGUAUUUAGUUGUCUCAUGCUCUUUUUCUGUCUUUGUAGAAUGUCCCUCCAGCUAUUCUUCUUAGAUUCUUGCGGGAGCACCGAUCAGAAUGGGCAGAUAGCAGUAUUGAUGCUUACUCAGCUGCUGCCAUUAAAGCUGGCCCCUGUAGCUUGCCAGGGGCCAGAGGAAGUUUUGGGGGUCAGGUUAUUCUUCCACUAGCUCACACAAUUGAGAAUGAAGAGGCAAGUUGUUUUCUCCUAAUUUUAUAAUCUAGUACAUAUUUACUAUUUAGAAAUUACCAUUUAAUCUUCCAACAUAAAAUUGAAUACAUGUUAACUUGGCUUGUGGAUUAUAUUAACUUUUUUGUGUUUCUCUUCCGGCAUAUUACAUACUAACUGACACUUUAUCUCUAAAAUAGUUCAUGGAGGUUAUUAAGCUUGAAAACAUGGGCUACUAUCGGGACGACAUGACUAUGCCUGGUGAUGUUUUCCUCUUGCAAGUAAGUACUGCUCCAUGAUGCCAUUCUUUUCAACAUAUCUAUGUCCAUACCUUACAGCAUCAUGGAAAAAUUCAUAAAAUUUUAAUUGAGGGAAUGCCUUCAAUUAAAAUCCAUUAAUAUUCUGUUGGUUAAUUUUUCUCAUUCGCUAACUAAUCGUCCCUGGCUUCUAGAGUUUGCAAAGGAUAAGAUGCAUCAAAUAUCAUGAAUGGAUUUGCAUGUAGUUAUAGGAAUAGUCAGGAAUUAAGGAUCUAUAUGAAGUUUGAUUUUAAUUGAAUAGCUAUAACACUUGCGCCUGCAUAUAGUUCAGAAGGUUUAAUCCAAUAUCAAGUUUAUAGCUAACAGUGUUUGUUGCUGCACCUGUCAUCAGCUUUGCAGUGGAGUGGAUGAGCAUGCAGUUGGCACCAGUGCAGAACUAGUUUUUGCUCCAAUAGAUGCGUCUUUCUCUGAUGAUGCACCCAUUUUACCUUCCGGUUUUCGUAUUGUACCUCUUGAUUCUGGCACGGCAAGUCUUUAGCUUGACACAUGAUUUGAUUGUGUUGUUUUUGAAAUUUGCUUGCUUGCUUUAAUUUUCCCUUUUUCUUUAAGUUAGGAUUCUGAUUUCUGUCUUAUAUAAGAUGCAGGAUGCUGCUAGUCCAAACCGGACACUUGAUCUUGCCUCAUCACUUGAGGUUGGAACCACAGCAAACAAAGCUGCUGGUGCCAAAUACAGACAAAAAAAAAAAAAACAAAUUACAGCGGUUCCGUGGUGGAACCGCUGUAAUAUAUAUUAUCAAAUACAGCGGUUACCGGCUGAAACCGCUGUAAAAGAAGACUCAAUUACAGCGGUUAUUCUAGAGAACAGCUGUUGUAGGUCUGUAUUUACAGCGGUUUUAUUAAAUCAACCGCUGUAAAUAAUGCAUCUUUUACAGCGGUUAGAACCGCUGUUAAGGCUUUUACAGCGGCGAGAUCUACAGCGGUUCUGGACCGCUGAAAACCGCUGUAAAAGGCAAAAAAAAAACCGCUGUAAAAGCCAUUUUUUGGUGUAGUGACUACAAAAAAACCUGUUUUUAGUGGCACUAUAUUUGUGGCAUUUAUAAAAGAAUGCCCCAAAGUGAUAUUAAUCUGGCAUUUAAGUAGAAUGCCACAAAUUUGAGAACGCAACCCUAGCUAAUUAGUAGCUAUUUGGCAGCAAAUUACUUGUGGCAUUUAUUUAGAAUGCCACUAAUUUAGGAUCAGAUUCGCAGCUAAUUAGUAGCUAUUUGGAAGCAAUUUUUUAAAGUGAUGAUAUCAAUCUUUUUUUUGAACGUGAUGAUAUCAAUCUAUUAUUUAUAAAAUUGAUAUUGUUAGAAUAUAUAUAACAAACCUCACUGUUAGAAUAUAUAUAUUUUUGAAAGACCGUUAGAAUAUAUAUAUAUAUAUAUAGAUAAUUUAACAUUCAAGGUUUCUUUUUUUUCAUUUUAAAAAAAUGGUUUCUUUUUUUAAUUUCAAAAAAAAGGUUACUCUUUCUUAAAAAAUAUCUUGCUCGAAAAUCACUCAUUCAACAAAAGUGAACAAUAUAUCUAUAGCUAAGUUGAAAAUCACCCACUGAACAAUCAUCGAACACACGCAUUCAUCUCUCACUCGCACAAACUCUGCAACUCUGCACCGAUCGAAAUUUCAGCGUCGCGCAUCAUCGCCGCGCAUCACCGCCGCGCAUCGGUUGUCUUCACCACCGUGACAGAGCUUCCGGAACACCACAACCCUCGCCUCACUCUCUUACUGGUUAUCUUUCUCACUCAUCUAUAUCUCUAGGGUUUUUCUGUUUGCUUAGAUUCCAAUGUGUGUGCGUCUUCUCCUCUAUAAUUUUCCGAUUCUGAAUUCCGAGUAUUCCAAUUUUGAAUUUUGAGUUUUCCAUUGUGCGAAAAUGCAGAAUCGAAGAACGACAAGGAAGAAGAAGGGAAUGGAAUUGAGUUGAUUGUGUGUGAGAACCGAACAUGACAUCGUUUGUUGCUCACUGAAGUAGGUAAAAUCAAACCAAACCAAACCUUCUUGACCUUAAUUUCAUGCUUUAAUCUCUCACUCGAUGUGUUUGCUUUCAUUUCUAUGCAUCGCUACUUGAUUGUUGAGGAAAUCGUGUAAAACAAGUGAGUCUAUGUGCGUUUGCGUUUGCGUUUGUGCCAGCGCAUGCAUGCCAGGUGUUUGAUGAAAUUAUUGCUUCAUAUGUAUCCCUGUUUUUUAUUGUUGAGAGUGUCAGAGAUCUGUUUCAUGAGUCUAAUUCUUGUAUCAUGAGAUCAUGUUCUGUUUUAAGGUGAUUUUGGUACUAUCUUGUAUAUACUUUUCAUUACAUUGCUGAAUUAUGCUACUGAGGAUUGGCCUGCUGAAACAUGUACUCUUAAUCCUAAUCCUACUCUAACCAUCAGAUUGGUCCAAGUAGGAUUAGGCCAUUAGUUUCCCUGGUGAAAACAUUUACAAGUUUGAGUAAUUUUAUGUUACAACUUCCCCUAUUUGUUUUUUCUUUCUAGAAUUGAGUCACUAAACCCUGCACAUUAGAACGAAUGCUGAUGGUUAGUACUGUCAAUUUAUUAAAAGGCAAUGGCUAUUACAAUUUGCUGAACAGGGCAAUUAAAUUGCUCACUUCAAUUUGUUGAAAAACAGAAAAAAGUUGUUCUAUAUCCAUUUAGACUUAGUUACAAUUUUAAUCCUUUCUUGCCCUGAUUUUCUUGUCUCAUUGUCUAUAUCCAUGUAAUCUGUAGCUAUUGUUAGUUUGGGUCUGUAUCUUGCCUCUGUAUCAUGCAUAAAAUCAAGUGAUCUAAAGCUAAAUUGAACUGCUCUCUCUUCUCGCUCCAGCAUGUUUUUUUUUAAUUACUUUUGCUGGAUAUAGUAAGUAAUUCUCUCUCUUCAUUGCUCUCAUUUCCUAUGCAGAUUCUGGUCUGGAACGAACUGCUUUCUUUCUUUCUCCUUCGUAAGGAUCUCUCUCGGGUUCACAAGGUACCCUCUCUCCCCUACUUGCUUUCGGUUUCAACUUAGUUACACGAUCACCAAAAUGGAUAAAUCAUGGAUUGAUAUGCCGCGAAACACAGUUGAAUAUCUUGAGGGGUUAGAUAAGUUUCUAAACUUUGCGUUUGAGAAGCGGUCAGUUGAUGGUGUAAUAAGAUGUCCAUGUCCUAUAUGUUGCUGUAAUAAAUGGGAAAGUAGAGAUGUAGUGCGUGACCAUUUGAUUUGCAAGCAGUUUCCAAAAAAUUAUAAGGUUUGGAUAUGGCAUGGUGAAACAUAUGAAAGUAUGACAUCAAGGGACACUGAAGUAAUAUCGGAGCCACUGCAAAAUGAAAAUCCAGUACUAGACAUGAUUAAUGAUUAAGUGCGGAGGGCCAGUACAUUAUCGUUGGAUGUAUCCAAUUGAGAGGUUAUUUCUUUUUAAUGCAUUAAACUCAUUUAUUAUUUUAUAUAAUUAUUAAAUAUGUAAUAUAUUAUUUUAAUACCUUUUUGUGAUCAUAGGUUUUUAGGACAUUUGAAGUCCUUUGUACGAAAUAAGGCGCAACCGGAAGGUUCCAUAAGUGAAGUUUACUUAGCUGAAGAGACACUCAAUGUGUAUUCACGAUAUGAAGGUGUUGAAUCGAGGAUGAAUAGGAGUCGCCGUGUUGAUGAUAAUCCAAAUAAUAAUGAAACUUCUCAAAUGUCCUCCAUUUAUCCUCAAUUAGGUAGACCAGUGGGGAGUUCAUCAACUUUCACUUUGGGGCCUUUAGAAAAAAUACAAGCGCAUCGAUUUUUGCUGCUGAAUUGUCCAAGAGUCAAGCCAUAUGUUGAGUAAGUAUUCUGAGGCAGUUCAUGUGAUUAUGAGAGUAAGAAUAUAUUCGUGCAUUAUUAACAUAAAACUUUUUUUUGUAGUGAAUUUAGAGCAUUCAUUAGGAAGAGGAGUAGAAAUCGAAGACCUUCAGCUACAGACAUAGAGAAGAUAGUUGCUAAAGAUUUUGCAAAUUGGUUUCCUCAACGGGUGAUGAAUCCAGACACUACAAACUCAAUUCCAGAUGAAAUCAAGUUUCUAGCCAGAGGUCCAAUGUCGUGUGCAAAAAGAUAUAGUGCAUAUAACAUCAAUGGGUUCAAGUUUAGAACGGUAGAUAGAGAAGAGGGUCUACAAACUCAAAACAGUGGAGUUUUUUUGACUUCAAACACACCAUGUGUUGCAAGUAGUGCUGAUGCAAAUUUAAGGCGAGCGGAUUUGCCAUACUAUGGUAAACUUGAAGAUAUAAUUGAGCUCAACUAUUAUGGUUAUUUCCAAGUUGUCCUUUUCAAGUGUAAAUGGGCAGAUACCACACGCGAUAGAGGGUUUAGAAAGGAUGCUUGGAAAUUCUCUUCAGUGAACUUUUCUCGAUGUAUUCACACUGGUGAUAGGGAAGAGCAUGAUCCAUAUAUCGAAGCUUCACAAGCACAAUUAGUGUAUUAUGUGGAUGAUGAGGUCAAUAAAGGUUGGAGUGUUGUGGUGCAUAUGAUGCCAAGGGAUUUGUAUGACAUGGGAGAAAUUAUGGAUGAUAUUGAAAGUGAGGCAUACCAAGAGCAAGACUUAAGCAAUUUAUUGUCAAAUGAAGAUGACACAAUAACAUUGGCUAGAGAUGAUGUAGAUGGUGAAUUCAUAUAUGGAAAUGCAGAGAUGAAUGAGUAGAAAAAAAUAAAAAGGGAAUAUCUUUGGGUAGUAUGACACAUGUUUUUAAGUUCAUUUAACUUAUGAUUAUUAUUUUAUACAUGUUGCCAUAUGGGCAAGCAGCAGUACUUCUUUCUAAAGCUUGUGGAUGCAUUGCUAGAGACCCUGAUCAUGUUCCUAUCAAUUUUGAAAGUUGGAAAGCAGUACUUGAUGAUUACAAAAAGGAGUGCUUUAAAAUUUUGAAGGUACGCAAAUUAUAUUGUCAAAUGUGUACUUUUAUGUUCUAUUUUUCUGGUUUCUGUUCUGUUUCUGUUUCCUGUCUAUGUACUGCUGGGAUGUUGCAUUUUACACUUGGUAUCAGAGCCUGAUGGGGAAGUAGGAACAUGCUAAAUAUGUUAGAUAUAAGUUAUUUCUCUGUUCUGUUCUUAUAUAAUUAAGCACUAUGGUCGGGAACUGGACUGGUAGUACACUUUGAACUAAACUAAAAUGAAAGCUCUUCUGAAAACCUUCUAGGAUUAUUACUAUUCAGACUUAUGAUCAUCUCUGCAGCGGAGGCGUUGAAGGCAGUAAGUCCCUGUGUGGCAGUAAGUCUAUAUUGGCCAUACUACAGACAUGUUAUUAAGUUCUGAAUAUUUUUAAUGUCCUUGUUUAGUUUCUUUUUGUGGUGGCUUAAGUCUGAUCCAGAUCUAUACUGCUCAACUAUUAAGAACAACGCAGAACCUAACUUAUAUUUCUAAUUUAUUUAUCUGUUUCUAUAGAACCAGGUGAUGGCGAUGAUACUUACGGGUAAGGAAGGUCUGUCUUCUAUGAUGCUUCGCUCUUUCUCUUCUAAGCUUUCUUUCAGAUCUUCCCAACCCUCUUCUUCUUCUAUCGAUCAUCCUCAUCAAUCCAAUCAAUUAUCCAAAUCUGUCUUCAAAGAAGAAAUUCAUUUUGAAGAUAUCAAUCAAGAUCUCGACAACUGGGAAAUCCCUAAAAUCUCUCAUGCUGAGAUCUACAAACCAAACGGAUCCUUUUUCAAACGAUCAGACUUCAUCAUCAAAACCGUUGAGCAAACCUACAAGCUCAGAUCUGAUAAUGAAGAAAUCCAUCUGCUUUCUGAGAAAAGCGUCAAAGAUCAUAUCAGCAAGAACUUCAACUAUCUUCACAUAGAUCUAACUGUCAGUCUGGAAGACAAAAACAUCCUUGACGUUCUCUUCCUAAAUAUCAAGCUUCACGGCCUUGAUAUGAAAGAAGAUUCCAUACCAAUCUCUUUGAUCUACAGGGUUCAAUACAAGGUAAUGAACUCUAUCAAAUCUUAUUUCUUGCGAACCAAUUGUGAGAAAUCCGGAGAAACAACUCUUUUCCUUACAGAUUAUGAUAAGGCAAACGUUAUUGUUCCCAAAACCAUCCAAUGGAGUGAUAUCACCCUUCCAGAGAAAUGGUCUUUGGAAAAGAAACCCUUUCUAACCUGCCACCUAAAACUCCUUUCCUUCUUAAAGGAGCUCAAUCUACACCUGUCCUAGCUUCUCCCUUCAAGACUAGAAAAGAAGAAGGGGAUGUCACUGGAAAAGACAUCAAAGACCUCAUGGAACAAUCCAAUUACACCAAUAAAUAUCUUCAAAUUCUUGGAGAAUCCCAAGUACAGGAUUCCUCUUCCAAGAAAGGAAAAGAAAAGGUCAAGAUUGAACCUUCCUCUUCUAAUCUUGAUAUCCCUAAAGGAUGUCAACUUGAGAAACCCCUUUUCAAACCUUUUCAAAUCAGUAGCCGUUCCAAACACUCGGCUCAAACUCUUCGAGCAAAAAAGGAAUCUGACAAUGAGCUCCUCCAAAAAGUGGUAGAGCAACUUCAGCUUCUCAAACAAGUUAUUCCUGAGACUCCGGAACCUCCUGAGACUCCGGAACCUACUCCGGAAGAAGUUUCUAAUCCCACUAUUACUGCUCUUCCUCCUCCAAAAACUCGUACUUCUACUCGUAAUACCUCUACUUCUUUAAAUAAUAUUGAAGAUGGUAAGGUUGAGUCUGAUUCUGAUAUUCAAUCUGACGUUCAAUCUAUCAAAAGUAUUCCUGUCAAUACUGUCAUUCACAAUUCUAAGAAUCAGUGGAGGAAAGAAACCAAGCUCUACUAUCCUAGAGCUACUGCUCCUGAUCUUCUUUUAGAAGAAUCUUCAAACUUCAAAAGCUUCAGUGCCAACAAUGUCUAUGAAUGGAACAUUGAUGGUGAAAAUGAGUAUGGUAUCACCAAAAUCCUCCAAAAUAUGACUAUGGUAGCCACUGCCUAUGUUACCGCCAACAAUUGUCCUGAAUCUCUUAUCGUUGAAGUCUUGGUUGCUGGUUUCUGUGGCCAGCUCAAAGGUUGGUGGGAUAAUUAUCUCACUCAAGACGAGAAGGAUCAGAUCUUGACUGCUGUCAAGACUGAUGAAGAAGGUAAUCCUAUCAUGGAAGAUGGAAAAUUCAUCUCUGAUGCCGUCAACUCCUUAAUCUUCACCAUAGCCCAACAUUUUGUUGGAGAUCCUUCCCUCAUCAAGGACAGAUCUGGUGAUCUUUUGUCCAAUCUUAAGUGCAAAUCUUUGGGUGAUUUCAGGUGGUAUAAAGAUACCUUCCUAACCAGAGUUUACACCCGUGAAGACAGCCAACAAGCCUUCUGGAAAGAGAAAUUCCUGGCUGGUCUUCCUAAAUCUUUUGGCGACAAAGUUCGUGAGAAACUUAGAAGCCAAAAUCCGGGGGGAGAAAUCCCAUAUCACACCCUUAGUUAUGGACAGCUCAUAGCUAUCAUUCAAAGAGUUGCUCUCAAAAUCUGUCAGGAUGACAAAAUCCAACAGCAACUCACUAAGGAGAAGUCUCAAAAUCGCAGGGAUUUGGGUACUUUCUGCGAACAAUUUGGAAUUCAAGGUUGUCCCAAGAAACCUAAACCCAGAAAGCAAGAUCCUCCUCCCAAACAACAAUGGAGAAAGAGAUCUAGCAGGAAUGAUCAUAGGAAACCCAAGCCUAGAUCAAAACCCCAAUCUUCGCAAAUUCCAAAGAAUCCUCCUGAGACUAGACCUUCUCAAGGAAAAGAUGUUACCUGCUACAACUGCGGCAAGCCGGGCCAUAUUAGCAGGUAUUGCAGACUCAAAAAGAGAAUCUCUGAGCUUCAUCUUGAACCUGAAAUUGAAGACAAGAUCAACAAUCUUCUCAUUCAAACUUCUGAUGAAGAAGAAUCUAAUCCUUCGGAUUCUGAGGUCUCUGAAGACCUAAAUCAAAUUCAGAAUGAUGAUUCUCAAUCAUCAUCUUCCGUCAAUACCUUGUCUAUCAAUACUUUGACCAAUGAACAAGAUCUUCUCUUCAGAGCUAUUAAUUCUAUCCCUGAUCCUGAGGAAAAGAAAAUCUAUUUGGAACGCCUCAGAUCUACUCUUGAAGAUAGGCCUCCCAAAAGUCCUAUAACCACCAAUAAAUUCAAUCUUAAAGAUACUUUCAAGCGUCUUGAGAAAUCUACGGUCAAGCACGUUACUAUUCAAGACCUUCAAUUUGAAGUCAAUUCCCUCAAGACUGAGGUCAAAAGUCUCAAGCAAAUCCAAAAAAGUCAGCAACUUAUUUUGGAGAAAUUGACUAAAAAUUAUGAAGAAGAUGAUUCUUCUAUACCUGAUUCCAAUCCUGCUCCUAACAACAAUUGCGAAGACUUUCUGGAGAAUAUUAACCAGGUCACCAUUCAGAAAUUCUUUAUCCAUGUUAAAAUCCUCAUUGGAGAUUUUGUUCUCGAAAUCCCUGCCCUCUUUGACACAGGGGCAGAUUCCAGUUGUAUCUCGGAGGGACUCAUUCCCACCAGAUAUUUUGAGAAAACAACUGAGAAGCUCAGCGCUGCUGAAGGAUCUAGACUAAAGAUCAAGUAUAAAAUCCCCUCAGCUAUCAUCAAAAAUGGUAGUCUUGAAAUCGAAACUCCAUUUCUGUUAGUCAGAAAUUUGAGUCAAAAAAUCAUUAUAGGGACCCCUUUCAUUAAGAAACUCUUCCCCUAUAAUACUGACGAAAACGGCAUCACUGUUCAGCAUCUUGGACAACCUAUCUUGUUCAAAUUCUCUGAACCUCCCAUAGAUAAGACUUUGAACGUCAUAUCCUACAAGGAGAAGCAGAUCAACUUCCUCAAGGAAGAAAUCUCUUACAGAACCAUUGAGGAACAAUUGCAACAACCUUCUGUUAAAUCAAGGAUUGAGGAUAUUUUGGAAAAUAUUCAAUCCAGCAUCUGUUCUGAUCUACCCAACGCUUUUUGGGAAAGGAAGAGCCAUAUGGUGGAACUUCCUUAUGAAAAAGAAUUUUCAGACAAACAGAUCCCAACCAAGGCUAGACCUAUUCAAAUGAAUGAAGAACUUCUUCAUUUCUGCCAAAAGGAAAUCAAUGAUCUCCUUGAAAAGAAACUUAUUCGCAGGAGUAAGAGCCCUUGGUCCUGUGCAGCCUUCUAUGUCAACAAACAAGCUGAGAUAGAACGAGGAACCCCUAGGCUGGUUAUUAACUACAAACCUCUCAAUCAAGCCCUUUGUUGGAUCAGAUAUCCUAUCCCCAACAAGAAAGAUCUCUUAGCCAGACUGCAUGAUGCUAAGGUCUUUUCAAAAUUCGACAUGAAAUCUGGCUUUUGGCAAAUCCAAUUGCAAGAGAAGGAUAGGUAUAAAACUGCUUUUACUGUUCCUUUUGGGCAGUAUGAGUGGAACGUUAUGCCUUUUGGGCUAAAGAACGCCCCUUCUGAAUUCCAAAGGAUUAUGAACGAAAUCUUCAAUCCUUAUUCCAAAUUCACUAUUGUCUACAUUGACGAUGUUCUAAUCUUUUCCCAAACUCUUGAUCAACAUUUCAAACAUCUCAAUACGUUCAUCUCUGUAAUCAAAAGGAAUGGCUUGGCUGUUUCCAAGACAAAAGUCAGUUUGUUCCAAACCAAAAUCCGAUUCCUUGGUCACAAUAUCCACCAAGGAACCAUCAUUCCGAUCAAUAGAGCCAUCGAGUUCACUGAUAAAUUCCCUGAUCAAAUCAUUGACAAAACCCAAUUACAGAGAUUCUUGGGUUGUCUCAAUUAUGUUGCGGAUUUCUGUCCUCAACUCAGUACCAUAAUCAAACCCCUUCAUGAAAGACUCAAGAAGGAUCCUCCACCUUGGUCCGAUAUUCAUACCAAUGUGGUCAAACAAAUCAAACUUCGUGUCAAGAAUCUCCCUUGUCUUUAUCUCCCUAAUCCUCAAGCUUUCAAAAUUAUUGAAAAUGAUGCCUCUGAUAUUGGUUUUGGUGGCAUUUUGAAACAAAAGGUUUCUGACAAAGAACAAAUUAUUGCUUUUACUUCAAAGCAUUGGAACCCUGCUCAGCAGAAUUAUUCUACUGUCAAAAAAGAAGUUUUAGCAAUCGUUUUGUCUAUUUCAAAAUUUCAAUCUGAUUUGAUCAAUCAAAAAUUCUUGGUUCGAGUGGACUGCAAAUCUGCCAAAGAGAUUUUACAAAAAGAUGUCAAAAACUUAGCUUCAAAACAUAUCUUCGCCAGAUGGCAAGCUAUUUUAAGUGUUUUUGACUUUGAAAUUGAAUAUAUAAAAGGAUCUUCAAAUUCUCUCCCUGAUUUCCUCACUCGUGAAUAUUUGCAGGGCAGAUCAUAAGAUGGCCUCCAAAGGCUCUUCCUCAUCCAGAGGAAGAGGCAGAGGUUCUCACAAGAACAAAGGUAUUACAAUUUAUGACUUAAUCCUCUCUGGGCCCACUGCCCAUCAAUCUGGACCCACUGUCCAAAAUCAAAAAUCUGAGCCCACUGCUCAAAAUCAAUCUCCCCAACCAAAACAAACCAAAGCAGAUUAUGCUUUAUCAAUUCCAACUCUCCUUGCCCUCAAACAAGCAGGCCUGGAUAAUGUUCCUCAGGGACUCAUCAAUUUACCCAAAAAAUCCUGGGCUAGCAUGACAGAAGAAGAUGAUGACCUUCAAUCUCUCCAAGCCAUCAUUGAUAAAACCAAAACCUUAGCAACUCAUUGCGGGAAAAAACCCGUUGUUGCUCAACCCAGUCAACCCAACCAAAAUACCGGUUAUCUAGCCAAAAUAAACUCCAAAUUCCAAACUUUUAUUGAACCAGAAUGGUGGGAUAGCUCUGGAGGAGUCGACCUUGCCAACAAAAUUGGCAUUAAACUCUUCCCAAAUCACCUUGAUCCCAUUCACCCAAACAAAUCCCAAAUUUUCUAUGAGUUUAUCCUUAUAGAUACAAACAGUGUAGAAAUCAAACACUUUAGGGAUAAAUCUGAUAACUCCCUUAUCACUCAUUCUACACUCCAAAUUCUCCGUGUCCUUCGUCCCACUGACUUUGGACCUAAUCCAAAUGGUUACAAAAAAUUCUCUCAGAACUUUGACCCUGUAGGUUUCAACUAUUGGGACUAUAUGAAAGCUUGGGAGAAUACAAUCCUUGGUCUACAAAAUCAGAAUUUCAAACACUCUUGGCUCAUUUAUUUUAAAUGGUCCAACAAAUAUUCUUUUCCAAAUUGGUUUCACUCUUGGUGGGAUUUCUUUGGACCUACUACGGAAAUCUUUCCCUCUGAAGUUCUUGAGGGUUACAAUCAUUUUUUAAAGCAUUGGAAUAAAGAUUUAAACAAUUAUCCUGAUUGUUUGAAUUUUUACACAAUCUUUUCCCUUUCUUGGGUAUUUGCCUGGCGUUAUGGUCUCAAGACAAAAGCCCAACCAAUUCUCCACAAACAACCCUUAAUCAAAUGGUGGAAGGUCUUUGAUGCUUCCAAAGCUCAUAAGGAGAAUGUCAAUCAGUGGUUUAAGUCUAACCAAAGGUGCCUUAAGCAUGCCAAUCCGCAAUCUAGUCUCUUGCUCAAUCAAAAGGCCCACAUCACAGCGGCCCUUGCAGGAGCUUCAACAGAAGAAGACUUGCUGAAGAAUCUCCAAACAGCUCUGCAAUUAUUGAAAGAAAAGGAGCCAAAGGAGCAGGCCUCAUCCUCAAAGGCCCCUCAGCAGAAAACUUCCUCACAAUCUUCUUUCGGGUCAGAUCUUGUCCCGGAAACACUGGAAUCAAGUGAAGAUGACCUCUGCUAAAGCUUUGUCGUCUUUUUUCAUUAUGUUUUGUAAUAAUUCAAUCUCAAUUAUUGUAUUCCACUGUAGCAACAGUAGAACUUUUUACUGUAGCAAAUAGUGCCCGUCAAAUAGUACCGUCUACCGGAACUAUUCAACCGGAACUAUUCAAACAGUGACCAAAUUUUUCUUUAAAUAGGCAUCUUCUGAGCUUUGUUAGGCAGAGUUUGGCAUAGCCUAGAUAGAGAGUUAUAGAGAGAGAAAACACUGAGAGUCCUUCUGUAAGUUCUCUUUCAGUUUUCCUUUCUUCAAUCUUUUCAGUUGUUCAGUUUUUAUAUUUCAGUUUUUGUAACCUAUGUUUAUGUAAUAUAUUUCCUCCAGUUUUAUUUUUUUGUUUAUGGAAGGCUGAGCCUCCUGUUUUAAUUCCUGUCUUUUAAUUUCUGCAAUUUAAAUUUCUGCUACUAGAAGCCCCUCCGUGGUGGCGUCCUACUUCUCUUCUUAAUCCUCAUCUCAUCCCCCUCCUUCUGUAUAUAUAUAUAUAUAUAUAUAUAUAUAUAUAUAUAUAUAUAUAUAUAUAUAUAUUUGGUAUUUCUAAAAACAAAUUAUUGAGUAUUGAAUUGUCUUUUAACCUUAACACUAACAAUUAUCUUUUUUGUUGAAGAAUCUUUUUCAUUUUCAGGCACCGGAGUUAAUUGCUAAGCGUUAUUGCUUUCUUACCAUGGGGAAAAAGUAUAGUGUAAAUUCAGGUUCCCUCUGACACGAUUGUCCUGCACGAUGCUGGGACAAGAGGUUCGACAACUGCUUAACAGUGAAACAAAACUUAACAACAGAAACAAUAACACACAGUAAUUGUUAACCCAGUUCAGUGAAAACUUUCACCUACGUCUGGAGGGUUUGCACCCAAAGAAAGGAAAUCCACUAUCUCAAGAUUCAGGAAUUACAGACACUCAUGAACACCUCAGUUCAUAGUUCACUUCCUAAUCUACCCAGUGUAUUUCUACUUAGAAUCUCAACCUAAGUAUGAGAGCCCCUCUCACUUCCUCUCAAUCACUGCCACAGUGAUUGGUAAACACAAUGAACAAUCAGAGUUUGAAUGUAAUCAAACAACACAGAACCCUUCUUUGCUUUAUAGAAUCAGUGAGCAAAGAGGAUUCACAAAUAACAAGAACGAAGCACAAUAACAAAUCCUAAAACACUCGAUCUCUCUCUAUCAGCUUCGGUCAUCUUCACGUUUUAGGUCUUCAUCCUUUUAUAGACUUCAGCAGCGGUAGCAUGGGCUUUAGGGUUGGCACGGGCUGAAGAAACAGAUAUCAGUAACAGCAAUUCAAAAACACAAUCUUGAUAGAUUCGGUUUCUUAUUGCACAAGUAACGAUAGAAACCAAUCUUUUAGCAAAGAUUGUUUCAACAAAUAACAACCCCACAAUUAAAACCCUUCUGGAUAGCUACUUGCUCCUCAAGUAACUCAAAAACAUAUCUUCAGUAAAUCUUCAGAGGGCCCACAAUAUAAACACAAGCUGAGGACUGAUGUCCUAGCCUCACGAGGUCAGAUGCCACGGCAUCUGCUUCGACAAUUAGUUGUUUUGACAAAAUGCAAGGCAACAUGUUCCAACAAUCUCCCCCUUUGUCAAAUUUUGUCUAAAACAACUCACAAUCAGAGAGGAUAAAAACAAGAGAAAUAACUCUCCCCCUUAGUCAGAGCUCCCCCUCAAACAGAUGCAUCUACACAACCAACUACCAUACUUCAGAAGGCAUAGUCGGAACAAACACAUUUUAACAUCGCAAACACACAACCAGAGGUACAAUCAACCUUAGCACAUGAUGUCUUCAAAAUGGGUCAGCUUGGACAUCAUCAUAUCAAAAAUACUACCAUCAGAAGCUGGCAGCACAUACCCAGAAGUACAGCUAACAGAAAUACUGCUCAUCAGAAGCACCGUCAGAAAUACAACUCAUCAGAAGUAACAUUUCAGAAAACAAACAUAGCCAUCGUCUUGAACUUGUCUUCAGACCAGAGCUAACACUAUCAGAACACACGUAGCACAGUAGAAACAGAAGCAACUUCACCUAACUUCUGAGAACAUGAACAUCUGAACCACAACAAACUUCUGAUCUGCGAACAUCUGAACAAAAACAACUUCUGAACCACUAACUUCUGAACAGAAACAUCUGAAAAAAAACUCUUCACUAACUUCUGAAACCUCAAAACAGCUGAAACAUAGAUCUUCACUUAAACAUCUGAUCAUAAAACACAUGCAUACUACUCCCCCUUUUUAGCACAAAUUUGCAAAGGGUGCACGAAUACAGCAGAAACAAAACACACUAGUCUUCAGAACUGGAGUCCUUUCCAGAUCCUUCUGCAUUUUCCUCUGCACACUCUUCAGAUCCUUCCUCCUCUUCAUUACUCACAUUCGGAGCAGCAGCACGUUGCUCACCAUCUUGACGUUCUUCUUCUUGUAGCUUGAGUAGCAACGCAUCAACUUUGAGCUUCCUGGCAGUGCUCACCCUGAUUGUCUCCUGCAAAGCCUUGGAAACUUCCAGUAAUUCAGCUAUGAUGGCCUUAGCGUCAGAUUCAGUCACAGGAGGAGCAGAUGUUCUGCUGGUUGGUAAGGCAAUGUCUAGAACAUGUGGCUCCAUAAACAAACGGUGAUCCAAAGUGAUUGGAACUCCACGAGACAUAGCCACAUCAUCUGCCCUCAGAAUCUGAGGAUGUUGCUUUAAGAUUAUCUCAGUAAGAAGUGAAGGAAAUGAAACAGGCAGCUUCACAGCACAAGUAUCAGCAUGCUUCAAUGUCUGCUCAAACACAAAAGUUCCAAAGUCAAAAGCCAUAGACUUGCCAAUCCUAUAGAUCAAUUUGGCAAGCGUUGCAGAAACACCAGAAGUAUGUUGAGUAGGAACCCAAUUCACAGCACCAAUCCGGUUAAGAAUAGCAUACUUCACACUCAGAUUUCCAGGAGACAACAACUUCUUGCUGGGCCACUUCUUCACAUGACCGGCAGUAAGCUCCUUGGCAACAUCAUCCAUGGACACUUCUUCAUCAACAAAUUCAAUAGCACUUCUUCCAUGUGCUUGAUUGAUCACAGCAGGUGAAAACAAUACACAUUCAGCCCGUACAUAGACUUUUCUGAACUCUGCACUAUCAGGAAGUCCCACAUCAACAGAGAGAUUCACCAGGAACUCUCUCACAAGCUUCUCAUAGCACCUUCCAACAUUCUGAAUAGUCUUCAUCAGACCUGCUUUCUCAAUAAGUGCAAUAACAUCUCUGCAUUCAAGAACAUCAGAACCAACAUCCCUUUCCUUGGCCAUUCUCCUCUUGCAAACAAACUUCCACUUCUGAACAUUCUCUUCUAAGUGGAAAGACACUCUAUCAAUAGGGACAGCAGGAACAUUCUGAGGAACACGCUUACCAGAAAACUUCUUUGUAUCAGAAGAUCGAAUGUCCUGAACACCGACUUCAACAUCUGACUCAGAGUCUUCAACUUCAACUGGAAUCUUCCUCUGCUUGUUCUCAGUGGGAGCCUUUGCGUCCUUUUGCUUCCCCUUACUCUUCACACUGACAUGUCUAGAUUUCUUUGAUGGAGUAGGUGUGAUUUCAGGAGAAGAAAUCCUUCUUUUCUUCUUCAUUCUCGCAGCAACACUAUCAGCAAAAGUCUCAGUCAGAGGAACAUCAUCAGAAGCAUCAUCAGAGAUGUUCUGAACAGAGGCUGGAUCAGCAUCCUUCGAAGAGGAUGAAACAGAGAUAUUAGGCGUGGUAGCAUCGCCUGAAUUUUCAUGAGAAGUGGAAUCCUUUCCAGGAGUUUCUUGAGCAGAACUUUCCUUAGACCCAGUUGCCUCAACAUCAGCCACAACAUCAGGCACAACUUCAGGAGGCGAUUUCACUGGAGAAUCUUCAUCAUUGAUUUCUUCUUCGUCAGGAACAUCCUCAAGGAUAGAAACAUUUGGGGCUUUGCUGUUCUUGACCUGUGAUUUGUAGACCUUACAUGUUGGGUUUCUUGAUCGCAUCUUCUUGGAGGCUUUCUUGGACACAAAAGACGGUUGAGAAGGAUCACUCUUCAAACCCAUACACUUGACUCCUUUAGCAGUUCCUUCAAUCUUGGCCUUGACAGAUUCCUUCUUUCCUGAACUUUGAGACAUGACGAAUCGAGAGGAAAUACAAACAAAGUUCAGAACAAUGAAACAAAUUUGCAAAUGAGAGAUGAUGAGUCUUGAAGAAGAUAGAUGCACAAGCGGUUGAGAGAACACAAUAUGCCCGUUGGAGGUAGUUAUAGGAUAUGUGAACCAUGAAGUAACUUUCUCUCUGCUGAUGUCACAACGGCUGUUAAUGAUGACCAAGAAUAAACUAGCCGUUGACACACUAGGGCACGCUAAUUGCUAUGCAUCAGAAAGACAAAUCCCUAUACUUCCUCUUAAUUUUUCAAAAGUGAUAGCAUCAAGGGGUUUUGUGAAAAUAUCAGCCAACUGCUUGUCAGUUGUCACAUGAUCCAAAUUAACAAUUUUCUCCUCCACCAAGUCUCUAAUAAAAUGAUGUCUAAUGUCAAUAUGCUUGGUCCUGCUAUGCUGUAUAGGAUUCCUUGAAAUAUUAAUUGCACUGAGAUUGUCACAGUACAAUGUCAUGACAUCCUGUUCAACAUCAUAUUCCUUCAGCAUUUGCUUCAUCCACAUGAGUUGAGUACAACUACUUCCUGCUGCAAUAUAUUCCGCUUCAGCUGUAGACAAUGAGACACAAUUCUGCUUCUUGCUAAACCAUGAAAUCAAAUUAUUCCCUAGGAAGAAACAACCACCAGAUGUGCUUUUUCGAUCAUCUGCACUACCUGCCCAAUCUGCAUCACAGAAACCAACUAACGAAGAAUUUGUAUCAUGAGUAUAGAGAAUACCAUAGUCACUCGUGCCAUUGAUGUACUUGAUAAUUCUCUUGACUUGUAGCAGAUGACUAGCCUUAGGAGCUGCUUGAUAUCUUGCACAUACACCAACUGCAAAGGUGAUAUCUGGUCUGCUAGCAGUGAGAUACAACAAGCUUCCAAUCAUGCUUCUAUAGAGACUUUGAUCUACAUCUUCCCCCUGUUCAUCCUUGGAGAGUUUGAUGUGUGUAGCAGCAGGAGUUCUCUUGUGACCAGCCUUUUCAAGCCCAAACUUCUUGACUAACCCUUUAGCAUACUUGCUCUGUGAUAUGAACAUAGAAUCCUCCAUUUGUGUGACUUGUAGUCCUAGAAAAUAAUUCAAUUCACCAACUAGGCUCAUCUCAAAUUCAGAUUUCAUUUGUCGGACAAAAUGCUCCACCAUUGAGUUCGACAUUCCUCCAAAGACAAUGUCAUCCACAUAAAUCUGUGCUAUCAUGAGCUUACCUUUGUCAUUCUUCACAAACAGAGUUUUAUCAAUUCCACCCUUGCUGUAACCAUUGCUUACAAGAAAGUCAGUUAACCUUUCAUACCAAGCCCUAGGUGCUUGCUUCAAACCAUACAAGGCCUUCCUCAACUUGUACACAUGAUCUGGAUGAUGCGGAUCUGUAAAUCCUUUAGGUUGUUCAACAUAGACUUCUUCAUUCAAAUAGCCAUUCAGAAAAGCACUCUUCACAUCCAUCUGAUAAAGUCUGAACUUCAAGAGACAAGCAACACCUAACAAGAGUCUUAUAGAUUCCAGUCUAGCUACUAGAGCAAAGGUCUCAUCAAAAUCAACUCCUUCAAUCUGAGUAUAUCCUUGAGCAACAAGCCUUGCUUUAUUCCUUGUGACUGUUCCAGUUUCAUCUGACUUGUUCUUGAAGAUCCACUUAGUGCCAAUGAUGUUUACUCCUUCAGGUCUAGGCACUAACUCCCACACUUCAUUUCUCCUGAACUGUUCUAGCUCCUCUUGCAUAACAUUUAUCCAGUAUUCAUCAGUGAGAGCUUCAUUGACAUUCUUGGGUUCUGUCUUAGAGAUGAAACAACUGUGAGCAAUCAUACUCCUGGAUCUGGUAGUCACCCCUUCUUGAAGAUUACCAAUAAUGUUUUCUUGAGGAUGAUUCUUCUGAACCCUAAUUGAUGGAGCUUUGGUUGAUGUGAUAUCUUUGUCUUCCUUUUCAUCAGCACUUGUUUCUGACUCGUUGUCGAGGGCGGUUGCUGGAGCAUCGGCUGGAACAUCUGCAUCAUCAUCAUCUUCAUUCAAAACUGCUUCUUCCUUCUUGCUUGGUUCAUCAUCCACAGUCACAUUCACAGAUUCCAUCAUGGUCCUUGUGCGAGAGUUAAAAACUCUAUAGGCUUUGCUGUUCAUAGAAUACCCCAUGAAAAUUCCUUCAUCACUUCUAGGAUCAAGCUUCCUCUUAGGAUCACGAUCUGCAAGGAUAUAACAUUUACUUCCAAAUAUGUGAAAGUAUUUUACAGACGGUUUUCUACCUUUCCAUAGCUCAUACUGUGUGGAGGAUGUCCCUGCCCUGAUGGUGACUCUAUUAUGUAUGUAACAGGCAGUACUCAUAGCUUCAGCCCAGAACUGGUGUGGAAUCUUCUUAGCAUGUAACAUUACUCUAGCUGAUUCCUGGAGAGUUCUAUUUUUCCUCUCAACUAUUCCAUUCUGCUGUGGAGUGAUAGGGGCAGAAAAUUCAUGGCUAAUACCUUCUGUUCCACAGAACUCCAAGAAUUUUGAAUUUUCAAACUCCCUUCCAUGAUCACUUCUGAUUCUCACAAUCACACAGUCCUUCUCAUUCUGAAGUCUCAUACAUAGAUUCUUGAAUAUUUCAAAAGUCUCUGAUUUUUCUCUCAUAAACUCAACCCAUGUAUACCUUGAAAAGUCAUCUACACAGACAAACACAUACCUUUUUCCUCCCAAGCUUUCAACCUGCAUGGGACCCAUGAGAUCCAUGUGAAGCAAUUCCAGAACCUUUGUCGUGGUCUGAUGCUGGAGCAUCUUGUGUGGCACCUUGGUUUGCUUACCAAUCUGACAUUCUCCACAUAGCUUUCCUUCUCCCAAGCUCAAAUUGGGCAAUCCCCUUAUUGCUUCAUCUGCAAGAAUCUUUUGCAUGCUCCUGUAGUUGAGAUGUCCUAGUCUUUGAUGCCAUACAUUCACCUCAUCUUCUUUAGUUAACAAACAUCUGGAAACAUGAGCUUUAUCUUCUGAUGUCCACAUAUAACAGUUGUCUUUUGAUCUGACUCCUCUCAUCACAACUCUCUCAUCAUCAGUGGUCACAACACAUUCUAUCUUAUUGAACUUCACAUCAUAUCCUUGAUCACACAGUUGACUUAUGCUGAUUAAGUUGGCUGUUAAACCAUUUACAAGUAACACAUUGUUCAAGUUAGGAGAUUCUGUGCUAACAAGAUUUCCUACUCCCUUGAUCUUUCCUUUAGCUCCAUCUCCAAAAGUAACAUAGUUGGUGGAGUGACUUCUGAUGUCUUGCAAGAAGCUCUUGUUUCCUGUCAUGUGCUUUGAACAACCACUAUCAAAAUACCAAUCUUCCUUUGAUGAUGCUCUGAAAGACGUGUAGGCUACCUGACAUCUGACUUCACCCUUGGGCUUCCAUUGCUUCCUCAUCUGAACAGGCUUUUUAUCGUGCAUCUGAGGAUAACCAUAUAACCUGUAACAGUAGGGCUUUAUAUGACCAUUCUUACCACAGUAGUGACACUUCCAAGGUACAGUUUUAUCAAGCUUAAGCCGGGGUUUCACAUGCAGAGGUACAUGUCUGGGCAAUGAAUCUGACAACUGAUAAUUUCUAGGCUUCUUGAAUUCAGUUUGUUUCGCAGCAGACACAAAUUUCUUUGAACCUUUCUGAUUUUCUUUGUUUGCAGUUCUAUAGUCAAAGCCAAUUCCCUUCAAACUCCCUCCUUGCUUGCUAGUUUCCUUCAGAAUUUCAUCAAGCAUAUCAGAACCACUGUUCAACAUUCUAACAGAUUUGUGAGUAGCUUCAAGCUUUCUUGUCAGAGUUGCCACUUCCUCUUGAAGUCCUGCAUUAAUCAACACUAGAUUAGCCUUUUCCAUAACAUCAGCAUUAUUAAACUUACUUUGCCAUUCCUCCAGAUCUUCCUUCAGCUUUGUGCUGAGCUCUUUCAGCCUUUCAUUCUGAGAGACAAGUUGUUCUAUCUCACUUUGCUUUUCUCUCACAAGUUUACAUGCUUCUUCCCACUUGAUGUGUAGCAGCUUGUAAGUCUCAGCCAGUUCCUCAUCUGUAAUGUCCUCAUCACUUGUAUCAGACUCAUAGACGGUUCCAGAGAAAGCAUUGACUUUGUUUGCAGAUAUCUCCUCCUCAUCUUCAGUGUCUUCAUCUGACCAAGUUACCAUCAUACCUUUCUUCUGCUUCUUUAGAUAAGUGGCGCAUUCAGAUCUGAUGUGACCAUAUCCUUCACAUUCAUGACACUGCACUCCUUUAUUCUGACCAGAUUUUUCUUCUUCUUUGGUCUUCCUCUGUGAAUUAGUAAAUUUGGGUUUGUUAUCGAACUUCAUGUCCUGGACAUUAGGCCUGGUUCUUUUAUCAAUCUUUCUCAAUGCUCUGUUGAAUUUUCUUGCUAGCAUGGCUAGAGCCUCAGUCAGAUUUUCACCCUCACAAUCUUCAUCAUCACCUUCAUCAGUGUUUGACACAAAAGCAAUACUCUUAUUCUUCUUCUCAGAUUUUCCACUCAGUUUCAACUCAAAUGUCUGCAAAGAGCCAAUAAGUUCAUCAACCUUCAUGUUCUCAAUGUCUUGAGCCUCCUCAAUUGUAGUGACUUUCAUAGCAAACUUAUGAGGAAGAGAUCUCAAGAUCUUCCUUACAAGCUUCUCAUCUGACAUAGGCUCUCCCAAAGCAAAUGAAGCAUUAGACAAGUCACGGACACGCAUGUGGAAUUCUGAAAUAGUCUCUUCUUCAGUCAUCAUAAAAUUUUCAAACUGAGUAGUAAGCAUCUGAAGCCUUGACAUCCUUACUCGAGUAGUUCCUUCAUGUGCAGUUUUCAGAAUUUCCCAAGCAUCCUUUGCCACAGUACACGUAUUGAUCAGCCUAAACAUAUUUUUGUCAACUCCAUUAAAGAUAGCAUUUAGAGCCUUUGAAUUUCCAAGAGCAGCUUCAUCUUCAACACUGGUCCAUUCUUCUUCAGGUUUUUCCACAACAGUAGUAGAGGUGCCUUCAACCUCAGCCUUAGUGGGGUGCUUCCAACCCUUGACAAUAGCUUUCCAAGUCUUAUUGUCAAUUGACUUGAGAAAGGCUGUCAUGCGAACCUUCCAAUAGUCAUAGUUAGUACCAUCCAGAAUGGGUGGCCUAUUAACUGAUCCUCCCUCCUUGUUAUCCAUGAGAACUUGAAUAAAAACUCCCUGGAGCUCACCCAACCAGAACAGGGUGCCUGCUCUGAUACCAAUUGUAAAUUCAGGUUCCCUCUGACACGAUUGUCCUGCACGAUGCUGGGACAAGAGGUUCGACAACUGCUUAACAGUGAAACAAAACUUAACAACAGAAACAAUAACACACAGUAAUUGUUAACCCAGUUCAGUGAAAACUUUCACCUACGUCUGGAGGGUUUGCACCCAAAGAAAGGAAAUCCACUAUCUCAAGAUUCAGGAAUUACAGACACUCAUGAACACCUCAGUUCAUAGUUCACUUCCUAAUCUACCCAGUGUAUUUCUACUUAGAAUCUCAACCUAAGUAUGAGAGCCCCUCUCACUUCCUCUCAAUCACUGCCACAGUGAUUGGUAAACACAAUGAACAAUCAGAGUUUGAAUGUAAUCAAACAACACAGAACCCUUCUUUGCUUUAUAGAAUCAGUGAGCAAAGAGGAUUCACAAAUAACAAGAACGAAGCACAAUAACAAAUCCUAAAACACUCGAUCUCUCUCUAUCAGCUUCGGUCAUCUUCACGUUUUAGGUCUUCAUCCUUUUAUAGACUUCAGCAGCGGUAGCAUGGGCUUUAGGGUUGGCACGGGCUGAAGAAACAGAUAUCAGUAACAGCAAUUCAAAAACACAAUCUUGAUAGAUUCGGUUUCUUAUUGCACAAGUAACGAUAGAAACCAAUCUUUUAGCAAAGAUUGUUUCAACAAAUAACAACCCCACAAUUAAAACCCUUCUGGAUAGCUACUUGCUCCUCAAGUAACUCAAAAACAUAUCUUCAGUAAAUCUUCAGAGGGCCCACAAUAUAAACACAAGCUGAGGACUGAUGUCCUAGCCUCACGAGGUCAGAUGCCACGGCAUCUGCUUCGACAAUUAGUUGUUUUGACAAAAUGCAAGGCAACAUGUUCCAACAUAUAGGAAUGGAAAGUUGAAAUUAUGGAAUUCUAAAGAUAACCCUUGUUAUUCUAGAGAACAACUUAUUGGUAAUGUCCCUAAAGGAGUUCCUAAAGAUCAAUGGUCAUCAUUUGUUGAUUAUCACUUGAAGCCAAAAUAUAAGGUAUAAUUUCCUAGUUGUUUGUUAUCUAUAAUUAUCUUUUUCAGAUUAUAUUUUAGUUAACGUGUUGUUCAUAUAAUAGGAGUUAUGUCAAAAGAAUGUGGAGGCGCGUAAAAAGCAAACAAUUCCACAUACCGGCGGAUCUAAACUUUUAUCAAGGAGACAACAUGAAAUGGUAUAUAACUCAUGUUAUGCCUUGUUAGGUCUUAAUAGAUUGAUCUAAUUAUUUUUAUUUGAUAUUUGGACUUAUAUGAGUCACACACAUAUGUAUAGGAAAUAGAGGUUGGACAUGCUAUAAGUCGAGGAGAAUUAUAUAUUGCAACUCACAAGAGAAAAGAUGGGUCUUAUGUCAAUGAGGAGGCAAGGUUUGUAGGGGUAAGUUACAAAAUUAAAUGUUUAUUCCCCUGCUACUGAAAUUGGAAUUUAAAACCAGAAUCUUGCUGUGCUUUUUUUUCAAGAAAUAGAAUCUUUGCGCUGCUGAUUUAGAAUAAGUUAAAGUUAAUGACAUGCUAUCAUUUUACCCAAAUGACAUGUAGGAGCAGGUUGAGCAAGAACUAAGUCAAACCAACAAUUUUGUAGAAGUUUCAAAAAAUGAUGCUCUUUCCAAAAUUUUGGGUCCAGAUAGAGCUGGAUGUGUGCGUGGAUUAGGCUUAGGUGCUCUUCAUAGUGUUGCAUUUGGAUCGACUAGUGGUAUAGCCUAUAAUAGCUCAGCUGAAGUAUCUCAAUUGAAAGAAGAACUUAAUUUUGUAAAGAGCAAGUUAGCAACUUCUGAAGAGAAUAUUUCAACAUUGCAAACUAUAAUGUUUGCAUUUAUGCAAAUGAAAGAAUUAAAUAUCUCAGCAAACUUGGGUGCUUUGUUCGCGACUUUUACUCAAAUGGUAAUGUUGCUUAUUGAUUUAACUAAGGUAAUAUGUUGCAGUUUUUAAUGAGUACAAAUGUUGAUUUGGUGUGGUUUUAAUUUUUAAGGACAAUGCCAAUGCUAAUGAUGAACCAGUUCAAACUGCUGAUCAUGCAAAGGGUUUUCACUAAUGUUAGUGAGGUUAGUCAUGUUUGCUACUCUACUUUGGAAAUUUAGUUUUGAAUGCUGAAUGUUUUCAUUUCUGUUUCUCCAUUGAAGUGAUUACUUGAUUGGGUAAUAAAUAAUAUGGUAAAGUCAUCCUUGAUUUGCCUUAAUAUUUUAUGUACAAGAUUACAGCCAUAUUGAUUAAGCUACAUAUCUAUGUCUAUCCCCCUGCUUGACUAAUCAGAAUUAGAUCCCAUUAUCUAGAAAUGUUUCUAGUCAUAUCUUAAACGAUGCUGUGACAUCCAAAGCUGCAUCUAAAUCAUAUUUUAUCAGUUUUCCUGAUUUUAGUUUCAGCUACUGAUUAGAAAUUUGACAAAUGUCUACCCUUUUCAUUGCAGGGUCAAUUGAUGACAAUAUAGAUAUAAUGAAGAAAUGUCUAAAAAUAAUCGAGUCUUUAAAUCCUUAUGUACUCAAAUUCAAAUGUUGGAACCAUAUAUUUCCUUUCAUGUUCAUGCCCAUUUGUGAGUUAGAUUGAACCUUGUGACAUCUUGAGGCAUACUCUGAAUUUAGUAAAGAUGUUGCAUAUUUGAGAUAUGUAAGUGAAUUGUAAUUUUUUUUUUGAGUGACUGAACCACCUUUGUAGAGUGGUCUUGCAAUUACUUGUAGCAUUAUCAUGCUCAUGCUCAUGCUUUUUAAAAUUCAUUAUGUUCUUUUUUAUCCUAUUCUCUCUUUGCUUAAUUUGGUGUUAGUUUAAUCCCUAAUCACCAACAUAUUAGAGAUUUUAAUAAUUCAUUUAAAUUGAUUCACAAAUAAAAAAAUAAAAAAUAAAAAAUUCACUUGGAUGGGUCAAAACCUGAAUUAUGCAUUUUGUGGCACUUAAAGGAUGCCAGUACUGUUUGAGCCUAAUUCAAUGGUUGGUGUAUUUCGUGGCAUUUAAAAGAUGCCAAUACCAGUUGUGGCAUACAAAACCGGCAUUUAAGCAAAAAAUGCCACAAAACAGUUGUGGCACCUGUAAUAGAGGCACUUAAAGGUGAAUGCCACUAAUAACACUUGUGGCAUUUAAUAAAUGCCACAACUUAACAAUAUCAAUGCCACUAAAAAUGCAUUUUUUUGUAGUGUUCCUACUGGCGCAACAUGAUGAAACUGUGCAUGUUUGAGCUCUUAAACAUGCCGAAAGUUCAAAGCUUUGCUCCUUUAAGGAGAGAUGAAGUAGGACUGUUUGUGGAAUCACUUAAGAAAUCAGCAGCCUCACGUGAGGUUGUGAAUGUCAGUGAGAAAAUUGGGGAUGUUGUAGAGAAUACUGUCCAUAGAAUGAUUUGGGGUAAAUUUGAUGAUAAAUUUAAUUUGGUGUAAAACAGCUUGCUCGUGACGUUUUUCUCCUCAUGGGAGUUCUUGAUCUGGGAGAUUAUAUACCUUGGGUUGGGGCCUUUGAUCUUCAGGUACUUCAACUACAACUACUACUAGAUGUUUGAAUCUACUUAUUUCCCUUCAUAAUCAUUUCUGAUACGCAAUAAACUUUUUUUCCUAGAAUCAAUUUUGCCUUUAAAUGUGAUUGAAGAACGAUUUGCAUACAUGUACUAUUGUUACUUUUGAUUGUUAAAAACCUUAAUUUAUGUGGCUAACCAAGGAGGACGAAUCAUCAGUUAGUCCCUAGUGGCAUCAUCAGUUAUGAGACUAUAUGACACACCAUGUUAUCUGCUGACGUGACAAUAUUGACAAUGAUAAAAAUCUCAAAUGUUAAUUACAAAAUGAUGAUUCGAACAUGAGAUCUUAUAGUGGUAGAUUUCUCGUGUUUGAAUCCUCACUUUGAAAGUUUUGGAAUUUUAAGUAGAAUGUUACUAUUAAAGACUAACUAAUUAUUUGUCAACCGGCUACAUGUCAUCGGUUAGCCACGUUUAUUUGCAAACACCAAUAAUACUUUGUUCACAUACCUUUUUCCAAUUUCACUUUAAUGAUAUAAGAAAAAAAGAUUGAGAAAUGAGUGAUAUAAUAAGUUUUUGUUUAUUAGUGAUAUAAUAAGUGAUGUGAAAAUAUAGAGGGAGAUAGAAAUAAGAAAAUGCUAUUGUACACGAUUAUAUUUUUUACGACAAGGCACGACUUAAUUCCCACCGUGUGAUCUUAAUCAGAUUGGGGUUUUUAUCAUCAGCCCACAAUCCUUGUUUUCCAUCAAAACGUGCAAACUACAAUCAUCUCCCGUCGUGCAUUGAAUUUGUCAUGUGAUAUAGAAAUUCUCUAGAAAUAAAUGAGUGAAAACGAGAUGAAGAAAAAAUGGAGUGUGAGUGAAUCAUUAAUCUCUAUUGCCUUUUUUUUUACAUUUAAAGACUUAUAUUAAAGAAAUUGAAAUGUCGGGAGUAAAACCAAAUAAGCAUUCCUAUUUUUAAAAACUCCUAUUUUUAAGACUUUGACCAUAUUUAAUCCUUAUUCUUAUCCUAAAAGAUUUUACAUUGUCCACUAAAUUUUACUCAAAUUUAAUCCAUAUCUCAGGGACUUGUACGAAGGUUCAAGAAAGCGCACAAGAAAUUUGACGAAGUGUUAGAGAUAAUCAUCAAAGAUCACGAGGCUUCUGCUCGCCUUACCGACCAGAAAAGCGUGCAAUCUAUUGACUUCAUUGACAUAUUGCUAUCACAUAUGCACCAAUCAAAGGAUAAACAUGCUAUUACCAAAACAAACAUCAAGGCUAUUUUGUUGGAUAUAAUUAUCGGAGCAGUUGACACAACUAUCAUGUCGGUUGAUUGGAAUAUGGCAGAACUAAUAAGGCACCCAAGGGUUAUGAAGAAACUUCAAGAUGAGUUAAAGAAUAUUGUAGUGGGUAUGGGGAGGAUGGUAGAAGAAGCUGACUUACCAAAGUUGCCAUACCUCGAUAUGGUGAUGAAAGAGACCUUUAGGUUACAUCCACCUACUCCACUCCUCCCACCUCGUGAGUGUACGGAAGAUUUUACAAUCAAUGGUUAUUUCAUUGCGAAAAAGUCACGAGUUUUAGUCAACUCUUGGACAUUAGGACGAGAUCCUAAGAUGUGGUCAGAUAAUUUUAAGGAUUUUUAUCCAGAAAGAUUUCAUAACACCGACAUAGAUUCUCAUGGGCACAAUUAUCAAUUUUCACCAUUUGGUUCCGGUCGUAGACGCUGUCCCGGGAUGCUAUUGGAUUUAACUACGGUUCCGUUUCUUCUAGCUCAGCUAGUGCAUUGCUUCAACUGGGAGCUUCCACCGGGCGUGUCUACUGAUGACAUGGACAUGACUGAGGAAUUUGGCCUUACAACGCCAAGAACUCAGAAUUUGCUAGCGAUUCCAACUUAUCGCUUAAUAAAUGAAGGUUAAUUGAAUGCAUUCAACCUCAUGAGAAAGCAGGAAGUUACUUUAAUGUGUUUUUUAAUUUAUUCCUUUCUUUGUUUUUCCUUGAAUAAGAUCUUCAUGUGCUCACAGAGCUUCUUAAUUUGCUGCACUUGGAUCGAUCAUACCUAAGAGAUUAGGAUGAUUUUAAAUUUCAGCAGUGUAAUGAUUGUAAUAUUUAAUAAUCCUGUUACUCAUGAUGGGUUUUAAUAACGUUAAGUUGGCCGCAUUCAUGUAUUUAAAAAUUGCAUUUUAUUUUCCUUUGGACAAAUCUUUCUAGCCCAAAAACCAACACAAAAACUAGUAUCAACCAACAAUUCAACACAGUUCGUAGAUAUCGGAGAUCAUUAAGCAUUCAUUCAAGGGUUCAAUUUUUGAGAAGUGUAUAUAAAGAAAGAUUUGUUAAAAAAGACUUACUCACUUAAUCUAAUCUCAAAGCUUCAAAUAUAUUAGUCUUGGUGGUGCCAACUAUCAAAUACUUAAUAAAAAAUAUAAACAACUUUUAAAUACAACAAACGAAAUGAUAACUUGAUGGUGUAUGAUGGGCAAAUAAAUAUUGAUUUUUUUAGUUAAAAGGUGUAUGAUGGGCAAAUAAAUAUUGAUUCCACAUGUCAAUUUGUUAUAUAGCAUUUUUUUUUUGAAAGCAAAAUCUUUAUUGAUAAGGAGAGGUAACCAAGAGCAAAAAGGUAGCUCAAAGAAACAGUAUAAGAUGCAUCAACAAAGUUCCACACAAAGGACUAAUAGGCAGCAAAAAGAAAAAGAGCGCAGAUGCAGAACAGGAAGCAUUACAAGGGGCAGAGAAUGAGAAAAGUAAAGGGGGCAAAGCAUUCAAGAGAGAGCAGCCUUCAAAAAAACCCCUCCAUUAUAGAAAGCCACGAGCCAAGCUUCAGUAGACCAAUCAGCUAGGAUAACAACAAGUAGGAACUAGCAAAUAACACAGCUUCAUGAUCACAGAGCAAAAUGUGCAGAUACCAGUGCAGGGAAACACUACCAAUGGCAGAGGAGCUGUAAAGAAAACAUGCAGUAAAAUAUAUAUAGUCAAAGAGUAAGGAAGAUUCAGUUCAGCUUCUCCCAGAUUGGUUCAAUUCUAUCGCACCCUGACUUUGCUAAUUCAUCGGCCUCACCAUUUGCUUCUCUAAGUGUAUGAGCCACACCCACGCAAGCUACUUCCUUCAUAAUCCAAUCUAUAGCAUUCAGAUCAUUUAUAAGCGCUAGAGGUCUAUUGGAUUUGCAACGGACCCAACCCACCGCAAGUGUAGAAUCACUUUCAACCAGAACUUGAGAGAACCCAAAUUCUUUGGAAAAAAUCAGCGCCAGAAGAAUGGCUUUUACUUCAGCUUGGUAAGCCCAAGAAACCCCCAAAGGUUUAGAAAACCUGCCCAAGACAGCGCCCUCCGCGUUUCUCAGAAUUCCACCAGCAUCGCUAAUGCCGGGGGAUCCUCUAGCAGAACCAUCAACAUUAAAUUUGAGAAUAUUAGCCUCCGGAGGGCACCAAACACAGUUUCUUAUCUUCCUCACUUUCCCCAAAGUCUUAAUGUUUUCAAAAUUUUGAGAGAAAUCAACAAUAGAGUAGGGACAACCUUUCCACCAUGCUUUUGUCCACGACAUAACCCUUAACAAGUGCAGGUCCCACACAUGCUCAUAAACAAAUUCCUUUUGGUUAAAAACCAAAUCAUUACGGGCUAACCAAAUUGACCAGACCACAGCACAUGGCACUAGUUCCCACAACACACGAUCAGAUUUAGCACGAAGGGAAGGCCAUUCCUUGAACAAGUCACCAACAGAACCCGGAACACACCAUUGAACCCCAUCUCUAGUCAAGAUGGAAGACCAGAAUCUCCAAGGUUUAGCACACCACUACAUUAGGUGAUGGACAGAUUCGAGAGCCAUCCCACAUAGAUCGCAAUAGCCACCAUUUUCAAUAACAAUACCUCUCUUUAUCAAAUUUUCCUUGACAGCCACCCGGUUUUCCAGCAUUUGCCACACAAAUAAUCCAACUUUGGGGGGGAUUAUUUUCCUGCAUUGCUUGGAAAUUAACCACGAAACCGGUCAAAAAAAUCUCAGUUCCGCAGCAGAAUACCCCUCUUUUACAGUGAAGAUGCCAUUGGGAGAGCCCGACCAAACGAUUGUGUCUUCAUCAUCACAUGGGAAGAUCAGAUUCAGGUUUGACACUAGUUCCUGGAUUCUCGGUUGUUCCCAAUCGAAAAGCCGGCGGCGGAGCCCCAAAUCCCACAACCAACGACCAUCUUGGAAGAUUCCCAAAUCCGCAACCAUAGCAUUUUUAUUUAUGGCGAGGGCAAACAAGCGGGGGUAUCUAUAUUGCAGUGGGUUAAAGUCUAGCCACGGAUCAUGCCAGAAGCGAAUAUUAUUUCCCCUUCCGACACUACAGCAGCACCCUUCUCUAAAUACUCUUGCAAAAACUGAAUCUUCAAGCAGGACCUUAAAAAUGUCCAAGAGCAUGACAGAGCAGCGAUUAAAAUUAGUUGCAGCAAGAUGUAAAAGAAGAAGUCUAUCAUCCCACCCAUAUUUCUUGCAAAUCAUCUUCCUCCAUAGAGCGUUCUUCUCUCCCCCAAAGGAAAGACCGCAUCAAUUUCUCGAGAUCGCCCACCACACCAACCGGAGCCAGAAAUAGAGACAUGUGGUAAAUUGGAAUGGCGCUUAAAACUGCUUUCAACAAGACAAGCCUUCCACUAAGGGAAAGGUACUUAGAUCCCCAAGAGCCGAGCCUUAGUCUCAUGUUUUCUAUUAGGGGUUGCCAAAAUCUUUUCCUACGGGGGUUGUCACCAAGAGGAGCUCCAAGAUAUUUGAUUGGGAGGGUACCAAUCUGCACACUAAAGACAUCCGCUGCUCGAGCCAAAUCCUCAUGAGAAAUAUUGCACCCAAAAAUCUGAGAUUUGGACAGAUUUAUCUUGAGCCCUGAGAUUGCCAAGAACACUUCUAUGGCAGCUGCAAUAGAUUCUAGAUGUGCUAUAUUAUUGUCACAUACAAUUAACGUAUCAUCCGCAAACUGAAGAUGAUUGAUCUAUAGCUCCUCCGCAACAUGAAAACCACAUGGCUCCUCAAACUCUAGGAGUUUAUUCAGCAUGCAAGAUAAACCAUUUACACAUAUAUUGAAGAGUAAUGGUGAUAGUGGGUCUCCUUGACAAAACCCUUUUUCUAUAUUAAAGAAGUCGGUGGGUGAACCGUUGACCAAAACCGCAAGAGACGUCGUUGAGACGCACUCCUCAAUCCAUUGAAUCCAUCGAUUGCCAAAGCCCAAUUCCUUCAUCAUCUCCAACAAAAACAGCCAGUCAAUAUUGUCAUAAGCCUUGGCGAAGUCCAAUUUCACAAUCAGCCCCCCCUCAGUUCGAUUUUCCAUAGAGUGAAUGAUUUCAUUAGCUAUAAAAAUGCAAUCAGCUAUUUGGCGCCCCGAUGUGAAAGCGAAUUGGUUUUCUGAAAUGAUAAGUGGCAGAACCUUUUGUAGACGGGCAGCAAGAACUUUUGAGAUGAGCUUGUAAACGCUUCCGAUUAAGCUAAUCGGGCGAAAGUCAGAGAUGAAGCUUGGAUUGACACUCUUUGGGAUGAGUGCAAUGAAAGCAGAAUUCAUGCCCCUGACAAGUUUUCCAUGAGAAUGGAAGUCUUGGAAAACUCUUAGAAUAUCACUUUUCAGAGUGUCCCAGAAUGCUUUGAAAAAAUUCAGAUUAAAGCCAUCUGGCCCCGGAGCUCUAUUUCCAUCACAAGACUGUAAAACUGCCCAUAUCUUUUCUUCCGUGAACGGUUGUUCCAACAUGGAAUUAUCAUCCACACACACCUUUGGCAAGUUAUCACUCUUGAGGCUUGCCCCCCCACCUAGGGCCCCUCUUGAAGAAAGAGUGAAAAUGGUUAAGAAUGGCCAGCUUGAUGGCAGCCGGAUCGGACAGGCAAACACCAUUAAAAAUCAGGUUAGCCAAGCUGUUUUUGGAUUCUCUAACUUUUACAGAGUUGUGAAAGUAAUGAGAGUUUUUAUCACCCAACUUUAACCAUCUCAAUCUCGAUUUCUGGAUCCAUUUGCUUUCCUCUUUUCGGUAUUCAGACCAUAACUGAUUAAGAGUUACAAAUCUACCUCUUCUUAACUCCUCUGACACACCUUCUCGCUCCAUCCGAGCCAUUGUAUUGUGAAGGUUCUCUUCAAGAGCCUUAAUUUUUUCAGAUCCCCAAACACCCCUACGGGAAUGCCAUGCUUUAAUUUCUCCUUUGAGGCCUUUUAAUUUCUCUUGGAGCAUAAAACUAGACCAGCCUUCAACUAUAGCCGAAAUCCACCACUCCUCGACUAAGUGCUUGAAGCCAUCCUCAACAAGCCAGCAAUUAUAGAAGGUAAAGGGUUUUGGGCCAAAAUUUUGAGAGCCAAGCUUUAGUAAGACAACCCUAUGAUCUGAAAUCCACCAAUCUUCUACAACCUGGGACGCCCCGUCAAAGCGCUGAAUUGCCUCUCCAUUCAACAACCACCUAUCUAGCUUGCUCCAAAGGCCACCAUUCCUUGUGCUCCCCCAAGUGGACUCCCCAUUCCACAGAGGCAGGUCUGUAAGUUCAUUUUCCUCAACAAAUUUUUUGAAUGUAGCAUCUCCCAUAGUAUUAUCAUCGCCUCCUCUUCUUUCACCAUCAUUCAAUAUGACAUUAAAAUCACCACCCAAGAUAAUUCUCCCAGUAGCCAAGCGUAAAUCAGCACUCAAGGAAUUGAAGAAAGCUGCUCUGUCGGCCGGGUUGUUCGGCCCAUACACAUUACCAAUCACGUCAAGCAAGGAGGAGUUAUCAAAAUUAACGAGCAGAAGAAGGUACCUCUGGUUCUUUAUAACUUGAACUACCUUGAAGGUGGAUUUUCUCCAAAGAGACACUAAUCCCCCAGCCACACCAAGAGCAGGAACAAAGUCAAAUUCCAUACUCAUAGAUUUGGCCCAACUCACAAUCGUCUUCUUUCUAUUUUCAUCCAUCUUUGAUUCCUGAAGCAAACACACCUCUGGUUUAAUCUUCAAAAAAUCUAUGGGUAUGGAAUUUGACUUUGUUCCUGCUCUUGGUGUGGCUGGGGGAUUAGUGUCUCUUUGGAGAAAAUCCACCUUCAAGGUAGUUCAAAUUAUAAAGAACCAGAGGUACCUUCUUCUGUUCGUUAAUUUUGAUAACUCCUCCUUGCUUGACGUGAUUGGUAAUGUGUAUGGGCCGAACAACCCGGCCGACAGAGCAGCUUUAGCUAUAUAAUAUUUUUACAAUCUAUUUAAUAUUUGAUUGGUUUUAAAAGGUGUAUGAUGGGCAAAUAAAUAUUGAUUUUUUUAGUUAACAACAUCAUUAUUAGUUUUAUUUUAAAUUUUAAAUUUUUUUAUGUUCUAAAUCAAAUAAAUAUGAUUUUUAAAAAAAUUACAGCAUCAAUAUUUUUUUAUUUUUCUGAAAAAAUAUUUUUUAUAUUGCUCUUGGCCAUGGCUUAAAGCGAAGGAGAGAGGUGGUUCGAUGAACCCAUUGGCGUGCUUAUCUCCGGUGCGUGGUGGAGUGGUGGGAUAGAAUAAGCUUGGUUGUUUGAGAAUGAAUGGAGCACGUUGCCUACUUAUCUAUGGCUUAUUAAUUUUGUUAUUUUGUUUCUUUUGUUUCUUAUCUUUUCUACAAGAUGGUUAUGCUCAAUUAUAAUUGAUAAUUGGUUGCAACUACAUUGUAACAAACUUUAUUCAUGGGUUGAAGUAACUUUCCAUGAAUUUGCUUUUCAGUUUAAAUUUCUCUUUUGAUUGGGAUUUAUCUUUGUUUUGUUACAUGAUGCACGCAAGUAGUUUUUUACUUGGAAAAGAGAAGGAGGUGAAUUGUUAGAGAUUAAUUGUUAAAUAUUUCAGGAAUGAUCGUGAUAAUAACUUGAUGAUCUAAUAGAAAAACCCUUAUCUGCACUUUCGAACGAUAAACGGGGUAUUUUCAAGCAGUCGUUGUGCCAUUAAAUCUGUCACAUGGACACUUGACACAAGCAAUCCAAGUAAGCCUAACCACCUGCAAAAUUAAACUAACUAAAUAAAUUCCAAGUUAGCUUUUUUAGUAAUACAAGAAUGUAACAAGUUGUUAAUUUUAUUUGUGCAGAUUCUAUAUGAGAAAAGAGCUAGAAAUUUUGGUUUUCUAAGUUUGUCUCCUUUGGGAUGCUUGCCAGCUCUUAGAGCACUGAACCAGGAAGCUGGGGUGGUUGUUUUGAAGCAGCUUCUGGACUUUCUCUAGCACACAAUAAUGCUUUGAGCAGUAUUCUCACAAGCCUUGAUCACAUACUUAAAGGGUUUGAGUACUGUCAUUCUAAUUUCUAUGAUUGGCUACAAGAUAGAAUAAACAACCCUGCAAAUUAUGGUAUGUAUUGCAAUUUGCAGACCACUCAUUUCCCAACCAUACCUAAACAACCAAAUAAUUUAGACACUCAACUGACAUCUCAUUUUUCACUCAGGGUGUCUGCUAAGUGUCUUCAGUGUGCUGAUGUCCAUGAAUCAUUACUCUUAAUUUCCAUACUGCCACUGUAUAUCAAUCACAAUGUAUGUUACCAAUUCAAUUUUGAUUUUCGUUGAAGGUUUUAAGGAAGGAAUUAAUGCUUGCUGUGGAAUUGGCCCAUAUGAGGGCAAUUUACUUGUGGGGGCACCAAGAAAGUUAAAGAGUAUGAUUUAUGUGACAAUAGUGGCGAGUAUGUAUGGUGAGAUUCUUUCCACCCAACGGAGAAGAUCCAUGAGCAAAGGAGAAAAAUUACACGUGUCAAUUUGUUAGAUAACAAAUUCCACGUGUCAAUUUGUUAGAUAGUUAUAUAAAUUUUUUACAAUCUAUUUAAUAUUUGAUUGUUGAUUUUAAAAGGUGUAUGAUGAGCAAUUAAAUAUUGAUUUUUUUAGUUAACACCAUCAUUAUUAGUUUUAUUUUAAAUUUUAAAUUCUUUUAUUUUCUAAAUCAAAUAGAUAUUGUUUUUUUUUUUAAAUUUGCAGCAUCAAUUUUUUUUUCCCGAAAAAAAUAUUUUUUAUUUUGUAUAUAUUUGAAGUAAUUCACAUUUUAAUUCGAAAAUAAUAAAAUUUUAAAAUUAAUAUUCCAUAUAAUUUUUAUAACAAUAUAAAAAGCACAAAAAUAUAUAAGUUUCGAAAUAUAUACAAAAUAAAAACACAUUAACUAUUUUUUUAAGGAAAAAAAACAUUUAUUAUUUUUCUAGCCAAUUAAGGAUAAAUAGAAUCAAUAAUAUGUCCAGUUCAAAAAAGAAUCAAUAAUAUGUCAAGCUAUAGAAGGGGGAAAGUAAAUAUUAAUUUUACGUUUGAAAUUCAAAUUUCAUUGAAUCUAGAAAUUUCAAAAACAUGUUAUCAUUUUCUAAAUCAAAUUGAUAUUGAAUUUUUUUAAAUUUACAACAUCAAUAUUUUUUUAUUUUGAUUUUCUCAAAAAUAAUAUUUUUUAUUUUGUAUAUACUGGAUUAAUUAUUUCCAAUGUACCAAAUAUAUUGACGUAAAAAAUAUUCAAUUUCCUGUCAAAAAAUAAUAAUUAAAAUUUCAAAUAUCAAAAGUAAAUUUUAAAAAUAAAUAAAAAUUUAUGAAAUAAUAUUACCACAAUUAAAAAUCAUUAUGAAUUAAAAAAUUCUCAAAAAUUUCGAAAAUACAAUAUAUUUCUCGAAAAUAUUAAAAUUUAAAAAAUGAUGAUGACAAUUAAAUAUAUCAAAUAAAUAUUUAUUUGAGAAAAAAAAAGAUAAAAGAUACGUUUCAAUUUUUUUUCAUCUGUUGUUUAAUAUAUUCAUAAUAAUUAAGGUAUUAAUUAACGUAUCUGUAAGACCCAAGAUUUUAAGCUUAGGAUCAGUGGAAGAGAUUUCCAUUUACGAUUAGGGUUGAUGUAUUGUGAAGGGAAACCUGAACUAGAGUUUACCAAAUGAAAUAAAUUUAUGAAGGAGAAAGUUCAGGAAAAUUCUGAGGUUCGUAUUGAAGUCGAUAAAAGUUAUAGCACGAUCGUUUUACGCUUAAACCUAGGUCAGAAACCCUAGUAUAUAGCUAAUUUUCACUUUUAGGCACGACGGAAGUUAAUUCCAAAAAUCUUCAGAGAAAUGUUAGAACUUCUCUUUUUCCAUAUAACACAAUCGUUUCGAGGCGAAACUCUAGAAUCUAAGAACGUCUGAUUCCAAUCAUCGGAAGUUUGCCGAAACCGAAUCCCUGGUAUUUCAAAACCCUAGAAUUUCUCGACAAUGAAGACUUUUUCUAUUCAGAGCUUCAAAUGAAGAUUCUACACGCGUACACCCAUUUCUCUUGAUGAUUUCAAUCUUUCUUCCGAAGGAAGUUUUCCAUUCCGACAUCCGAUGCAAAAAGCAACUUAUCGGGUAAAAUAGUUUUAUACCGACUAUGCUUUAGUUGCCAAAAAUACAAAAAGACCUCAUUUUAGUUUUGGAAUUCUUUCGCCAAAACCUAUCUUAGAAUUCCCGGAGAAUGACGCCGGAAAAAUCAGAUUCGCGAAACUUUCAUUUUCCCGCGAAUUUCCAACCUUUAUAUAUAGCAAAGAAAGGAAGAAAAACUCAAAUUUUCCUCCAUUUUCUCUCCUCAAGGCCGCGAGUUCAUCCAAGGGAGAAGGAAGAAGAAUUUUCUUCAUUACUUGCUUGAUCGUUGAUCCGUUAGUUGCUACUUCAAGGCUUCGAGGUAUAGUCGCUAAUCCUUACCUCCGAUCGCUUUUUCCAUAGCUUUUCUGUAGAGUUUUCUGAGCGGAUAGUUUAUGGGUUUUUGCAAAACUAUCAUGAAUCUUUCAUUUCUGAUUCUAAACCUCUUCUAUAUGUGCCCAAGAUCACUUCUGCCGGAUUAGAUUUUCCGUUAUGUCGCCGGAAUUCCGCCGGAAUCAAUUUUAGCCUUAAAUACCCAUUUUUGGAGUUUUUGAGGUAAAGCUUCAACCUUUAGGCUAAAAACUAUCGCCUUAGCUUAGUGUUAGUAGGAUUAGUUGUCAUAAACGUCGUUAGUAACGUCCCUGCAAAAUUUGGUUUUUGGGAUUUCAGUUUUGAAAUUUCUAAGUUAAAAAUCAUGACCAAAAUACCCCUGCGACAGUUUUUGAUCCGAUAAUUUUUCCGAGCUCAGAAUACCCUUAGUUACGGCUAAUGAAAGCAUAGGAACCAAGUUUGAUCGAAGAAAAAUCGAGCCCCACAAUUGUGAAAAGUGGCCGAGCCCUAUAGGGGAGGAAGGGGAAAAUUUCCUUUUCCGAAAACUUGUCUUUUCGCGCUAGAUUAUCGUACCUUAGAGUAUAGAUUACUUCGAGUAACCUUAGUAAGUAUCGAUAGCUUAGUUUUCGAUAGAUUCUGAUAGUAUUUCUGUGGUUUUGCUCUAAAGGUGAUUUUGAGGAAUUCCCAGAGGAGCAAGCCUUUGAUUGUGAACAAGUGUUAGGAGAUCGUCCUGGAGAAUCUACAGGUGAGGGCUUCUCACUGAAUCUCUAGUUAAUGCUUAGGGUCGAUGUUUCGACAUUGUUUACUGUUUAUGCACUGGAAUUGUGUGUGAUUGGAAAAUGUUUUCUGAGGCUUCGGCUGACAAUGUAGAUGAUUCAUCUACUGAAUGUUUUUGAGAUUGACUUACAUGCUAUGUGUUAUGUGGGUAAUCUAGGAUGUGUGGUGCAUGCUUUAUAUGCUAAGUGCUAAGUGUUUAUGAUGCGAUUUAUCGAUAUAUGACAUGUUGUUGAUUGUGAUGAAUUGAAUAUGCUCUGUACUGGAAUCUGAGUUUCUGAACGGUGAGAAAAGCGGGCAGGUCAUGCCGAUUUUAUUUUGAGAGUUUUGAGGAAGCUUGAAAGGACGAAUGAGAUUCGGGCCUUGUUAUGAUGUUUAUGGAUCGAGACAUUCUCUGGAGUCUUUGGGGAUUAGGAGAUCCCGAGAACUUAUAGGAUUUGCGAUAAGACUAAAAGGAUAAUUAUUUUGUAAAGAAAACUCAUAAGACAUUAAACAACCUCUAAAUCUUUAAGUAAUGGUAAUAAUCUCGGAAGGAAGCUUUGGAUGCAAAUCAUAGUUUUGGAAAACAAGAAGUGUCGUCGGAUCCCAGUAUUGAGAAAGUUGAGGGGCUUCGAGAAUGUAGAUGUUGUGGUGCUGUUGGAGCAGCGUUUGUUGUUGUGCUGUUGGAGCAGCUAUUGGGGUUGUGCUGUUGGAGUAGCUAUGUUGUUGGGUGUAUCUUCGACUUUGCGGCGCGAAUCCGUAUGUCCAAACCCGACGGGUUGGGCCGAUUCGGCAAUAAUUGUUGACACGCGCGAAUCCGUAUAUUCAAUCCGAUGGAUUGGAUCGAUUCGGCGGUAGUCAUUCAGGCACGCGUGAGUCCGUAUGUUCAAUCCGAUGGAUUGGAUCGAUUCAGCGAUUGCCAUUUUACCUCGCGUGAAUCCGUAUGUUCAAUCCGAGGGAUUGGAUCGAUUCAGCGACAACUUUUCGACACGCGCGGAUCCGUAUGUUCAAUCCGAUGGAUUGGAUCGAUUCGGCGAUAGUCAUUGGACACGCGCAACGUCCGUAUGUUCGACUCCUUUGAGUGAACCGACUUGGCGUUGUCAUUUGUUGCGUGUGCGAGUCCGUAUGUCCAUCCCGAUGGGUUGGAUCGACUCGACAUGCCUAAUUGUGGGAGUUGCGUGUGCGAGUCCGUAUGUUCAACCCAAGGGGUUGGAUCGACUUGACAUGCCUAAUUGUUGGGCUAUCCUGGGGAUAAGUCCGGGAAACCGGUAGUUUCCGAGUAUGUGAUACUCUUUGCUUGUUGAGCAGUUGUGACCAUCGGAUUGAGAUGAGUCGGAUGAUCCGGAGAUCAUCAUGAGUUACUAUGUUGAUGUGAAGAAGUGUCUUUUGUCGCAGAAUCGACUUUACCUUAGGGUAAGCUUUUAGAGAAUUUAAUUUACCUAGAACACGUGGCGACGUGUCGAGUGAGAGUCAGAGACGUUGUUUGACUAAUCAUCCUGCAUUCAUGCAUACUGAUUUAGUUGUCGAGUGUGAUUGUUAUUUGUUAAUCCUAUUUGGAACAUGUUAAUUGUUAUUAUUGUUGUUAAGUUCAUUAUGGAAUAUGCAACCCUAGGAUGUUAUCCCUAGCUAUAAGCCUAAGUGGCUAUUCUCUUAUCUAUAUCUAUUGGUGCUAUUAUUUAUGUAAUUCUUUGGAGUUGACCCUCGCGUCUUCUGUGUGUGCUUUGGCGGACAAACGCCCUUUGUCAGAUGUCUUUGGCGGACUGGUUCACGACGGUUCACCCUUCGGGGGAAACUAGAGUUGGGAUGCUGGAACAGGAGCGCAUCGCGAUAGCGAGCGGAGGACGGAUGGUGUACAUAGACUAGGUCGUUCUGGAUUUCGAAUUCGGACGACAAUCAUGCUAGCAUGUAGGUUUUAGUGCUGGUGUGAGCUCCUCGAGAUGGGAUUAGUGUAGGAGUAGAGUCUUAGCUCUGAACAUCAUUUGUUUUCUUUGGGGACAUGGUAGUUUCCCACCUAUAGCUUUUUGUGUGGUUCCUUUACGGGAAUCACAGAGAGUUGGUUGGACUUAAGAGGUCUUAUUUUAGGCCAUCUGGGCUGACUUAUUCUUAUUUUGAGGGACAGUGUUGCAGACACCUAGCCUUUCUUUUGGAUUAUACCUUUUGCCUACGGGCGUUCUUUUCUACUACUUUCCGUCACUGGAGGUUACUCGUGACGAGGUUGGGUACUUACAGCGGGGGUUGUAAAUAUAUAUUGUAUAAUAGUUUUAUUGCUUUUCGCAUUUGGGUUUUAUUUAAUUCAGUCUUGUCUUAGUUAUUAUAUCGAAAAAAAAUAUUCACGUUUUUCCGCAUUAGGUUUAUUUUGGUUACUAAAGUGACGCCACCGAAAUCGGGGUGUUACAGUAUCAAAUAGAAUAAACAUAUUCUCCGUACAACGCGCGGGUAAAAAAACACUAGUAAUUUUAAAAUAAUAAAUGAAGUGGCAUAUGUCAAAAUUAUCAUUUGCCAUACUAUUGCUAUUGACAGAAUGACAUGGCAUAGUCAAGGGUCCCAUAGUCAGUCCGUCCCAUGUAGCAGCAUUGCCUGCUGUUUUUAAUGUUCAAACUGUAAUUAAUUUAUAAUCAAUGUUAAUUAUUUGGUCAAAUGAUAUUCAAUUGAGAGUUAUUUAAAAAAAUUGUCAUAGCUAAGACUUGAACAUAGGACCUAAAGGGAGGAAAGCUAAUCCAAAUUGGCACUACACCACUUUGUUCUUGUUAAGAAGAAUGCAUAUUAUUUUAUAUAUAUGAUAUACUAAGGUUAUAUUUUAAAUUAUUAUAACUUUUUAAUAUAAAUCGAGUCAAACAAUUAACCCAAUGGUUGAACCAUUGACUCAUUGAUCCAGUGUCUCAACCGAAUCGAUCACCGAUCUAAGUCUGAUAACACUGGUUGGUUUAUUGGGAGCUAGGACCGCACACACAACACAAUCAUGAAUCGGAAAAGAAAAUCCAAAGAUAUUCGCACUGUUUUAUGUUGGUAUAAUGUGUGGGUGAUGCUUGAAGUCUAUUUAAAUAUUAAUGAAAGAACUUGCACAUGUUAAAAUUAUUAUGUCAGGGGUCCCCUAUUCAGUCCGCGAUAUGGGACCCCUUAUCGUUGCAUAUUGGAGUUUGGACCGCCAUAUAUAUGUGGUUUUCAGGGCAUGUUUGGAUUGGCGUUGGAGAGGCCAAACGUGCGUUGCGUUGCCGUAAACGCCGUUUUGUCGUUUCGCCAAGCCGUUUGGAUCUGCGUUUUUCUUAACGCGUUAACGCUAUUUUGCAUCAAAAUCACGUUUUUUUGGAAUCUAAAAAUUUGAGCGUUGGCGUUGGGCGUUCAGCGUUGAUGGGUGAAAAUACUCACGUUUGUUAAAAUCAUCCAAACGGUAUUCAUUAUUUUAAAAUCACGUUUGUUACAAAUCAUCCAAACAUAAAUCACGUUUACUCAAACACAAUUUUACUCAAAAUCAUUUUAACAAAAUCACGUUAAUUCAAACACCAGUUUCUAACGGGAUGCCAAACAGGCACUUUGUGUAUGUAUGUCUCUUUGUCUCUGCGUUGGGUGCUGUGAGGUAACUAGGACCACACAAUUCACAAUGAGGCUAGCUUCAAGACAAGCACUUACCAUUCCUUCCUCAAUUAUUUCAAGAGACUGUGUGCGAUGAUGAUCAAUUAAUCAACAUGGCAUGGCAUUGUCAGGAUUGGUUUCAAGCUGCUGCUUCACAUCAUGUGUCUCUGCAUUGGGGCUUAAAUGUAGUUCCAGAUUGGAGUUUCAAUCCUAUAUUAUAUAUUUUAAUUAUAAUAUAAUAUAAUACAGGAUUGUCUUUUUUUUUUUGGUCAAAAAAAUACAGGAUUGUUCGGCUAGGAAGUUUUCCUUUUAGGUCAUUUUGUUUUUGAAAGAAGAGGCCCCAAUAGGGUAGCUCAUACUUUAGCAGCUCCAAGUUUUCUGUAUCGUGAUUGUUCAUGGACUCAUGGAGUCAUGGUGGGGAGAGCCACUUGUGGAUAUUCUUGUCAGCCUUGUAGCUGAUGGUCCAGAUUUUAAUUGAAUAUAUAUAAAUGAAGGUAUAAAUGAAACUACUACGAAGUCUUGAACUUUUUAAUGUAUAUAUCAAUCAAUAUAAACCGUCGCGUUGAGUAAUUAAAAAGGUAAAGAAUUGAACCUGUAAAUUACAUUCCUGCCGCCACACGCAUGACGCAUCAGUACCUUCUACAUAUUUUUCUAAGAAUUGUAUUGACAGUUACAUUCAAUUGAUUUCCGGAAAAUCCAAAAUUAAAAUAUAUUUUUAUUUUAAGUAAAAUUAAAAUGAAUGUUACUAUUCAUCCUACAUGAAUAUUGUGAUUGCACAUCCACUAAGCUUUGUUUCUAUUAUAUUUUUCGCAUAUCUUUAAUUUUAAAAAUAGUUAUUAUUAUUUUUUUUGAAAAUGGUUAUUUUUAUUUUUAUUUUAAAAAAAUUAAUUACUUUUUAAUUUAAAAAUUAUAGUCUAUGUUUAGCACGCCUAGAUAAUAAGCUAGCUGAAAGCUAAAAUGUUAGUUAAAAGUUUAUAAGCUACUCCCUCCAUUCCUAUAUCUGUCACUAUUCUGAUUUUUUUUCUUAUUCCUAUUUAUUUGUCACUUGUAGAAUUUCAAAAGAGCAUUAAUCAUAUUUUACUAAUUCUACCAUUCAUUUAAUGGUGGAAUGAAUAUUGAAAGGUCACGAGUAAUAAGAGAUAUAUAUGGUAUAGUAGGAAGCUAUAUAUCAAUUUUAAUAAAACAAGACAAGGUUGGGAGAGAACAAAUGGUGGCAUCAUGCCAUGUUUAUAUUUUUCCCAAAAUAAAUCCAAGUUAUUUACAAAUUUAUUUUAAUUUUUGUUCCAACUCAAGAGUUAAUGCUCCUUAUUUUUCCAAAAGAAAAAGUAGAACUUUAAAUAUUAUUUCUUAAUACAUAUGUCACAACCUUAAAAUGGCAAAUAUUAAGGAAUUGAGUGAGUAGCUAAUAGCUGAACUUAUUUUUUUGUUAAUAAAAGUUGUAUGGUUCAAAAGUCCAAAUUUAAGAGAAAAUCUCGAGAUAAAACAAAAGACAAUCCAAAAACACUGAAUAUAACAACUUUGCUAGGAAUGUUUCUUCUUAUCCAGACUCUGUUUGGAUUGAGGAGGGACCUCUGGGGUUGUCUAGUCUUUUGAGGGAUGAUGUAUUGGCAUCUAUGCCGAACUCAUUUUUGAUUUAAUUUUAUUUGAUUGUUGAUUUCAAAAAAAAAAAACUACCAAGCAAUCAAGUCUAUUGAAAACCCAUUAAAGAAAGAUUCAAGUAGCAGUUGCAACAUGAGGUCUGAUAAGUCUUAUAAGACUUUUCAACUUUAAAUUAAAUAGAAUAAAAUAAAUUAAUAAAUAUUUUAAUUUAAUAAAAUAAGCUUAUAUUUUUCUAAAUGAAGAAAAUAAUUUUUAGAAUUUAUAUUAAAAAUUGAAUAGUAAUUAUUUCAAAAUAAAAUUUGUUGAGUAUCUUGUUUGAUAAAGAUUUUCUAAGUGUUGGCUGCAUUUUGUCUAAGUUGUUUGAUAUGUUAAAUGGUGUGACAAACAUUGUCUUUGUCUGUUGUGCAACCCCAUGUCCUAAGCAUCUGGUAGGACAUUGUGAUUCGGGUUGCUGGGAGAUUUUUACGUGUUUCACGUUGAGUUUUAAUUGUGAAGAUUCGUCGGUGACAUCACACGUUUUAUAAGCUGAACGUAUCUUCUGCGAUUAGAAGAAUUAACCUAUUUGGAGGAAUAGGAUUAAUUCGUGUAGACCAAGUUAAUAUGUGAAAUUGGUCUUGGUGUGCUAUUUUUGGAGGAGAUCUUUUUGAAGAUUUACUUCCAUUUUGCUACAUGGACUCUUUGAUGCUCAAGCCCAUUGAAGACACCGACGGUGGAGCAUCUACUUAAUGUGUUCAAGGAACCCUAGCUGCUGUACGAGAGAGAUUUACACAUGUGUUAGUUGUACUCAGGAUUUUCCUUGUGAGUUUUGUAAUCAACUCCACAAAACACAACCAAUUUUACCGUUUUCCUAAAACCACUUUCAAAGACCUUUCUUUUCCCAUUUCACUCGUCUUGCAUAAAAAAAAACCGUCUUCAUGAGACCGCGGUAAAGUGGAGCAGCCACGACACAAAGUUCCUUACCUUAGCUGGAUCUCGCUGGUGGACUUAGAAUAAAGUUUGCAAAAUCUCAACCCGAAGAACAUCACAUGGCUGAAACUUCAAACAUCGAAGAUAGGAUUUUUCUCACUCAAAACUUAUAAAAACCAAACCUUUACUAUCAAGCAUUUCAAACUAGCUUUUAAAAAUGUUUCGUGCUAAGGUCCUACCAGAUCUAAAGGAAUAUUCUAGCAAACUCUAGCAGAGCACAAAUAAGGAAAGAUGAUGAAAUAAAAGUGUACAAUAUCAUUAAUGAGUAAAAUUCUAGUGAGAACAAUAGAGAACCCCCCAUUUUAUAGAGGGUGGAUUUGUAACCGUACCCUAUGGAAUUUGGGGAAUUAGACCUUAAAUCCAAGGCCCAACUCCCAAUACAAGUAAAUAAAACAAGCCCAAAUCCAACACCUGGGCAGGCGACUCUCCCUGCCUAGCUGAGACCGUCUUCCUUUGGCGGUCAUGUCCUUGUCUGAGAGCCCGCACACGAUUUGACCUAGAGUCCUUAUCUUAUGUCUUGCUUAUGUCUCUGGCGGGUCUCAUACUCGCGAGGGACUCACCCAGUCAAUGUUCCGUGUUAAGGUCUUACUAGCUAGAUCUAAAGGAAUAAAAGUGUACUAUGUCAUUAAUGAGUAAAAAACUAGUGAGUACAACAGAGGACCCCCUUUUAUAGAGGGUGAAUCUGUAACUCUAUGGAAUUUGGGGAAUUGGGCCUUACAUCCAAGGCUCAAUUCCCAAUACAAGUAAGUAAAACAAGCCCAAAUCCAAGACUUGAAUUUAUAUAUGGUAUUCAUCUGAUGGUCUACUAUCAUUAAGUGGUUUACCCAAUAUUUUUCUUUAAAAAACGUCAACAACAUUCUUUUAAAUAUAUUUUGUGACAGUUACGUUCGAGAAUGACUGCCAGGUUCUAGACAGUACAUGGGUCUCAAAACAUAAUGAUCCUUCAUAUUUAUCUUCCAUUAUUAGAAAUUGCUUGUUUUCGUCUUCUGGUUUUAACCCUUGUAGUUUUUGUUUAUGUUAAGAGUCAAUGUAACGUUGUAGCUGAUUAUCUUGUUAAAAAAGUUUUAUCUUCAAAAAAUUUGUGCGGCUUGAAGACUAUCCGACAGAUUUGUUACCCUUACUUAUCAUGAAUGUACCGUUUUCUUUUGUAACAAAGUUUUUAUUAUUUUCUAAAAUUUAUAUAGGUGAUAAAAAAAAUAUGAAUUAGUGGGUCUAGAUUUUUUAACACACAUACGAAAUUAUCUAUUAAGUAUAAUAUAUUCCUCCGCUAAGGAGAAAUUAAACUAGCGUGAAAUACUGGAAUGUGUCAUUUGAUUCAUUUCACACUCUUUUUAAAAUUGUUACUCAUUCACACUUCAUUUUUUUUUAUUAAUUUUAUUCAAUUACUUUUUCUUUAUAUUGAUGUUUUUAUCACAUAAUCUAUUAUCUCUCUCGUACUCUUAUAUCUAUCCAUAUUUGUGAAUGACUUAUUUAUUACCUCUUAUAGCAAACUUGUAUAAUAUGAGAGGCCUAUUUAAUUAAAGAACAAUAUUCACCAUUUAACUCGUACAUUCAAAGUAAAAGAACUCGCACAUGUCAAAAUUAUCAUGUCAGGGGUUCCUAUAGUCCGGGAUUUGGGUUUGGCGCCCCACCCUUUAGGCCCCACGCCCCAGCCUUUUUUUUUAUCUCAAAAGUACCCAUUGAUAAAUGAUUAACCGAUAUAAAUAUAGACAUCGGUUAAUUAUUAACCGUUAUUUUUCCUCUGUAUGAACACCUUCAUCCCAUUACCAGAACACGAAGAACAAUAUCGGUUAAUCAUUAACCGAUGUCUAUAUUUAUAUCGGUUAAUCAUUUACCGUUAUGAUUUCUGGCAGUUUGAUCACAUUAUCACCAUUACUCCUCCCUCCACCAACCCCUCCACCAUUACUCCUCCCUCCACCUGCCCCCCAUAACUCGCCCACACAACCUUAUUCCACCAUUACUCCACUCCUCCCUCACAUUUCACAUUCCCACCACCACUACCAUCUCCACAUUUUCCACCACCACCACCACCAACACCACCUCCACCAAGGGGAAGCUCUAAACUCCCGGUAAGUGUUGUUAGCUUUUCGGUUUUAUCUCAGUAGUUAGUUGUUAGUUUAAGUAGUUAGUUGUUAGUUUAAGUAGUUAGUUUAGUUAGUUAAGUUGGUAAUUUAGGCUGCUGUAUCGUGAACUGCAUCGGUAAAUGAAUUUCCGUUAAUGGAUCGGAUUAUGAUAUUCCAUUAUAGUACCGGAUUUUGAUUUGCCGUUAAUGUGUCGGAUAUUGAUUUACCGUUUUGGCUCCAGGGAUGACAGAGUCCUUUUUUUUUGGUGAAUCACAAUUGAUACAUGCUGCUAGAUUGGAAAAUGAUAAUCCAGAGGAGCAACCAUCACUAGUUGAACCUCCGAUUAUAUCUAUAGAUGUCUCUCAUUUGUAUCAUACAGAUCAGGUACUCAUUGCACAAAUUUUUGCAUGUUUUGUUUAUGCUUUGUUUAUGCCUUAUUUUAUGCCUUAUGCCUUGUUUAUCCUGAAAUAGUGUUUCCCUUUGAAAGAUGAUCUUAUGAAAUGGGUUCGCGACAUUUCUAUGGCAAAUAAUUUUGUUUUGGUGACAACAAAGUCUGAUAGUGGUGCGAAGGGAAGAAAAGAAUAUGUCAUUCUGGGGUGUGAGAAGCAUAGUGUGUAUAUUCCCUACAGAGAUCCUGAUCUUGUUGAAGGAACGUCAACACAAAAGGCAGGUUGUCCUUUUAGGCUAAAAGGACGACGUACGAAAGAUGGUAAAGGAUGGUGGUUGAAGGUGAUGGAGGGUAGACACAUCCAUCUCGCAACUGAGUCACUACUUGGCCACAAUUACGCUGGUCGACUGAAUAGUGAGGAGAAGGAGGACGUGAUAAAUCAGGCUAAGACUUGGGUUCCACCUAGAAAGAUGUUGGCGUCCUUGAAAGAAAAAGAUCCUUCAAACUUGACUACCAUCCAACAAAUUUAUGGUGUUUGCAAGCAGUUCAGACAAUCCGUUCGUGGGUCACUGACAAAGAUGCAAUACUUGCUGAAGAAGUUGGACGGUGAGAAGUAUGUUCACUUCGAAAGAAAUGAACCAGGAUCGGAAGUGAUUAGAGAUAUAUUUUGGGCUCAUCCGAAUGCCGUCAAAAUUUUCAACACAUUCCCAUAUGUAGUGAUCAUGGAUUGCACAUACAAGACCAGCAAAUACAAACUACCCUUGCUCGAGAUUGUUGGCCUGACCUCCACAGAUAAAACAUACUCAAUAGCAUUCUGUUACAUUGGCAGUG
rnacentral:lncRNA from 1 species